rnacentral:lncRNA from 1 species
GAGGAGCGAGAGGGCGGCGGGCGGCGACGGCGCGGGGCUGGCGACGGCGAGGGGCGGGCCGCGGCGCGCGGGACCGGAAAGGGAGGCCGCCUGGGCGGCGGAGCACGGAGAGGGGUAGGGGCACGGGAGGCGCGCGGCCCUGGUGGCUCUGAGACCGAGCAUGUCUGGCCGGCCGGCUAACUGUCGCCGUCGUCUUCGCCGCGACGGAAGAGGAAGGGGGGUGGGGAAUAUGCGGGAGCGACUAGGAUAGAAAAUGGGCCUUUUUGGCCAAAAAAUAUUGGGGCCUGCUAGGAAGUUUACUAAACAUCCGCUACUUGGAGGAGCUCGUGGAUGCCUGGUCGCUCGGUUGCGUCAUGGCGGAGCUGCUCGCCGGCGAGCCACUGCUCCCCUGGUCACCGCGCGACCAACCAGUUACUCAGAAUCUUCUGUGUGCUCGGGUCCAUGCCGCUCGUCGUCGUAGGACAGAUGCCGCCGACCCGUUGAAAAGUCAGCCGACUGCGCGAGCUGUUCUGCGAGGAACGCCUGACACAUGCUCACGUAUCGAACGAAGGAGGUGGCGGAUGUCCUCCGCUCGAUCUGCCGGUUAAGGGAUAGACUUUUACCAAAAAUAAACAAGAAAACACAACGUCAACCCUAGGAUUGGAGUUGGAUGGCACAGAUCUUGGUGGAGGAAUCUGUACGCAUAAUUAUGUCCUUCUGUGCAAAGAGAAGCAUGGCUUGGUGUGAUUUUGCCUUCGAUCCUUCCCCUUCUACUCCCCGCCCAGCAGCAGCAGCAGUCUAGAGUCCGAAGUUCCGGGGCCUAAGAACAUCUCUAGCACACCCCCUAUAAUGCCCYGAUCCGUAAAAUAAUCGUUAAAAUACGAAUCGGGAUGAAAAAUACUGUCAGACCAGAUCCUGCAAACGCGUCCGAUUCGUAAAAAUUGUGGGGCGCGGCAAAAGUCGUCCUCAACCUUCAGAUUCACGGGGUGGAAGGCCGACCAAAGCUCGUCCCUUAUCCACAACGAGAUUUGGCGCGAGGGAAAUUUCCGUCGUCCCCCCCCCCUCGUCGGCAGCCAUUGCCCCGCCCAUCACGUGCUCCGAACCUUCUUCUCCGCCAUGGAAGCCUUCCAGCCAGCGGAUCUGGUCAACGUGGAGGUCGCGCACGAGCAAUCCCGUCCGACGAAUCUCGUCGUGGAUCAUGUCGCUCCCGCUGUCGCCAACGCGCCAGCCCGCAAGCGGCAAGGCAACGUUAUCGUGCAGGGCGACAUUCCGGCUGGCCCAGCCGGAAGGGAAGGCGUGUCGGGCGCCGCCGCUGUUGCACGAUCUGCCCGACCGUCGGCGGGGAAGAUGAACAAGGUUUCAGACGUGAAGCGGAAGAAGGUUCCUACGAAGAAACCUCCGGCCACUCCAUCCGCCCCGGUGAGACGUUCCCCAAUGAUGCCUUCCUACGGCGAUGCUUCCACCGCAUGCGAAGUGUUCGAUGAAAGGGCCGGAAGGUAUGCAUCUUCUCUCACUUAUUUUUGCUUCGAUUAUUCGCCAUCGUAGUAGGUCGUGAUGUGCUUUCACUCGAUGUAGCCGUGGUUCGAACAAUGCCGCUGCCGAGUUCGUGAACUUGUGGGCCACCAACGCAGUCGACAUUGAUCAAGCCCCGAUCGGUGGUUUCGAUUACAAUAAAUUGAAGGGUGGCAUUGAUGACCACGGUGGUGAAGACGAGGUGAAGGAGAUGGAUGAGGGGACGUAUCAACAAUAGAGCUUGCGGGACACGAUAAAUUCCAUGUUACAAUCAAAUGAGGUAUUGCUAGCGAAGUCUUUGGAUGCAAAGAUAGAGAUGGCCGAGAAGAAGGCACGAGAGAAGCAAGAGAGGUGGAAAUUGCUCAAGGAAGUUGAGGUGAGAAAAGCACGUGCUGCUGAGAACAAAACCAUGACCAACCUUCUUGCCAAAAAGAAUAGGAUCAUGACUUUGAACCGCAAUGACAUGGACGACAUCAACAAAUAAUGGCAUGAUAUGACAAGGAGAGAAAUCUUGAAUAGAAGGGUGCUUGCGUGUUACAAUGGUGGUGAUGGUUUAUCCUCUGGAAUCGGAACAGCUGAUUUCGGUGCCGGAGUAGGAACAAGUGCAAGCGAUGGAUUCGGGGCAGUCGUUGGAUUCGGGGGCGGCGAUGAACUCAAUGGUGCAGAAUGAAGAACGACCAGGAUGCAUGAAGUCCUUUUGCGUUUGUCUUUCAACCUAUGCUCUCAUUUCGCGCGCGAACUAUGCUUUAUUGUUUAAAUACAAACUCAUUUGCCGGAAUCUCCGUCAAAUUCCAACUAUGUUUUAUUGCGUGAUUUUCGGUUUGCGGGUCGCCGCGGUGGCGUCCGAGCAGACCCCGCAUUGACGACCCGUAUAAUAGUAUCUUCUGUGAAUAUGCUUUUAUACGAGUCCGUUUUGGGGGGGUCUAUCUCUGGCCGCACCCGCGCCGGCCCGCAAAACCAGUUUUUUCACGAACUGUAAAUGGCUUUUUCGGGUCGACAUUAUAUGGGGUCUGCUAGAGAUGCUCUAAGGGCAUUUCUACCCAACCCCCUAAAGUAGCGGAGGAUCCAACAGAGUAAACCCUUAGGCUCUGUCCGAAAGUUUUUCGGGAGCCAACUUUUUAAAAUCGCUCUGAGAAGUAGGUUUCACACAGACGAGGAUUAUGUAGUACAUUUUUUGCGAAGACAAGAAGCAAUGCCAGCCCAACUUCGCGAAACCGAGAAGCAGCGAUUGGUCGAAAUUAUAUAGGAAUGCCCUUCUAAAGUGAGCCUUGCGUACUCAAUCGCUACAAGCCGAACCUCAUAUCACGCCCAAGAUGCGACCCUAUCCUCAAUUUGGCAUGAGGGCCUCGUCAGGGAUAGAAGCUCAUCUCGUCGUGUCGCAAAAAUGGAUAUCGUUACAAGUACAUGUACUGAAAAGAAGAGAUAUAUAAAUAGAAUUGGCUUACAAUCGCCACAAGCUACAUCAGAGUCACAUCAGUACAUUACAUAAUCAUCAAGAGGAAGAGCAGGGUCCGACUACGGACGAAAACAAACGAGAAAAGAAGAACGACGUCCAUCCUUGCUAUCCCAGGCUGCCGGCCUGGAACCCAUCCUAGAUCGAUGAUGAAGAAGAAGAAGCAACUCCAAAUGAACAAUCAACGCGCUCGCGUCAAGUAACCUUUACCUGUACCUGCAACUGGUGUUGUAGUAAUCUGUGAGCCACAGGGAACUCAGUAAUCUCAUUUCCAAAGGUAUCAAGACUAGGAAAACUUAUUAGGUGAGGCAUGGUUAAGUGGUGAGGUUGCAGCAGUGGCUAAACAUAUAUUUGGUGGCUAAACUUACGAGUACAAGAAAUCAGAGGGGGAAGAUCUACGCAUAGCGGACGUGAACUACGGUUGAUCAAAUGAAUGAUCCUGAACACCUACCUACGUCAGACAUAACCCCACCGUGUCCUCGAUCGGAGAAGGAACUCACGAAAGAGACAGUCACGGUUACGCACACAGUUGGCAUAUUUUAAUUAAUUAACUUCAAGUUAUCUAGAACCAGUGUUAAACAAAGUUUCCACGUUGCCACGUAACCGCGGGCACGGCUUUCCGAAAGAUUUAAACAAAGGUUAAGCAAGCAGUAACAUAGCCAAUAAGUGGUUUGCUAGGUCGAACAGAUUGAAGGUUAACAUGGCAUUGUUGAGAGGCUGAUAUUUAACAUGUGGUAGGCAACGAGACAUAAUCGAUAAAAGCGAUAAAACUAGCAUGGCAAUGAUAGUAAUGGUAUCUGAGGAAAUGGUCAUCUUGCCUGAGAUCCCUCUUGGAAGAAGAAUGACUCUGUGAAGCAAACGAACCGAUGUAGUCGAACGGGUCCUCACAUAUGACACGCUUGCGGAACUCUAUCGAGACGGAGGAAACCGGAAACAAGAAUCAACACACGAUAUUCAGCACACGAUGCACAACACAAAUGAUGCAUAACCAGCUGAUAACAUGCAAGUCACGGCAUGACAAUUCACACAAACAAACACUACACCUUAAGUGAAGUUCAAUAUGCAACGAGUUGCAUAUUGACGAAACUCCACGUUUAUUUAUUUAAUUCUAUCCCGAUUAGGUACACGACAAUAUUAAAUGUGGUUAAACAUGGCAAGAGGUGAAGCGUAAUUAAACUACCUAUCUAGGCAUUUUAAAUAAGGUUGGAAAUGACAUAUAUCAUCUCCGAAACGACCUCACAUGUUAAUUUACAAUUCUAUCCAGAUCUAAACUAACACAUUUAAUUGGUUAUUAAACAACAAAACAAAUAGGUUCACGUGAUUCUACGCGUUGUUACAAGCAAUUUACACAUAGAGAACAUCUCCAACGGAUCUACGGAUCAAAAGUUACAAGCACCGCAAGAUAUGAUGGCAUGAAUGCAAUAUGUGUGCAACGGCGGUCACGAGCACUUCAAAACAUACAACCAGCAAGGGAAAAUGAAACUACACGAGAUUCUAAGCAAGUUUCAUGUAGGACACGAUCAAAAUGGAGCUACGGUUCAACAUCUACGAGCAAAACAAGAAAACACCACAAUCUGCCAAAAUCAGCCACAUAUCAUUUUCUACACCCCACAACUACGAGCUACACAACUCCAAUCUAAUCAACCAAGGCAUGAAACGAUAGAGGGCAAGAAGCACUACAACAAACAACUAACAAAAAUUAGCAUGGCAUCAUGGAUCACUAGGGAAAGAAGUCACAAAAUGGCCACUCACACACUAUUUCAGACUUAGUGAAAAUUACACUUCAUGAAAGUGCAGUUUUCGAUCUAAAGCUAUAUUGACAGCAGCAAAACCAAAAGCUACAGGACCUCAAAUAGCAUGAAAAUUUACAGCAAGCUAUAUAAACAUAAAUUCUAAAACUAAACUCCAUUGCACCAACCUCAAAAGAGCUACAAAUCACAAGAUACAAGCAAGACAAGACAGCAACAAAAUAUAACAGAUUUCAGACUUAGAAAUAUUUCAGCUCCCCCAAAUCAGCACUGUUUCUAGCAACUUGAGAGCAAGCAAACCACACAUAAACAUGCAUUUCUAUUACAACCAAAAUACCGGGGGCUAGACUAAACACCAAAGAACAACUCCCUAGUUGACAACUUAAUCAAACGAAACACGGAAUAAAUCCUACGGAAAAGACAAGAGGCCAACAUGGCAAAAUAUCGCGCGAACUAACUUCCUCAAAAGCUAAAACUAAUUGCACAGAAAAAUCCAAUGGAUUUUUUUUACCCCGAAAACAUAUAAAACAUGUGGGGUUGCAACACGAAAAUAUUGUCACACGUAAAUGAGAGAAAAUAACCUAUACACGGAAAAUAAACUAGCAGUAAACCCUACACGCAAAAAUACGAGUGACCGCUCUAAAAUACAUGGAAAAAUGGUUCCUAAAACAUGGGCAUUUAUCUAAGGCAUUCGGGCAAACCGGAUACGCGCGAAAAAUAAAUACGGGACGCAAUCAUAUUAGGACAGCAUGUUAAUCUAUGCAUACGGCACGCUAAACGUCUUCAAACAAAUAUGCAAGUUGCACCAACGUAUUCUACGCGCAAUACUACGCGAAAUCCAAAUGCUACAUGUCGCGAUCUGAUUUACGGAUUGAAAGAUAGGGGCAUUAUAUAUUCGUCUAUUUCCUGAAAAAUAUAUAUUGUCAGGAAAAAUCCUAAUAAUCAAACGGGCCGUAUUGGGGGCGCUUUACACCGAAAAUUGCACAGGCGGGGGAUAGUCCAGUCUCACCUUGGGGCCUUCGGGCCGGAGGGUGGUGGAGGAGGCCAGCUGGAGGCUUGGGCCGAGCGGGGCUGCUGGGCCGCAGGGUCCAGGAGCGCGGUCAACGCCUGGAGGAGACCAUCGGGCCUGCUGGCUGCUGCUGGGCCUCAUGGGGGCGCGCGUCCCACAGACGAAGGCGGUGUGGAGCUGGGCCGGCGGGACGGGGCCGGCGUGGGCGAGCGAGGCGACGCGGCCGAGGAGCGGGGCUCCUCAUCGUCCUCCCGACGCUGCUCGUGCUCGAGCGCUGCAGGGGCGGCGGCGGCUGGCUCUGCACGCGCCGGUGGCCGAGGUGGCGUGGGAACCCGGGCAGACGCCGGCGCCGGCGCGGAUCUGGCGUGUCCAGGCGGAGGCAGGCCAUCGGGCGGCUUCCUUCAGGCUCGGAGCGGCGGAGAUGGUAGGCGCAACGCCGACAGAGCAAGAUGGCGGCGGCGGUCACCGACGGCGUGGAGGCGGGGCAUCGGGGAAGGUCCGGUCGCGAACUCUGACGAGCUCCGACGGCUCCUGGUUCGGCGGGGAGCUGCGGGAUGGCCGGCGAGUGCGGGCGCGAGGCGCGGGGAGCUCGGGGCAGGAGGCAGAACGGGCGGCGGCGGCGGCCGGAUGGGCUUCGGGCGGGCCACGCACGGGCUCGGGCGGGCCCGGCGGCGUGGGGGAGGAGAGAGAGGUGGGAGAAGUUAGGGUUAGGGGUAGGUGGGCGCGGAAACACAAGGAGGGAUUAGAGAAAGGCUGUCUAAAAUGCACCGAGGGGGGUCUAUUUAUAGAGAAAAGGGGGCUAGGUUAGCCGGAAUUUCGUUCCGGAUCCAACCGUGCGGUCGGAUUCGAACGAUUCCGAACGCGGGAACGGUUACGAGGCCGCGUACAGUGGAUAUCCGGAGACGAGCGGGAGAACGGGUGGCGCGACAACGAAUUUUAAAACACCGACGAACGUCCGACGAAUAACCGAAGACGGCGCCGCUACGGUCGACCGUUCGGGUACCAGACGGUCUCCGAUUGCGACGAAACUUGACAGGCGGGCUACCUAUAUUAAAAUAACUCCGCACGUCAAAUCUCAUCCCAAUGAGAGAAAGUUUUACGUACACUUUUAAAAACAAAAUUCGAACGAUGCUGCGGGCGCGUGCGUGUGCGGUCGGGCUCAGAACGGACAACGAUGAGAACCGGCAACUAACAACGGAUGCAAGUUUUAAAAACUGGAGGCAACGGAGAUGUCGAUGCAAUGCCGAUGAUGUGAAUGAUGCGAUGAUGAUGCGACAAAUAAAAAUAGACACACGACGAAAACGGAGAGAGAGGGGAAUCUUCUGGAACAUCGACAUCGGGCUGUCACAACUCUCCUACACUACAGGAGGAUCUCUCCCCGAGAUCCAAGAAUGAAAGGGGGAGAGGAUGAGAAAGAACAAGUGGUAAAAACUUAAUCGCUUCUUUGCCAAACGAGUGAAACAAUGAUCCCUGAAGGUUGCAAAGCGAUGAGGAGUGAUAUGAGAAAGAAGCAAGAAUCCACGGAAAAUUUCGGCAGCACUUCGGUAGGAAAAUGGGACAAAAAAUUCGAUAAGAAGAGAGAAUUAGACAAUAUACAUAACAAACAACUAAAUAGAACAAGGGAACACCAUGAUCUUGAUAGAACAAGAAGCUAGACCCAAAAGAGCAACAUCACAAAGCCUCCGGAACGAUAGAAUAGGAACUAGCUCAUACGGAAGAAGAGAAUGAAGAGAGAAUGACAACUACUAACUCCAAUGUACUUGGCAAGCAUCCUUGCAAGAAGAAUUGGACAGAGUUGUUGGAAAAACAACAACGACAAGAACAAGAUAGUAGUGGGCUUAUGGAAACCUUUUCAAACUAAUGAAGUGACAACCAGCCACUAACAAAAACAAGGAUUGAUUGGGAGAAACAAGAUAUGGACAAUUCUUACACCAAGAGGAUACAUUGAGAACUUGGAUUAAUGACAAGCACCAUGAUAGCAACAAUCCAUAGGAAAAGCUUUAGGUGAAAUCCAAACCAAGAUAGCUCAAUGAAGAAAUCAUGGGUUGAAACUAUCUCAUGAUCAUAUAAUUGGUGGGUUUAAUUAUCUCAUUCUUGAAAGGAAUUUUCUUCGAGGCUCCUACACUAACAAGAAUGCUAUAAUACCACCUCACAGGAUAAAGGAAGAACAAUUGCACAUAUAAAUGCAAGAGAAAGGAUACUUGAGUUUCUCCAACAAGAAUCUUGAAGAACACUUUGAGAAUGAAUUGAGAACAUGAUCCACUCCGGAAGAAAAAUUGAAACCAUUUGAUGAAGCAAGAAUAAGAAUUAUGUUAUGCUUAUCCUUCAUCAAAUUAAAUUGAUGACAAGCAACGGAUUUAGCAUACAACUUAUUCCUCUUGAAAGAAUCUUGAAGAGACAGAGAGAUAAGCACCACUUGAAGCAUAAUUGAAGGAAGCACCGGUAAGAAUUCACAAUUGAAUGGGGAUACCAAGAAUGCAUGGAAACACAUGAGAAUGAAGAGAUCAUGAUCCACCUAACAGAAAACUUGAAUAAGGCACCGGAAUAAUCGAGAGACGAAUGAAGAGGCAACAAUUGAGAAGAAUUGAGGAUGAAGCUGAAAGCUGAGAACGAAGAAUCUUCUAAAAUGAUGGCCUUUGGAGGAUCGAGAAAUAAAAACAACUCAGAAAUGCACCGGAUAGCAAGAAAGGGAUACUCAUGAUUGACAGCAAAUAAGAUGAUGGCACAAGGCUGAAAUGAUGAAUCUCCAAGAGAAUGGACCAAUAUUUGAGGGAAACACUCCUUGGAAUUGCAAGCUAAGAAUGAUGACGAGAAACACCACCACGAAUAACUGAGACACUCCAAAAAUAAUGAAGAAUGCAUGGUUGAGCCAAAUAUGAGAAUUAACUCAAAUUGAUCUUGAAGAAGGAAUAUGACUAAUGAAAUUCAUACUUACGUCAUAGUUGAAAAGAAUUAUAGAUCUCCGGAAGAUUACAAGAGCUAUAUAAGAUCUUGGGAAAAACCUGUGGGUUAUGGGCCCACUCAAAGAAACCACCGUUGAAAGGAUUGAAAGACAGAUUGAAUGCACUGGUACAAAUGAAAACUACAUGAGGUUGAGAACCUCGAAAUACUUAAAGAAUAGAAAACACGAAACUUCCGAGAUAUCUUCAACACACCGAAUACAAAGAGAAGAAUGAAUAACAAGAUGGGCUAAAAAGAAUUUCCAACACAGGAAAGAAUUUAAAGGAUAGAAAAAGGAUAUAAUGAACAUGGAUAGCUGAAUUAAAUUCACCGGGAAAAGACCACAAGAAUGAACAAAGAUGAACAUGAAGCUCCUAAGAAUCUUCACAAUGAAUCACCGGAUACGACACGGAAUAAAAGAUAGCUGAAGCAACAAUGAAAAGAGAACUCUUGGAUGAAAAUUGAAUCACCGAAGAAAAGGGUGGGAGGGCGGGGAAAAACAACGAUAACUUGGGACAGAUGAGAUGAACUCCGGAAUAAAAUGAGAGAAUGAUCUUGCAAAAUUGCAGAGGAAUUAGUUCACUUGGAGAGAAACACACCGGUUGGAAAAGAAUUAACAACUCCAGUUGACAAAAUUGAUAAGACAAUUGAUUGAGCAAAAGGAUUAGCACUCUCAUAGAAAUGAGAACCGCUCUUGGAAAGAUAUGAAAUCACCAUCUGACAUCGAAGCAACUCGAAUUACCAUAUUCCAACAAAACAAAGGGUGCGGCUUAUGAAACAAGCUAGAACAAACUCAUGAUAAAGAUUUCGUCCGAUAUUUUCGUGGACAUGAUCGCACGGGCUCGAACCAUACAUUAGCCAUCAAGUGCAAGGCAGUGCACCCGACAUACGAAGCGUCCCCGAGUCGUAGCAAGCUACAAGGACUCUUUAAGACACAAUGUGUACCGUUGUAAGUCGACCGUGAACAAACAAAUCCACUAGAUGUCGAACCCCAACCUAACAUCAUGCAUUUGCUGGAAGAUUGUCCUAUAAGUAACUACUUGAAUUCCCACCUAUGAAUUCCCGAAAUUUCUGGUCAUGCAAUCUGGUACACGGAUACAAGGAGUAAUAAUCACACAACUCCUAUACUAACCCGUCACCUGUAUCACAUCCGUCAACACACAACCAGAAUCUCAGACCUUCAUCUACAACAGACCCUCGUGAUCACAACGAUACAAAGUAUGGCAGUACUCCCGAACAAUCUGCACCAGUAUUGGGGACAUCGGGGUUAUCUCGCCACUACUAGUAUUGAAGCAAUUACAGACAUCCUUCGUUUUGAGAUACUAAGAAAUCUGAAUGAUAACGAUGUGCUCAAGAAUCCCCUGGAGCUCAACUCCCCGGAAGAAAAUCAAGUCAGACAGGAGGCACCAAGACAGAACUCCGUCACAUCGACAUCAUAUAGAUUCCAAAAAUAUCUGCGUGAUCCUAACUUUUUUGAGUGGGAAGAGGAGUAGAAUAAAUUAUUACGUCAAGAUUCCUCACCAGAGCAUAGAAGAUGAGAAAAAGAAUCCUACUCUCCGAUAUAUAACUAAGACUCAAAUAGUUUUUCACUAGACUCGACUCGGCCAAGUUCGAUCAAUCAAGGAGGCUCCUAGGUCGGUACUGCUCUCAUACCAACUUGUCACGCCCAAGAUGCGACCCUAUCCUCAAUUUGGCACGAGGGCCUCGUCAGGGAUAGAAGCGCAUCUUGUCGUGUCGCAAGAAUGAAUAUCGUUACAAGUACAUGUACUGAAAAGAAGAGAUACAUAAAUAGAAUUGGCUUACACUCGCCACAAGCUACAUCAGAGUCACAUCAGUACAUUACAUAAUCAUCAAGAGGAAGAGCAGGGUUCGACUACAGACGAAAACAAACGUGAAAAGAAGAACGACGUCCAUCCUUGCUAUCCCAUGCUGCCGGCCUGGAACCCAUCCUAGAUCGAUGAUGAAGAAGAAGAAGCAACUCCAAAUGAACAAUCAACGCACUCGCGUCAAGUAACCUUUACCUGUACCUGCAACUGGUUUUGUAGUAAUCUGUGAGCCACAGGGGACUCAGCAAUCUCAUUUCCAAAGGUAUCAAGACUAGCAAAGCUUAUUAGGUGAGGCAUGGAUAAGUGGUGAGGUUGCAGCAGCAGCUAAGCAUAUAUUUGAUGGCUAAACUUACGAGUACAAGAAAUCAGAGGGGGAAGAUCUACGCAUAGCGGACGUGAACUACGGUUGAUCAAAUGAAUGAUCCUGAACACCUACCUACGUCAGACAUAACCCCACCAUGUCCUCGAUCGGAGAAGGAACUCACGAAAGAGACAGUCACGGUUACGCACACAGUUGGCAUAUUUUAAUUAAUUAACUUCAAGUUAUCUAGAACUAGUGUUAAACAAAGUUUCCACGUUGCCACGUAACCGCGGGCACGACUUUUCGAAAAUUUUAACCCUACAGGGGUGCUCCAACUAGUCCAUCACAAAUUACCACAAGCCGCAUAGAAAUCCUCAAUCACGAAGCUCGCGAUCUCAUCGGAUUCCUUAGUGGAAAACCUCAACUCUGAGAUUACCCAAAGCAUCACCGGAAUCCCGAUGCACAAGAUAUUUCGUCAAAGGUAAAACUAAUCCAGCAAGGCCGCCCGACGUGUCGACGAUCCCGAUAGGAGCCACGUAUCUCGUUCUCAGGACACGACGAAUGGAAAAGCCUACAGGUACCAAACCUCGAGUUGCCCCGUGGUGGCCCCGCAGUCUGUCCAGUUUGGACCAACACUCAUGAGGAGCACUGGCCCGGGGGUUGAUUAAAUUAUCCUCGGGGUCCGGAAAGUCCCUAUGCAAUUUUAUUAGGUGAUUAGGCAAAUGUAGUACCAAAGUUGGGCCUUGCCAGACCAGCUUUAAUCUAAAACUAAUUAUCAAGGGGGUCCCCAUAACAACCCCGAUCGUGUUAGGAGCGCUCAAAUAUGGAACAUAACACCGGUAGCCGAAACUAAGGGGGCAAAGGUGGAAGAAAACACCAGGCUAGAAAUGCCGAGCCUUCCACCUUUUACCAAGUAUAUAGGUGCAUUAAAUUAAAUAGCAUUUAAUAUGAUGAUAUAACAAGGAACCCAUGCUUUCACAUGGAAGCAACUGCACCUGCAACUAGCAACGCUAACACAAGGUUAAGCAAGCAGUAACAUAGCCAAUCAGUGGUUUGCUAGGUCGAACAGAUUGAAGGUUAACAUGGCAUUGUUGAGAGGCUGAUAUUUAACAUGUGGUAAACAACGAGACAUAAUCGAUAGAAGCGAUAAAACUAGCAUGGCAAUGAUAGUAAUGGUAUCUGGGAAAUGGUCAUCUUGUCCGAGAUCCCGCUUGGAAGAAGAAUGACUACGUGAAGCAGACGAACCGACGUAGUCGAACGGGUCCUCACAUCUGACACGCUUGCGGAACUCUAUCGAGACGGAGGAAACCGAAAACAAGAAUCAACACACGAUAUUCACCACACGAUGCACAACAUAAAUGAUGCAUGAGCAGCUGAUAACAUGCAAGUCACGGCAUGACAAUUCACACAAACAAACACUACACCUUAAGUGAAGUUCAAUAUGCAACGAGUUGCAUAUUGAGGAAACUCCACGUUUAUUUAUUUAGUUCUAUCCCGAUUAGGUACACGACAAUAUUAAAUGUGGUUAAACAUGGCAAGAGGUGAAGCGUAAUUAAACUACCUAUCUAGGCAUUUUAAAUGAGGUCGGAAAUGACAUAUAGCAUCUCCGAAACGACCUGACAUGUUAAUUUACAAUUCUGUCCAGAUCUGAACUAACACAUUUAAUUGGUUGUUAAACAACAAAACAAAUAGGUUCACAUGAUUCCACGCGUCGUUACAAGCAAUUUACACAUAGAGAACAUCUCCAACGGAGCUACGGAUCAAAAGUAAAAGCACCGCAAGAUAUGAUGGCAUGAAUGCAAUAUGUGUGCAACGGCGGUCACGAGCACUUCAAAACAUACAACCAGCAAGGGAAAAUGAAACUACACGAGAUUCUAAGCAAGUUUCAUGUAGGACACGAUCAAAACGGAGCUACGAUUCAACAUCUACGAGCAAAACAAGAAAACACUACAAUCUGCUAAAAUCAACCACGUAGCACUUUCUACACCCCACAACUACGAGCUACACAACUCCAAUCUACUCAACCAAGACAUGACAUGAUAGUGGGCAAGAAGCACUACAACAAACAACUAACAACAACUAGCAUGGCAUCAUGGAUCACUAGGAAAAAAAGUCACAAAAUGGCUACUCACACACUAUUUCUAUUGCAACCAAAAAUACCGGGGGCUAGACUAAACACCAAAGAACAACUCCCUAGUUGACAAUUUAAUCAAACAAAGCACGGAAUAAAUUCUACGGAAAAGACAAGAGGGGAACAUGGCAAAAUAUCGCGCGAACUAACUUCCUCAAAAGCUAAAACUAAUUGGACAGAAAAAUCCAAUGGAUUUUUUCUACCCCGAAAACAUAUAAAACACGUGGGGUUGCAACACGAAAAUAUUGUCACACGUAAAUGCGAGAAAAUAAGUUAUACACGGAAAAAUAAACUAGCGGCAAACCCUACACGCAAAAAUACGAGUGACCGCUCUAAAAUACAUGAAAAAAUGGUUCCUAAAACAUGGGCAUCUAUCUAAGGCAUUCGGGCAAACCGGACACGCGUGAAAAAUAAAUACGGGACGCAAACAUAUUAGGACAGCAUGUUAAUCUAUGCAUACGGCACGCUAAACGGUGUCAAACAAAUAUGCAAGUUGCACCAACGUAUUCUACGCGCAAAACUACGCGAAAUCCAUAUGCUACAUGUCGCUAUCCGAUUUACGGAUUGAAAGAUACGGGCAUUAUAUAUUCGUCUAUUUCCUGAAAAAUAUAUAUUCUCAGGAAAAAUCCUAAUAAUCAAACAGGCCGAAUUGGGGGCGCUUUACACUGAAAAUUGCACUCGCGGGGGAUAGUCCAGUCUCAACUUGGGGCAUUCGGGCCGGAGGGUGCUGGAGGAGGCCAGCUGGAGGCUUGGGCCGAGCGGGGCUGCUGGGCCGCGGGGUCCAGGAGCGCGGUCAACGCCUGGAGGAGACCAUCGGGCCUGCUGGCUGCUGCUGGGCCUCAUGGGGGCGCGCGUCCCACAGACGAAGGCGGUGUGGAGCUGGGCCGGCGGGACGGGGCCGGCGUGGGCGAGCGAGGCGACGCGGCCGAGGAGCGGGGCUCCUCGUCGUCCUCCCGACACUGCUCGUGCUCGAGCGCUGCAGGGGCGGCGGCGGCUGGCUCUGCACGCGCCGGUGGCCGAGGUGGCGCGGGAACCCGGGCAGACGCCGGCGCCGGCGCGGAUCUGGCGUGUCCGGGCGGAGGCAGGCCAUCGGGCGGCUUCCUUCAGGCUCGGAGCGGCGGAGAUGGUAGGCGCAACGCCGACAGAGCAAGAUGGCGGCGGCGGUCACCGACGGCGUGGAGGCGGGGCAUCGGGGAAGGUCCGGUCGCGAACUUUGACGAGCUCCGACGGCUCCUGGUUCGGCGGGGAGCUGCGGGAUGGCCGGCGACUGCGGGCGCGAGGCGCGGGGAGCUCGGGGCAGGAGGCAUAACGGGCGGCGGCGGCGGCCGGAUGGGCUUCGGGCGGGCCACGCGCGGGCUCGGGCGGGCCUUGCGGCUGGGGGAGGAGAGAGAGGUGGGAGAAUUAGGGUUAGGGGUAGGUGGGCGCGGAAACACAAGGAGGGAUUAGAGAAAGGCUAUCUAAAAUGCACCGAGGGGGGUCUAUUUAUAGAGAAAAGGGGGCUAGGUUAGCCGGAAUUUCGUUCCGGAUCCAACCAUGCAGUCGAAUUCAGACGAUGCCGAACGCAAGAACGGUUACGAGGCCGUGUAGAGUGGAUAUCCGGAGACGAGAGGGAGAACGGGCGGCGCAGCAACGAAUUUUAAAACACCGACGAACGUCCGACGAAUAACCGAAGACGGUGCCGCUACGGUCGACCGUUCGGGUACCAGACGGUCUCCGAUCGCGACGGAACUUGACAGGCGGCCUACCUAUAUUAAAAUAACUCCGCACGUCAAAUCUCACCCCAAUUAGAGAAAGUUUUACGCACACUUUUAAAAACAAAAUUCGAACGAUGCCGCGGGCGCGUGUGUGUGCGGUCGGGCUCAGAACGGACAACGACGAGAACCGGCAACUAACAACGGAUGCAAGUUUUAAAAACUGGCGGCAACGGAGAUGCCGAUGCAAUGCCGAUGAUGCGAAUGAUGCGAUGAUAAUGCGACAAAUAAAAAUAGACACACGACGAAAACGGAAAGAGAGGGGAAUCUUCUGGAACGUCGGCAUCGGGCUGUCACACCUCAACACAUGAAAGUCAGGAGUUGAUUGAGAUUACAUUCCACUAGCCUUUUUGAAGUGAGUCUCGCGUACCAUUUUGAUACUAUUUCGAUUGCUAGAACCUGAUUCCCCGUCGAACCGGGCCAAUAUGACCUCGCCCAAGCCAUGGCCGAACGGGCCUUAGCCUAAUUUUCUAGGCCACCAGUCCAUGCGUACAUGACGAGCUGAGCACGUCCACACGAAUCGCUACUCCAUCGAGAAGCUGUCUAAGUCUGUGUUUGGUUCAAAUUUUUUUUACCAACUUCCGCUUUGAAUAGUUAAAAGCUAACCAAAGGGGUAAAUGUUUAAAAUUGUAGCUUUUUCUAGUGUAAAUUUUAAAGCUGGGGGUACCCCAACUUUUCAUCUUCUAACUUUUCUACAACAACUUUUCUAGAAUCUACACCUCAACCAAACACAACAUAAUUAUUUCAGGAGGCUAGUGGAGAUUCGAACGGGGCCUUAGAGCAUCCAAAGCUAGAACUUGCAAAACGGUCUCUCAAACGUCCGCGGACGCAUCUGGACGCGUCCGUGAACACUGACCGGUCACAUCUUAAGUAAUUCAUUUUAUAUUCGGAUACAUCAAAUUCAUAUUAUUACAUGCAACGUAAACCUAAUACUAAGAGGAGGUCGUCCGACUCCAUCGUGCCCAUGUCCGGCGGCUCGCUGCGCCCUUCGUCGCGUCGGUCCCUUCGUCGACGAGGUAGAGUAGGUCAUGAGACACUAGCCGGCUCACGGGAGUCGACCUCAUGCCGUCUCUCAUACCCUAUUCAUCCUCGUCGGAGCCCGUAACCCAGACGGUGUCGGUGAACGUGAGGUCGAUGACAGAUCCCUCCUGGAAGGAGCCAACGUCUACCACGAUGCGAUUGCGAUGCCCGCACUGGUGCACCCUACAGGGCGCCAGAGAGCGUGACUCCGCCUCUCCAACGUCCACCACCGCCUCCCGCGCCCGCUGCCUCGCACGAGGGCACGCUGCGCCAUGCUAGCGUCCGCGGUCGCCCAUGGCGCGUCCUCGACGCGCCAAUGGAGAGGUUGCGUGUCCAUCACGUCGUUCAUACGCUAGACGGACCGCAAUGCCUCUCAUGAGGUAGCGACACCGGAUCCAAGCACCGGUUGUGCCAAUGCAAUGGAUUCCCGACGUUGUGAGUUCGAGCGCUGCCGAAGGGCGGCCGCCUCCCGGGGGCGGCGGAGCGCAAGCCAGGCGGCUAUCUCCUCCUCGGGGCCGCGUUGGAUGAGCUCGUGAUCGACGGAUCUGCAGGUAAAGGACUCGAAUCCGCUGCCCGUCAUGCCAGAUAAGGCGGGAGGAUCACUAGAUGGGGGAUUGGAAGGCGGAUGAGAGUGGAGGGGAGUGGAGUGAAGUGGUUAGGGUUUGAUCCGACGAGCGAAUGAGGACGAAUAUAUGCGGGGUCGAUGCGGGCCAUUGCGGGCCUGCCCAGGCGCCCUCAUACCCGCCUCAUAUUUGGACUGGAUAUGAGGCAUGCCGGUCAGCCUGGGCGUUUGAGGCCGGGUUCAGAGGCCCGUCUGGGUCAAACAUCGUGACCCUUCAAUGAUCGGGUAGCCUGUUUGGGCGUUUGAGGGGGUAUGAAGGGUCCGAUUAUAGAUGCUCUUAGUGGAGUAUUUUUAUUCGAUAAUUUUUUGUCGGACCUAACCGACCCCCUAUAUAUAACACACUAUUUUUUGCGUUUAAUUUUCGGCCAUUCAAACACAUUUCUUUGCUUCUUUAUUUCAUUCAAUGUCAUUUUGAUAUGUUGGAGUACAUAAUUCACCAAUUCUUUGCUACAAGAACAAAAAUAAAAUAAAAACCAUAACUAGACACUUUAAAAGAUGUCCAACUUUGCUUCGAGUAGUUGAAUUAAUAUAUUCUUUAUGUCUUCAUUGUUGGUUCUCUCUAUUGGCUUCUCAAGCACGCACACUUAUUUCUUCUUUGAUUCCGACAAAUUGAUGUUGCUUCACAUUUAGUCUCAUCUAUAGUCUCUACUCUAGCAACGAGUGGAUGAACAUCUAUCAAAUUUUGUGCUAUCAAUAGAUCGAUAUAAUCUUCUUACCAAUACCAAAAGUUGGAUCCAUCCUACACACAGAUUUAACCAAACAACGAGCUACCAAAAUUGACGAAUCCGGUAAACAACCCAAUCAAAACAAGCACAUACCCCACAUCUUUUUUGCACUUGAAGAACAUCCAUCCGGGAUGUUCCGGCAUGGUGAAAACUCGACGCACAACCUGCCGCGGGCAAUGCUCGCACUGUAUGACCAACAACGGGUAGCCGACGAGCCACUAGGCUAGAGCCGAACCCAGACAAUGGUCCGACAUGUCUUUGUCGACAAACCCCCAACGGAAGAGAUCCGAGUGGCUGGAGGACGAGUCAUUAGAAUAAGGCACGUUUUCAUCGGAUGUACGGAUUAAAAGUUAUAUCGGUUUUAAUAUAAGAUAGUGUGACUCUUUUCAGUUAGGCGCCACACAAAGUGUGGCUCAUUUCUCUUAGGCGUCACACAAGCAGGAGUGUGGUCCCGGGUGCCACGCUGGCCAGAAGUAUAACACCCAUAUGCUAAGCGCUACAUAGUGUAGUGUGACGCCUGACUGUCGGGCGUCACACAAAAGGGUCAGCCGAGUGAUUUUUUUAAACGCAGUCCAUUUUGUGAAUUUGUUUCGCCCCACGGAUCAAUUUUAUCAAUUUUGCCUCGCCUAUUCGAGCAAUCCUACCUCGAAAUCACUCAUAAGAAAACCUUCCCACGCAUCUUAGUUGAUGGAAAAGCUGGCCAAUAGAAUAACUAAUGCAUCUAAAGUUGUCAGAUUCGCGAUUCUGAAUCGGAUCGGAGCUCUGUUGCUAGGAUCGUGAACUGUAGAAUCUUAACUACCAGGAUCGUAGAAACUUAGAUUCUAUAAGUAAAAUCGUAGAAUCGAAAGAGCUAUUUUGGAUCGUAAGAUCUUAACAUUCUAAGACUUGAGUCACGAUUCUGAUAACUUUGGGUGCAUCACACUUCCAAGUUAACAUCUAGAUUCGUCAUACAAUCCAUCACAACUAUCAUUCUAUAUAAAAUCUAAACCAAUGGAAAAAACAUGACUACGCUGGAAUGAUCUUCAACUUCGCCAACAUCUGAAAGUGAAUUUUACAAUAAACAAAGCACUUACUCUGUUAGUCAAAAUACUGUAUAACCAAAACUGAAAGAAGCCUAUAAAUUGAUAAAUAAGAUUUCAAGAUGCAAUAGGAAUUCAUCCUUCAAUUGAUAAUGGACCAAUCCAGCAUCUGACUGCGCCUCAGCGCCCUGCCCCAUGGCAGAAAGGCGACGAGGUCCUGGACCUUACCCCCGUGUCCGUGUCGACCACACCCACAACCUGUGAUCGAAUCCGCAAGCUCUAAUCUCCCUAGGGCAUGACAGAAAGAGAGCAUUCAAAAAAUAAAAUGAGAGCUCUAAUACUGAUCUGAUGGCUUAUUUGCCUUUUAUGCUUAGUGCAUUCUCUCUCAUAGACAUAAAAAUGGAAGUUUCAAUAUUGGAACUAUGCAAGCAUAAAGACUAAGAAACAGAAAGAUUGUAGGCUGAUAGUUAUAGAGCUAGCUCCAAGGAAUGAACUGAAGAAGCAGGACAUGGUCACUAAAAAUCAAAAAAACCACUAUGUCAUCUCCACUUAUACUUUAAGAAAAAACAUAUAACUUGCUCAGAAUGUGAUGUAACCAAGCAGAUGGUCCACAAGUUGGACACCCAUUCUGUUUUCCACACUUAUUCUUCAUAUUAGAUCUCACUACGGAAGGAGAAAAACUCUGCAAAACAACUAAUCCCUCUGUUUAUAAAUAUAAGUCUUUUUAAAAAUUUCACUACGGGUUACAUACGGAUGUACAUAGACAUACUUUAGAGUAUAUGUUCAUUUAUUUUGCUCCUUAUGUAGUUCGUAGUGUAAUCUCUAGAAAGACUUAUAUUUAGGACGGAGGUGGUGGAUCUGAAGAUUGAACAGAAGAAGCACAGAACAUGGUGCUGAAAUCAAAACCAAACAAAGGGAACUACCUGCCAAUCCACUGUGCACCCCUCCACACAAAUUUUAGCAGUGUAAAAUCCACAAGGAAUGCUGAAAUCGUUGCAGCACGCAGGGCGCAGAGCUACAGGGGUAAAAAAAUAAAAAUCCUCACUGCCCAUCAGCGGCGCAACUCGGAUGGCAAAAAACAGAACAGACUAAACAAGGGAAAAAUAAAAGGCGGCACACGGCGUAAAUACCCCCGCCGGCGGCAAGCCGUGCUAAGGCCCUGAAGGCCUGGACGAUUCGCCAUGCAUCUCCCCUCCAUGCUCCAUCUCCUACUCUCUCUCUCUCUCUCUCUGACUGAGCAGGACCGAACCCCCCGCCUCUCAAACCUGGUCGGUUUACUUGCAAACCCAGUGAAAAGGAAAACCCAGACCGCAAGACACAAAACCAGAAAAGAGAUAGGACCAUGCUCUCAGAUCCACGCUUAAAGAAAUCUGACGGACAAAAAUUUCGACUGAGCAAGAAACCAAAACCAGUCGAUUGAAAUUUCGCAGAAAUGAAGGCGAAAGACAGGGACAGAUAUACCAAAGAGCCAAGACUAAAACAUGACAAAAGUACCACUGGAAUCGGUUCAUGCCUGAGACACAUGGGCGGCCAAAUUAUAGUAAAGAAAAACUUGUUAAAAUUUUGUUCUAGUGUACGAGUAUAUAUAGAGUACUAAAACACACACAAAAAGGUGUAGAUCAACACAGGACCAUCGCCUACCAAACCAAAUAAUUAUUACAUAUGAUUAUACAUAAAGGAAGCUAGAACCUAUUCGUUGAAAGCCAAGUUCAUCUUUCUAAGAUUGGGUGUAAUCCACACUGGAGCCGGGCAGUUGGACCAAAGCUCGGGAGACAAAACUUCCUCCCUGCUGUUAUUACCCAAGUUUAGGAUUCCCAUAUCACGGGGAUUGUUCUUGAAUCCCUUUGUCCACAACACACUGUCAUCGGUAAAGUAGGCAUGUUUUCCCUUGAGAGCUGGAUAGUCUUCAGCAGUAAGACAAAGUGAUUGAUUGUGUCCAAGAAACAACACAUGGUCGCACAAGCAACUGAUUUUCUCAAUUUCCUUUCCUGAAGCAUCGAAUUCAUCUAUUAUAACUUCUCCAGUGUUCCAAAACACAAAUGCCCCAGGCUCGGGUUCUAAAUCACAGUGCUCAUAUAAUCUCCACACUUGAAGAAGAUUGCCCCAUGGAGCUUGUACAAUGUAACUAUUCAGAAACCGCUCCUCAUACUUACACGCCGGUACAAUCGUCUUCGUCGUAACAAAAGGGCUACUUAGAUCGAAAGUGUGGAUUUCUCCGAAUGAAGUAACUGCAUACAGCAGGCCGUUCUUGUAAAUGCAAUCAUCAUAGUGGGUGCAUGGUGGCAGCCAUCUCCAACUAUUAUCCCCUGCCCUUGCAAAUGAGAGCUGACAAAAUGGACCGUGUAUGAGCACCACAAUGUAUCCAUUGCAUUUAUCAGAGAACACAAAAGCUUUAUGGUGAUGCGUGUUCCUCAGCUCUCCAAGAGCCAAGAUCGAUGGCGAAGCGUAAACCAUCAUUCCGCUGUGGUAUGAGUACUCGUACUCGUGAAGAGCACCAGAGUCAUUAUAGAUGGGUUUCACAUGCUCCAUGGUGAUCACCGGAGGAAGAUCAAUCUGUUCGCCAGUGAGGGGAUUGACAAGGUGCAUCUCAGAUCUGUCAUCAACUGUUACAAGCAAGCCUUGCGAAGACCCAAUCAGAUGUCUAUUUCUGAUAGGUGGCCCUGGAAGAGUUAGCUUGUACGUCCGCUUCUCCGCGAGGCUGUAGAGGCAAGCAACGCUCUCGCCGGCAGAUUCAGAGGUGUAGAGGAGGCACGGCGUCUGGGGGCGCGUGUAGUGCCCAAGGCUGCGCAGGCUGGAGCUCGCGGAGCGCCAGGAGGAGCAAACCGAGCCGGCACGGACGAGGUCAGGGAUCUCGAGGGUGGCAAAUAUACCCAUCAAGAUAUCCUGAGGCAGAUCAGGCGAUGCGCCCUCAGUAGUCUUGAUCGGUAGAGGAUGCUUGCAGGAUUUCUUGAGUGAACCUGGAGUGAGGCGUAGCAGCCUAGGCAAAGCUCUGAGGACCAGCGAGCACAGAUAUGCUGGGUGUAUAGCUAGACUCCAUAAGCUCAUAGUCCAGGCCAGGCUACAGGCCUCCGUAUAGGCAAAAUCAAUCUUGGACGACUUGCAAAGAGCCAAUGCCGGAGGAGGAAGAUACGGAGCUUCGGUUAUAGUCCGAUUAUUCUCAGGUGUACCGCCGGACUUCAUGAUCUACAGGCAUCCGUAGGCUUUAAUUAAUUAGAAAAGUUACAACUUUGGAUGGAAACAGAGGGUAAGAGUUCUUGGGUAACUUAUACUCCUGAUUCGGAUACGCGAAGAAGUGGAUUGGAUUGGGCGCUCGGGGAUUCUUUUCUCCUCUUUUUCUACUGACUGAUGAUGAAAGGACGGACUUGAUUCGAGUCCCACUCGGUUUGCUUCUCAGAAUCCUUCUACUUUUUUUUGUCUACCAAAGGGCGGAAGGAAAUUAUAGAGCACAGCGGAGCACGCGCGUUGACCUGGUUGGAUUGCAAUACGUGGUGGAGGCGGCUGCGAGUCCCGGAUCCCGGUUUUAGGAACCUUCUACAGGUUUCUAUCCGUUUUUUCCGGUUAUGGGAACUUUUUAAAAGAUUUCAUGUAACCGUUUUUUUUACUUAUUCUUUUUUCCUGUUUCUGUUUCAAUAAUGUUCUGAAUUUUCAAAAAAUGUUCCGGAAAUUGAAAACAUGUUUCGGAAUDYGWAAAAAUGUUCUGUAAUUUUUUUUUAAAAAAAUUCCGUAAAUUUAAAAAAAUGUUCUAGUUAAUUUUUUAUACUAAAAUUGUUUUACGGUUUUUUUAACAAAAAAAAAAAAAAUUGUUUCCGUAACUAAUUUAGUAAAAAAAAUUAUUACUAAGUGUAGUGUCGUNNNNNNNNNNNNNNNNNNNNNNNNNNNNNNNNNNNNNNNNNNNNNNNNNNNNNNNNNNNNNNNNNNNNNNNNNNNNNNNNNNNNNNNNNNNNNNNNNNNNACCAGGGACCCCACAAGCCCUCAUGGUGCGGCCGAAGGGGGGGGGGGGCGCCUCCCAGGCUUGUGGGCUCCCUGGGCCUCCUCUGCCCUAGCUCCUUCGCCUAUAUAUUCCCUAAAAUCCCAAAAAAAUCAAGGGAGCCACGAAAAUACUUUUCCGCCACCGCAAGCUUUUGUCUCCGCAAGAUCCCAUAUGGGGCACGUUCUGGUGCCCUGCCGGAGGGGGGAUUCAGAUACGGAGGGCUUCUUCAUCAACACCAUGACCUCUCCGAUGAUGCGUGAGUAGUUCACCAUAGACGUUCGGGUCCAUAGCUAGUAGCUAGAUGGCUUCUUCUCUCUCUUGGAUCUUCAAUACAAAGUUCUCCAUGAUCUUCAUGGACAUCUAUCCGAUGUAAUCUUCUUUUGCGGUGUGUUUGUCGAGAUCCGAUGAAUUGUGGAUUUAUGAUCAUAUUAUCUAUGAGUCUUAUUUGAGUUUCUUCUGAUCUCUUAUAUGCAUGAUUUCAUAUCCUUGUAAUUCUCUUCGAGUUGUGGGUUUUGUUUGGCCAACUUGAUCUAUGAUUCUUGCAAUGGGAGAAGUGCUUGGUUUUGGGUUCAUACCAUGCGGUGACCUCACCCAGUGACAGAAGGGGUAGCGAGGCACGCAUCAUGUUGUUGCCAUCAAGGAUAAAAGAUGGGGUUUUCAUCAUUGGUUUGAGUUUAUCCCUCUACAUCAUGUCAUCUUGCUUAAGGCGUUACUCUGUUCGUCAUGAACUCAAUACACUAGAUUCAUGCUGGAUAGCGGUCGAUGUGUGGAGUAAUAGUAGUAGAUGCAGAAAGUAUCGGUCUACCUGUCGCGGACGUGAUGCCUAUAUGUAUGAUCAUUGCCUUAGAUAUCGUCAUGACUUUGCGCGGUUCUAUCAAUUGCUCGACAGUAAUUUGUUCACCCACCGUAAUAUUUGCUAUUUUGAGAGAAGCCCUCUAGUGAACACUAUGGCCCCGGGUCUACUUCACAUAUCAUAUUUUCAGCCUUACACUUUUACUUCGUUGCACUUUCCGCCUUCAGAUCUCACUUUGCAAUCAAUCUUGAAGGGAUUGACAACCCCUUUAUAGUGUUGGGUGCAAGCUCUUUUGUGUUUGCGCAGGUACUCUGGACUUGACGCGAUUCUCCUACUGGAUUGAUAACUUGGUUCUCAAACUGAGGGAAAUACUUACUGCUCCUGUGCUGCAUCACCCUUUCCUUUUCAAGGGACAAACCAACGCAAGCCAAGUCUCCAUCAACGUGCCAAUUUCUGGCGCUGUUGUGUGUUGCCGUAGCAGAAGAAUUUCUGGCACUGUUGCCGGGGAGGAUCAAGUCAAGAACUCAUCCAAGUAAGUGUCGCGAACUCAUCUCUUGCAUUUACCUUUUUGCCUCUCGUUUUCCUCUCCCCACUUCUUAAAAACAAAAUUUACAAAAUAUUUGCCUUUUUCUUCAUUUGCCCUUUUGUUCGUUUGCCUUUUUCGUUCGCCCUUUUCUCUCGAUUGCUUCCUGUUCGCUUGUGUGGGAUAGUCUACCUGUCCUCAUGGAUAGACUUCGAAUGAUACUCCCGAGAACGAACUUCUCAAUUUCAAGCAAAAUGAGGAAGAAAACUUAAAGGACGCUUGGUAUAGGAUUUGCAAUGCUCAGAGUAGAUCUACUCGUAAGCAAUCUACUACCGUCCUGCUUCGUAGUUUUUAUGUGGGUAUUUCUCCUUGGAGUAGGUAUAUUCUUGACACCAUCGUAUGCGGACGGAGCUGUAAUAAAUUUGGUAGGCUCACCCCCACUCAUGGUUAAUGGAACUACCUUAACUCUGGAACAUGUGAUGCGUAGGCUGGACGUCAUUGAAAAUAAAGUUGCUACGAUCGAACUCAUUGAGAAUUUGGAUAAAAAGAUCCACAAUCAAACCACUCAGUAUGGAUCCAAGGUGGGAAUGGUUUUUAAAAAUUUAAAGGAGAAGGAACCCCCAGUUAACGAAAACUAGGUCAUGAUUCCGCUAGGAUUGGCAAACUAGAGGAUGUUAUAACCAACUUGGGUUCCGCUUUUGCCGCUGUGCAGAAUACUCCAAACUUUGCCCACAAUAAGGCCACCAAGUCCAUUUUUGUUCCUAAAAAUAGUGGUGAAUCAUCUAGUAAGAAAGAUGAAGACCUUAAGAUGAUGAGUGAUCACGCUACUUAUGGUUUCAGCACCAAAGACGACGAUACGUGAUUCUAUCGCUUUAUGCCUAGCUAAGGGCGUUAAACAAUAGCGCUUGUUGGGAGGCAACCCAAUGAAUUUACCUUCUUCUUUCUAUUUUGUUGCGUCCACACCAUCAUAUUUCUGUAUUGAUAGUGUCUUUUGUGUUUGAGCCAAGCAAAACCUUUAUGACUAGUCUUGGUGAUGGUUGUUUGAUCUUGCUGGAAAAAGACAGAAACUUUUGGCUCACGAUAUUAUUUUUCAUUUUAUUCAGAAAGCGAUUUUGAGUUGAUUCUUUUUUAUGCUGGUUGAUAUGCCUUUUACCCAGGCAGUCGUAAUUGUUCAGAAUUUUGCAGGUACCAUAAGUAUACGAAGUAUACAGAUUGCUGCAGACUGGUCUGUUUUUGACAGAUUCUGUUUUUGUUGAGUUGGUUGCUUGUUUUGAUGAAACUAUGGAUAGUAUCUGGGGGUACUAGCCAUGGAAAAGUGAGAAUACAGUAAUCUAACACCAAUAUAAAUAGAAAUCAAUAUUGCUACAGUACCAAAGGAGGUGGUAGUUUGUUUUCUUGUGCUAAUGAUAUCACGAGUUUCUGUUUAAGUUUUGUGUUGUGAAGUUUUCAAGUUUUCGGUGAUGUUCUCAUGGACAAAGGGAUAAAGAGUGGAAAGAGCUCAAGCUUGGGGAUACCCAAUACAUCCAAAGCCAAAUUCAAGGACAUCAAAAAGCCUAAGAUUGGGGAUGCCCCGGGAAGGCAUCCCCUCUUUCGUCUUCAAUCCAUCGGUAACAUUACUUGGAGCUAUAUUUUUAUUCACCACAUGAUAUGUGUUUUGCUUGGAGCGUCUUGUAUCGUAGGAGUCUUUUCUUUUUGUUGUGUCACAAUCAUCCUUGCUGCACACCUUUUGAGAGAGACAUGCACUCAUCGUGAUUUUGCUAGAAUGCUCAUUGUGCUUCACUUAUUUCUUUUGAGCUAGAUAAUUUUGCUCUAUGUGCUUCACUUAGAUCUUUUAGAGCACGGCGGUGCGUAACUUGGUAGUUGGCUUGUGCUAUGAAAGUAGUCCAAAACGUGAUAGGUACCCAAAGGGGAUACAAAAACCUCCAUCUUCAUGUGCAUUGAGUAGAAAGAGAAGUUUGAUUCCUCUCAAUUAGUUUUGAGACGUGGAUUUGGUAAUAUUAAGAGUUAUGUUAGAAGGGUGUUGUGAAUCUAGAAAUACUUGUGUUGAAGUUAGUGAUUCCCGUAACAUGCACGUAUGGUGAACCGCUAUGUUACGAAGUCGGAGCAUAAUUGAUCUAUUGAUUGUCAUCCUUUGUGUUGCGGUCGGGAUUGCGCGAUGGUUAACACCUACCAACCCUUCCCCUAGGAGUAUGCGUUUAGCACUUUGUUUCGAUUACUAAUAAAAACUUUCACAACAAGUGUGAGUUCUUCAUGACUAAUGUGAGUCCAUGGUAUAGAUGCACUUUCACCUUCCACCAUUGCCAGCCUCUCUAGUACCACGCAAUUGCCGCCGGUGCACAAACCCACCACAUGCCUUCCUCAAAACAGCCAGCAUACCUACCUACUAUGGCAUUUUCAUAGCCAUUCCAAGAUAUAUUGCCGUGCAACUCCCACCGUUCCGUCUCAUGACUUGUGCCGUCACUCUCAUAUUGCCAUUGCAUGAUCGUAAGAUAGCUAGCGAGAUGUUUCAACGUCAUACGCCAAGUUAGAUCGUUGCACAUCCCGGUACACUAUCGGAGGCAUUUCAUAUAGAGUCACCAUUGCUCUAAGUAUUGAGUUGUGAGUAAAUAAAAGUGUGAUGAUCAUCAUUAUUAGAGCAUUGUCCCAUGUGAGUAAAUAAUAAAAAAGAGGCCAAAGAUGCCCACCAAAAAAAAUAAAAAGAGGCCAAAGAGCCCAAACAAAAAAAGAGAGAAAAAGAGAGAAGGGACAAUGCUACUAUCUUUUUCCACACUUGUGCUUCAUAAAAGCACCAUGUUCUUCAUGAUUGAGAGCCUCUCGUUUCGUCACCACCAUAUACUAGUGGAAAUCUUUAUUAUAUAACUUGGCUUGUAUAUUCCAAUGAUGGGCUUCCUCAAAUUGCCCUAGGUCUUCAUGAGCAAGCAAGUUGGAUGCACAUCCACUAGUUCUCCUUUUGAGCUUUCACAUACUUAUAGCUCUAGUGCAUCCUUUGUAUGGCAAUCCCUACUCAUUCACAUUGAUAUCUAUUAAUGGGCAUUUCCAUAACCCUUUAAUACCCCGAGUCAGUGUGACCAUCUCCUCCUUUUUUGUCUCACAACCACCACCACACUCUAUUCCACCUAUAGUGCUAUAUCCAUGACUCACGCUCAUGUAUUGCAUGAUAGUUGUAAAAGGUUUGAGAAAGUAAGAGUGCGAAAACAAUUACUUGGCCAAUACCGGGGUUGUGCAUGAUUUAAAUUAGCUGUGUGGGGGAUGAUGGAGCAUAGCCAGACUAUAUGAUUUUUGUAGGGAUAACUUUCUUUGGCCUUGUUAUUUCGAAAGUUCAUGAUUACCUUGCUAGUUUGCUUGAAGUAUUAUUGUUUUCAUGUCAAUAGCAAACUAUUGUUUUGAAUCUUACGGAUCUGAACAUUCAUGUCACAUGAAAGAAGUUACAAAGGCAACUAUGCUUGGUAGCAUUCCACAUAAAAAAUUCAGUCUUUAUCACUUCCCUACUCGAGGACGAGCAGGAGUUAAGCUUGGGGAUGCUUGAUACGUCUCCAACAUAUCUAUAAUUUUUUAUGGUUUCAUGCUAUUAUCUUGUCAAACUUUGGAUGUUUUGUAUGCCUUUUAUAUCUUUUUUGGGACUAACCUAUUAACUCAGUGCCAAGUGCCAGUUCCUGUUUAUUCCGUGUUUUUGACCCUUUUCAAAGGAGGAUUUUAAACGGAGUCCAAACGGAAUAAAACUUCCGAAAAGAUUUUUUCCGAAACAGAAGACGAUCGGGAAACUUGAGAACCGAGGCAGAGGGUCACCAGGGACCCCACAAGCUCUUAUGGCGCGGCCGAGGGGGGCCCGCGCCUCCCAGGCUUGUGGGCUCCCUGGGCCUCAUCUGCCCUAGCUCCUUCGCCUAUAUAUUCCCUAAAAUCCCAGAAAAAAUACAAGAAAGCACGAAAAUACUUUUCUGCCGGCGCAAGCUUCUGUCUCCGCAAGAUCCAAUCUCGGGCACGUUCUGGUGCCCUGCCGGGGGGGGGGGAGUUCGGAUAUUGAGGGCUUCUUCAUGAACACCAUGACCUCUCCGAUGAUGCGUGAGUAGUUCACCAUAGACGUUCGGGUCCAUAGCUAGUAGCUAGAUGGCUUCUUCUCUCUCUUGGAUAUUCAAUACAAAGCUCUCCAUGAUCUUCAUGGAGAUCUAUCCGAUGUAAUCUUCUUUUGCGGUGUGUUUGUCGAGAUCCGAUGAAUUGUGGAUUUAUGACUACAUUAUCUAUGAAUCUUAUUUGAGUUUCUUCUGAUCUCUUAUAUGCAUGAUUUCAUAUCCUUGUAAUUCUCUUCGAGUUGUGGGUUUUGUUUGGCCAGCUUGAUCUAUGAUUCUUGCAAUGGGAGAAGUGCUUGGUUUUGGGUUCAUACCGUGCGGUGACCUCACCCGGUGAUAGAAGGAGUAGCGAGGCACGCAUCGUGUUGUUGCCAUCAAGUGUAAAAAGAUGGGGUUUUCAUCAUUGGUUUGAGUUUAUCCCUCUACAUCAUGUCAUCUUUCUUAAGGCGUUACUCUGUUCGUCAUGAACUCAAUACAGUAGAUGCAUGCUGGAUAGCGGUCGAUGUGUGGAGUAAUAGUAGUAGAUGCAGAAAGUAUCAGUCUACUUGUCUCGGGCGUGAUGCCUAUAUGUAUGAUCAUUGCCUUAGAUAUCAUCAUGACUUUGCGCGGUUCUAUCAAUUGCUCGACAGUAAUUUGUUCACCCACCAUAAUAUUUGCUAUUUUGAGAGAAGCCUCUAGUGAACACUAUGGCCCCGGGUCUACUUCACAUCAUAUUUUCAGCCUUACACUUUUAAUUCGUUGCACUUUCCGCCUUCAGAUCUCACUUUGCAAUCAAUCUUGAAGGGAUUGACAACCCCUUUAUAGCGUUGGGUGCAAGCUCUUUUGUGUUUGCGCAGGUACUCUGGAUUUGACGCGAUUCUCCUACUGGAUUGAUACCUUGGUUCUCAAACUGAAGGAAAUACUUACUGCUCCUAUGCUGCAUCACCCUUUCCUCUUCAAGGGAAAAACCAGCGCAAGCCAAGUCUCCGUCAACGUGCCAAUUUCUGGCGCUGUUGUCUGUUGCCGUAGCAGGGUCCAAGAAGUAGCGGCCUUGUCUAUUCCACCAUGGCUUACGUUCACGUAGGACUAGCUUUACUCAGGGUAGAUCUUCAUGAAGUAGGCGAUCUCCUGGCCCUUACGAUCUUCUUGGUUCAACUCCACAACACAAACUAGGAGGCUCCCAAGCAACACCUAACCAAUCUAGGAGGCACCACGCUCCAAAAGGUAAUAGAUGCGGUAGAACGAUGAUCUCCUUGCUCUUGUGCUUCAAGAGAUAGUCUCCUCGACAUUCAAUCACUCUCUCACAGAUUUGGAAUGGGUAGGAUAGAUUAAUCUUGUGGAAAGCAACUUAGGGAGGCUAGAAAUCAAGUUUCAAAUGGAUGGAUUGGAAUAUCUUGAUCUCAACAUAUGAGUAGGUGGAUCUCUCUCAGAAAUAUGGAUAUGGCAAGUGUAAGUGUGUUAUGAGUGCUUACUCUACGAGUUAGAGGUGGUGGAGGGGUAUAUAUAGGGAUCCCCAAAAAUCCAACCGUUACAACAUUAUUUCCCAACUCGGUGAAACCUAAGUAAAUAUCGGUGGCACCGAUUUGCACAAAAUGUGGCAACUUUCGAAUUCUUGGUGAGACCGAUAUAGAAAUCUUGGUGGUACCGAUAUAGCGACUUAGGGUAGUUUCCUAACUCGGUGAGACCAAUUUCAAAACUCAGAAAUUUCGAUUCUUAAAAUCGAUUAACAGAAGGUUGGUCACUAUUUUCGGUGGCACCAAAAUGGAAGUUGGUGGUAUCGAGAUUCUAGGGUUUGUCAAAGGUUCUAUCUGGUGGAAAAUUCAGUAGGGCCAAGUGGAGAGUGUUGGUGACACAGAUUUUGAUGUGUAGGCUUUGGACAAAUAACUUUUGCGGGAGAAUGCCUCAGUAUUUUUUGUGGCUAUCUCUAAGCACUUGAGUAACCAAUUCAUCAUAGAGACAACAUCCCCUUUUAAUAGUAUUGGCUUUCCUAUGGACUCAAAUGUGACUUCUCACAAAUAUAAAAUGUAGAGUCUUCUUGCUUGAAGCUUGGACAAUCCUAUUCCUUUCCUUCCAUCAAGGGGUUUCUCCUCACAAUCCUUUAGCCAAGGCAUCUUUGAACUUUUGUGAAAUAUACAUGGAUAGAAUCAUUAUUUCAAUGAUACAUAUGUUGUUAUUAAUUACCAAAACCACCUUAGGGAGCAAUUGUGCUUUCAAUCUCCCCCUUUUGCUAAUCGAUGACAACAUAUAGAUCAAAGCUUGCAUGCNNNNNNNNNNNNNNNNNNNNNNNNNNNNNNNNNNNNNNNNNNNNNNNNNNNNNNNNNNNNNNNNNNNNNNNNNNNNNNNNNNNNNNNNNNNNNNNNNNNNCGCCAUACCUUCCCUAACCACAUCCCCCAGCGUCUUCGGGCUAAUUAUCAGUGGACGGCCCCUGUGUUAUUCUUGCUGGGUAGAGGCGAUAUCUGGAAGCAUCUCCUGCAAGGAUUGCAUGAAGAGAGACUUUUUGCAAUCAGUCGUCGGACGUUCCGGCUCUGGCAAAUCAGGCAUCAUCAAGUCAUCUACACGCUCAUAGUCUGAGUCAUAUUGCUAAGCAUCGUCACAGCCGGUAUUGAUAUACUGGUUAGGGUCCUCAUCCUCCUCCUCCUCCAUGACAUCAUCAACAUUUGCUUCUUCGAUGGGGGCGACGUCAUCUCGCACUAAUGGAGGCUCUCCCUCACCGCGUCAUCCGCUAUCUCCCCCCACGCCAGGUGCAGGUAAUUGGGUAGGUGGGGUGGUGUUCAUACCUUGUUGAUGAGUUGUCGUUGGUGUGCUACCGGGCGCCUUGACACGAAGGUGAGUCUUCGGCCAAGGCAAGAACCAACUCUUGCAUGCGCCAAUCAAUUGAGGGGUCUCGUCAUCACCGGCUGGUGCCGGAAGAGACAAAUCCUCGAAGCCCGCUUUGACACUGGCCACACAAACUUUGAAGACGCCAUGGGGCAUAUGCUUGUUGUGGAGCAUGCAGUCCUUCGGCUUUGUUUACGUUGCCUUUCCCACGUCGACCUUCUGGUCGUUGAUAUCAUACAGUAGGGUGCACGGGGUUUCGUCGGCCUACAAAGACAUGACUGCGAUGUCAGACAUCCGAAAGGCAACUGAAACGAAAGACUAUAUAGAUAUGCUUAUGACUAGUGUAUGACGCGUAGUUACUGUGAUGGCGUCGAGCUCAGCCAAAGAAGAAGCCCCGCCGAGCACACCAGAGACAGAUGACGGGCUCCUAUGAACCAGAGCGAGACCAGCUACGAGAGCAUUUGUGGUUGCGUGAGCAGGUGCUGGUGGUGCGAUGUUCGCCAUAUUGCUCCCGACAAAGCUGAGUAGUGGAAAGUCCUCUGCCCAUGCUUGUGGAUUCCUCCUCACAUACUCAAAAACUGUCAGAACCAAUCGGCCCAAGGAAGCUGCCACACGUGCAUUGACCUUAUCGUCGACUACCUUAGUCAACUCUUCUUUGGUCUGAUCGACCGCCCGUGCGACCUUGGUAUCAUGAACUCCCUCGGCCUAUCGUGGUAGCAUUUCUUCCACGAGGUGCCAUCUCUUCUUUCUUUCCUCCGGCCUAUCGUGGUAGCAUUUCUUCCACGAGGUGCCAUCUCCGACGCCGUGCACACGUCCACCCGACGGAGGUUUGUCCACUGAGACAUUUUUCAGUAUGUUCAUGGCCCGGUUGAACGGGUUGUCCCACUUGGGCCUCGCCGAAGACUGAGACGACUCGUCGCUUUCGGCUGCCUUUUGGUGCUACUCUUUCUGCAGAAGGAACGUGGAUGGUUUACAAAUGUGACAAAACUAGUUGUCAAAUUAAUUAGAAGCUAAUUAAUAUAAUUAAGGUGGUAAUACAACAAUUACCAGUAGUCUCAUGAACUCCCUCGUGCUCGGGUCCGUGUAAAAGAUCUUCUUGACGGGGUCCCACUUGUGCCUGGCCCUGAUCCAGUCAUGCUCCAGCGGGUCGGUGAACUCCGCCAAGGGGUCUGGAAUUCCGUGACUUUCACGUUCGGCGUCCUCCUUGGCUCAUGUGCUCCUCUUCCUCUCGUAACCACGGCUUCCGAGGCGGUGGGCAGGCGUGUUCCUGGCUUGGAGCCCCUUCAUUUUCUCCGACUUUUCCUGGGCUUCUUUAGGGUUUAGGGUUUAGGGUUCAUUUCUCCGACAAAAUGCAUGCAUAUAAAAAUUUGGCAUGACCUUGCCUAAAAAUAGGACAUAUCGAGUUUACUCGCAAUUCAUCGAAACGGAAAUAAAUCGACAUUUCAGCAAAACAUAAGCAACUCACGGGUCAUGUCACUCACACAAUAUCCCUUCAUAUCGCAAACACACAUAUUCCCAUUAUUGAAAUGCACAAGUUUUUACUCACCUAUAUAUAUCUCGAGAGAGAUUGUGCAUGGCUAAAUAAUGGAGAGGUAAAAUGGUGGAGAAGUAAUUAGAGAGAGGAAGGAUAAAGGUGGGGAUAGGGCAAGGCACACAGGGGAUAGGGGUGUGUGUGGGUGAAGUGAGGGCAACAAGUGGUAGGAGGAAAGGAGAAAGGAGGGAGUAGGGAAAGGGGGGGAAGGGGAGGAGGGGUGGUAGGUGGUAGGGUUAAGUCGGAGGGACGAACGAAGUAGGGUAGGRAAGGAAAGGAAGGAAAGGGAGARGAGUACGGGAGAAAGUGGGGGAGGGAAGGGGNNNNNNNNNNNNNNNNNNNNNNNNNNNNNNNNNNNNNNNNNNNNNNNNNNNNNNNNNNNNNNNNNNNNNNNNNNNNNNNNNNNNNNNNNNNNNNNNNNNNAGUUGUAGUGAAACAAUUUUCGUAAUUACCGUUUGUAAGGGGAACGACCUAAUACUGGAAUUCGGGAACUAAGUGUUACCCAUAAUMCWKAAWMUVAASUAWUAGUAUUAGAAUCAACUAGUGUUUAAUAUGUUCCAUUGGUAAUCAUAGUUGGUUCGCCUUCAAAUAGUUGUAGUGAAACAAUUUUGAUUAGUUGAAGGGGAACACGAUCUGAUUGGAAUAGUGUUCCAUAAUCUGAAAAAUCGUAUUAGAAUGAACUAGUGUUUAAUAUGUUCCAUUGGAAUCAUAGUUGGUUCGCUUCAAAUAGUUGUAGUGAUCUCUCUAGGUUCCAUUGCAUAUGUUCUAUUUGAAUCCUAAAGAUAAGUUUCUCUUUAGUUGUAGUGAAACAUGUUUCCUUAUUGCAGCAGUAUGUAACAUUUGUUCCAUUCUAAUUUGUUUCUGUUGCAGGAGUGACAAGCAUUGUCCUGGACUCAUGGAGUUCCUUCGCAGCGGCGUCACUUUUGCUUCCGUUGACAUAAGGAACGACAGGCUGAAGAUGAGGCACAGCUUCGGUAUUGAGAUACCAGCUGGUUGCCUCGUUGAUCUCCAAACAAUAUUCAGGCUUUGACAUGACAGGACUUCGAUGGCUCAUAUGGCAGUUGCCUUGAUCGACGAGUCAUAUGGUGAUAUGAAGACCAGUUUCCCAAAGUAUCAGCACAAACUUUGGGAGAAGGACCCACUUGAUGAUAUCAACAUUCAGUAUGCAGCAAAAGAUGCAUACGUUUCAUACGAGUUGUACCGCAAGAUUCGAGUCGUCAACUAUGGCCAGCGUCACCUCGAGGAACUUGGACAUUCUGAUUUAGAUGAUUCAGACGAGUAGUAUUCUGAACGUCUAACACUUGUAUAUAUAUAUAUCUAUGGUAGCUAUUAUUAUGUACUGUUUGGGCUAGUAUCAUGUACUUCUUGGACCAAUUUAUAUAUGUCUAGUUUCUGUUUGUGCCAUUAUAGUUUCCAAAUUUGAAUGGUUUAGCCCUUCCUAACUUCAUUUGCUACUUUUGAAUGGUUUAGCCCUUUCUAACUUCAUGGUAUCAUGCAUUUCGACCAUAUAUAUAUACAAAAAGUCUUCAGUUCAAAUAAGUUUAGUGCUUUUCAAUUUCAGGGUCAACUAGCUCAAAAAAAAUAAGUAAAUGCACGAAAUAUACCAAAUGAAGUCAGAAAUUGUUGAAAUUUUGUGAUGUGCCUUUGAAUGGUGCAUUUUGAACACACAAAAAGUAUGGAGUUCAAAUAAGUUCAAAAAAAUGAAAUCCCUUUGUAAGAUAUGAGUUCUCGUUCGAAACCGUGCUACUUCGAGAGAGAUUGUCAGUUUUGUACACGAAGUGCAUCCAGUUUUUGUCGUAGCCCUCUCAACUUUUUAACACAUGCUAUGUGGGUGAAAUGAUGAUAGCAUGCCAACUUUCAACAUUUUCAGAGUUCAUUUGUAGUGCUUUUCAAUUUCAGGGUCAACUAGCUCAAAAAAAUAAGUAAAUGCACGAAAUAUACCAAAUGAAGCUCCGACGAGGCUUAUAAAUAAGUGUUAGUCCCCCUCGUUGGGCAAGGUGAUACUAAACUUAUCGUACAACCGAGGAGGGGCUUUAGUCCUGGUUGGAGCCACACCCCGGGACUAAAGACCCCCUUUAGUCCCGGUUGGAGCCACGCCCCGGGACUAAAGACCCCCUGCUUCCCGCCUCUAGGUCUGCCCGAAACGCACACACUAGUCCCGGGUCGUGGCUCCACCCGGGACUAAAGGGGGUCUUUAGUCCCGGCCCGAGCCACGCACCGGGACUAUAGAUCCACCUAUAUAAGCAGGAUUUCAAAAAUUUCCAACCCAAUUCGUCCACUUCUCUUCUUCUUCCUCUCGUUCUCCUGCCCGGCGCGGCACAACGACGAACGUAACCGACGCUGUCAGGCUGCCCGCCGUCCUGCUCGUCGUCGGCCGUCCUCCUCGCCGCCGCGCCGUCCUCCUCGCCGUCGGGCCGUCCUCCUCGCCGCCGCGCCGUCCUCCUCGCCGUCACGUCGUCCUCCUUGCCGCCGCGCCGUCCUCCUCGCCGGCGCGCCGUCCUCCUAGCCGUCGCGCCAUCCUCCGCGCCGUCCUCCUCGCCAACACUCCGGCCAGUAAGCCCCCGCCCCUCCUCCCCAACACUCCGGCCAGUAUAGAAGAAAAGAAGAAAAAGGAGAAGAGAAGAAGAAAAAGGAGAAGAAAGGAAGAAAAAGGAGAAGAAAAAAGAAAAAGGAGAAGAAAAGAAGAAAAAGAAAAGAUUUUUUGUCAUUUAAUUCCUAUUGUUAUUAGGUUUGUGCUAGAUUAUUAGGGUUAGUAAUAUUUAGAAUUAGGUUAGGGUUACAAGAAGAAGAAAUAUGAACAAAAAUAAGAAAAUAAGAUUAGGAAAAAUGAAAAUAAGAAGAGGAGGAGAAGAAAAGAAGAAAAAGUGUAUAUUGUAUAGUGUAUAUGCUUAAGUGUAUAGUGUAUAUAGUGUAUAGUGUAUAAGGAGAGGAGGAAUUUUGCUAUAGUGUAUAUAGUGUAUAGUGUAUAAGAAAAGAAGAAAAGAAGAGGAGGAGAAGAGAAGAAAAGAAGAGGAGGAGAAGAGAAGAAAGAAGAGGAGGAGAAGAAAAUGAAAAUAAGUGUUAAUAGUUUAAUUUUGCUAUUGUAUAUGCUUAAGUGUUAAUAGUUUAUUUUUAGCAAGAAAAUUAAUAGAACUAGUUUAUUUUUUAGUUCAUUUUACGAUGCCUAUCCCGCAUCCUCGUCUUCGACUCAACGGAGGACACCUGCUUGAUCAGAGGGGCCCUGUCCGGGACUGGGCUCCGCCCGGCUGGUAUUGGGAGGUGCUACCUUCCGGGGGGCGUAGGUUGGUGAGGAGCCAGCCCGUCGUUGACCCGAUCCUUGUUUGGUGGCGGUCGCGUGGGCCAGUGAGGGUGCCGAGGCUUCCGGACACCGCGGAGGUGGUACGUCACCGUGUGAGCGAGGAGGAUGAGCACGUCCGUCGCUACAUGGUUGCGUUGGAGGGCAGGUUCGAGCAUACCUGGCAGGUUCUUCGGGGAUCUCACUGGAGCUAUGAUCCUGUGAUGGUUCCUUCUCUUUGGGUGUCCACCGCCCGCGCCGAUACCCGUCAGGCGCUACGGUUCUAUAUGUAUUAGUGAUGCUAUAUGUAUGAUAGUAUUCGAGGAGUAUUAAUGAUAAUAUUCGACGAUGUACGGACAAAAGUGAUGAUGUAUUAGCUUAUAAUUGAAUGCAUGCUAAUUUGAAUACUACUUUAUUUUACGAUUUGGUUUUGCUUAUUGAAUGCUCAAAUUGGAAAAUUACUCCUACUUUGAAUACUAUGCAUAAAUCUAGGAGUCUCAAAUUGGAAAAGUACUCAUACUUUGGUUUUUGGUACAAAGGUUAAGAGAAUCCAUUUUUGCAGAACUAUGGAUCCACAUAUCAGGAACCUCGAAGAGGAAGAACUUCUAGAAGAUAUAAUCAAAGACGGCCCCGACGUUGAACCAGUUGAAUCUCCGUCGUUAUAUCUAAACCAGGACGUUGGAAUGGAGGUCGAGCAACACGAAGAUGAAGCCGAUGGGGCAGGAGAUAGGUCCAAUGACGGAGAAGGUGAUAGCUCCACUGAUGGAGAAGCCGGUGAAGAGGAGAAGUCCGACGAGGUAUACAUAUGAAGUUCGACAAUCACUUGUAAUAUGUGAAAAAUAUUGGAGAUAGCUCUAUAUUGUAUACAUAUACAUUCAUUUGACGAAUGUUUCUCCCUCUUAGGCCUCCACAUCGAGCAAAACUACGAAACGAGGCCCGACUAGAAAGUUGGAUGCACGGACGCAUUACACAUUUGAGGUGAUAUUUCCUAUGAGCGAACCCAAGCUUCCUAAGAAUGCUGCUGACACAUUCAAGAAGAAAUGCGGAGUUCUCGUUAGGGAUCACGUCUCGAUCAGCGUUCCAGAGUGGAACAAGCGCAAAGGGGCAGCCGAUAGUGACUAUGUCGCCGAAAGGUACAAAGAUAAUCUUCGGAAUGAACUCAUGUCACAUUUCAACCUGCCAGAAUGUGAGAAUGAAGACGCCGCAGACAAACUGAGGGCCAAAGUCAAGCAGUGGACUCUGAAGAAGAUGGCCGAACUGUUCCGUGGCUGGAAGAAGAAGCUAUGGAAAAACUAUCUGAAGACACAGAAAGUGCCAGUAUUCGAGGGGUAUCUAGCCAAGCAGGCGAAUCACUGGAAGGCAUUUCAAGAGUACAAGGAGUCAGAAGAUGCCCAGGCAUUAUCAGAAAAGAACAAGAUAAGUGCCGACAAGAAGAUAUAUCACCACAAGCUGGGGCCAGGGUGCUAUGAGACUGCCAUCCCAAAGUGGGAUAAGAAAGAGCAAGAUCUUAUAGAUAAAGGUGUCGUACCUGAACCACUCCGUGAUGAGUGGGAAUUGAGAGCAAGAAAUUGGUUCCUUGCGCAUGACGGGUUGUACGACGAAACAACAGGGGACCUCAUCUGCAAUGACAAUCUUAGGAUACCGAGGGAGAAUUGGAAAAGGAUAGUGAAAGAAAUUAAGGAGGUUAGAAGAAAGUUCACUGCAGAUAGAGAGAAAGAUUUGCUCACACUGGUCCUCGGCAAUGACGAACAUGGAGGACGAACGCGAGGCUUCGGUCCUUCUUACCCGUGGUGGCUUGGGUUUGGCAGAGACCAAGACACUUACAGAAGCCGAGAGAGAGCAAAGAAGCGGCAGCAGGAUGAGGAGAAUGACAAGUUCAACCAGUUGCUUGCCAGGAUUAACGAGCAACAGAAGCAGAUUGAUGAGCUUAGAGGAGUACCGCGCCAGGAAGAUCCUGCAGUUGAUAUUACCGGCGCCCCAUCUAAGCGGAAAAGCAGCGUGGCUGAAUCUGAGGCCCCGCCCGACGAUGAAUGAAGAAUGAAAGAGGGCGGUCCCGGCUACCCCGUGGAUGGAAUCAAGGAGUCAACAUCAUGUGAACUCCAUUAGAAAUUCAAGAACAUAUCCAUGAAGGUGGCCGUCGGACAAGCUUGAGUAUUCUAUAGURUCACCANNNNNNNNNNNNNNNNNNNNNNNNNNNNNNNNNNNNNNNNNNNNNNNNNNNNNNNNNNNNNNNNNNNNNNNNNNNNNNNNNNNNNNNNNNNNNNNNNNNNUCCGCCGGACGCCGAACGCUCCCGGCCGCCCGCCACGCUCACCCGCCCCGUUUCCGCCUCGCCGCCGCCACUCACCGGACGUCGCCGGGACGCCCGCCGCACCCGUUCCCAACCACGCCGACGCUCCCGCCACCGCACGCGUCGCCCUCGCCACCUCGCCGGACGUCGACGCUCCUACCCGGCCACCCCGACGCCUCCCCGGGCCUCACACCAGCCACCUCCCUCGCCUAGCCACCACCACCAACUSSCCGGAYGGGGACUCGCCGCCGCCUCCCCGACCCGUCGCCACCGCCGGAGGGUCACCGGAGCCGCUUCCCCGACCUCGUCUCCGCCUCCUGUCAUCGCCGGGGACCUCGCCGGAGCGCCUCCACCUCGCUGUGAGCCUCCAUCUUCCCUGUAGCCGUUGGAUCUCAAAUAUACGUGUUAGAUUAGAUGGCAGAUAACCCUUCGGUUUUCAGUUAAAAAUCGAGCCGGUUUACUUCACUUAAUUUUAGCCGAAGAGGUUUUGGUUAAAUAGCGGUAGUUUGCUAGAACCCCCACAACACUCACACCCCUUAGCCAAUGAGAGCACGCCACAUACCCCCCCCCCCCGUCGCACUAGUUAGAUUUUUCUAUUUUUAGUUUAAUUCAAAAACAGAGGCAGUUUUGUUUUGCUCAUAACUUUUGAUCCACAACUCCAACGAGGUUGAUUAUUUUUCGAGUAGAUAACAAUUUUUCUGUAGUUUUUAAAAACAUAUAAUUUGUCUAUGUUUGAAAUUUUCAAAUUUGAAUUAGAUCAGAUUUAUUUUAAACCUUGUUUUGCCUUUUCCAGGAGUUUAAAAAUAGCUUUUAAUUUGAUUCCUUUUGCUACUGAUCACUAGUGAUCUUAUUUAUCAGUGAUAAAAAUUUCAGAUUUGUUUGAGUAUUUUAGCUCAUUGUUUCUUGUGAAACAAUUUCUGUUUCACCUCUUUUAGGAUUAUGUCUAUUUCCUUUUCUAUAAUUGUUUUUAAAUUAUUUUCUUUUAUAUUUCAAAAAGAUUAUGUUUUGUUUCUGUUAGUUAACAGUAGGUUUGCAACAAGUUUUGAUUUUUAUUUUUAUAUGUUAUCAUGAAAUCAAUUCUAGUUCCCUAAUAACUUGCAAUUGGUUUCUCUACUGUUUCAAAUCCCGUUUGGAAAUACUUUCAAAAAGUUUUGUGAAAAAUAGUUUAUUUUAUCUUAGUUAAAUUUAUAUAUUAGUUCCCUGUUAUUAUUUUCCGUUGGACAAAAACUAUUUAGUGUUUGAUGUAGUAGAGGACUCCCUAGUCUUAUUUGAAGUUUCCUUCGGAUUCCUAUUCGCUCCCUCUUUUGUUUUGAUUGCUAGAAUGAUUGCUAGUAUGAGUGCUUAUGUGAAUGAUAUGUUUGUUAUAUAGAUUUCAUCGAAGAGUGACGAGUAGUCUAUCAAGAUAUUUCUCAAGAAAUUCUUCUUCGCCAACAUCACCAGGCAAGUCAUUUGAUCAUGUAUCACCUAUGUUUUAUGCAUCGUAGUUCUACCAUCCUAUGCCCAAUUGCAUGCUGAGUAGGUACUUGGAAAUUAUGGUUACAUAUUGUAGUAUCAUGUGGUAGGCACCCAACAACCCCGUUACUUGGCCCGGGAUGACAAAUUUCAUAUUGCUAUGCUUGAGUAGACGGGAUUCUGGUUGAUAGUUUACCACGAGUGAAGCGAGAAUAAUUUAAUAACCAAGACCGGUUAAGUCAAGACUUUUCAAGACCUCGUGAUGCAAUGCAACUCUGGGUGAAGGACGGUUGAUCGGCUCCCUGGAGAAACCAGUGGAUGACCCGGGAUGCUGGAGACGGCCAUGACAUCUUGCGGAAAGCUUCACCCAGGCUCAAAGAGACGGACGGAUAUUUUCAAGACCCAAGGCUUACCUGCACAGCCACAAGUCAUUAUGGGCUCUGGCUUGGUUGGACAACGCGGCGACUCUGGACAGGCGGUGCUAGCAGAUGUAGAAGAACGGUAGGAUUGGAUGGGCACCGACAGGGAUUCAGAGGGACCCGUUGAAAGACCAUGUUUUGAUCAUCCGGUCUUCAAACACCCUGAAGUGCGAGGACAUACUCGGAGGCGAUCAAAUCUUGUGGUGAACGUGUGCAAAACUCUGCAGAGUACUCAAACCUAAUCGAUUAGCCGUGUCCACGGUCAUGGACAACUUGAGCCAAAGGAACUGAAGUUAUCUGAAAUUCUCAACACAAAUAAUAAUAUUGAUGUGGGUAUUAUUGACAACAUGGGUACGAGAAUUGGUUGGUGGAACCAUCUCGUUAACAACCAACAAUGUAGUAACAUUUUGCUUUUAGCCCUCUCUUGAUGUAGGAGAAAACUUGUUUUUCGGCUAAAAACUUAUUGCCCCACCUGCCAUAUAUGCAUAUAGUAUAGAUGAUUGCUUUUCACCCCUCUCUUAUGUGACUUGCCGGCAUAUUCAAUAUGCUGACCUACACGGCUGCAACGUCUUAUGUUGCAGAUAUUUUCUUCGACGAGUAAGAGUACGAUUCAGGGUUAUGGUCUACACUCAACUUGCCGUUGGUGUUUAUUGGGACUCCACUCCCUUGACUGCUUCCGCUGAGAUAUUUAAGGUAUAUAUCAGUUUUACGCUAUUUACAUAUGAUUGCACUUUGAUAUAUACAUUGAUGUACUGUGUGUGCCAGCAUACUGAUCCAGGGAUGGCACAGAAACACAGAGGCUUGACUCGUUUUGAGUCAGGUCACUACAGAAAUGGUAUCAGAGCACAUGUUGACUGUAGGACGUGACCCUAGAAACUGGAAACUUCUUAUGAUAGGAUCUCUCAAAAAAAUCUUAUUUUCGAAUACACCUUUCACUUCUCAUCUCUUCUAAUUUCAUCAAAUGUUCUCUCUCACUUCAAAUAGCUAUACAAUCCCCUUACCCCUUUGACCUCAUGAAGAAUCAACGGAGUUCUACUUCAAAGUAAAGAGGAUUUCACCAUGCAUUUGAAGAAUUGAAGCUACACCUAUUGAAGACCCUGAAGCGUUCGAAUAAUUAUAUGACCAUUAGAAGUCCAAAGCCCAAUUAUGUACCCACGUUAGUUACGAUGAUUUGUGAGCCGUCAUUGGUGUGUGUUUUCCGACGACCACAACUAAAACCUAUUCUCAAAAAAAAUUGUAUUAUGUGUAUCUCCCUCCCUCUCUUACCCGUCUCAUCCCCAAAACCUCAACCCUACUAGAUGGAGUAUGAAGCUGGACUUGUAGUCUCUGGACCAAUGACCCAGCUGGAGGCUGAAAUAUGGAUUCAGAACAUGGAGAACCACUUCGGGAGCAACUUGAUCUCAAGGAAGUAUGAAGUGGAACACGCUCUCCAGUACUUUACCCAAAGUGCUGCUAUCUGGUGGAAAAUGCACCAUGCCAUACAAGGAUUUAGUGGAGCAGAAACCUGGGACGAAUUCAAGAACACUCUAUUAAGAUCCCGAUUAUUCAGAAAUGCUANNNNNNNNNNNNNNNNNNNNNNNNNNNNNNNNNNNNNNNNNNNNNNNNNNNNNNNNNNNNNNNNNNNNNNNNNNNNNNNNNNNNNNNNNNNNNNNNNNNNUUGUUGGGUGCCUACCACAUGAUACUACAAUAUGUAACCAUWAUUUCCAAGUACCUACUCAGCAUGCAAUUGGGCAUAGCAACAUAACUACGAUGCAUAAAACAUAGGUGAUACAUGAUCAAAUGACUUGCCUGGUGAUGUUGGCGAAGAAGAAUUUCUUGAGAAAUAUCUUGAUAGACUACUCGUCACUCUUCGAUGAAAUCUAUAUAACAAACAUAUCAUUCACAUAAGCACUCAUACUAGCAAUCAUUCUAGCAAUCAAAACAAAAGAGGGAGCGAAUAGGAAUCCGAAGGAAACUUCAAAUAAGACUAGGGAGUCCUCUACUACAUCAAACACUAAAUAGUUUUUGUCCAACGGAAAAUAAUAACAGGGAACUAAUAUAUAAAUUUAACUAAGAUAAAAUAAACUAUUUUUCACAAAACUUUUUGAAAGUAUUUCCAAACGGGAUUUGAAACAGUAGAGAAACCAAUUGCAAGUUAUUAGGGAACUAGAAUUGAUUUCAUGAUAACAUAUAAAAAUAAAAAUCAAAACUUGUUGCAAACCUACUGUUAACUAACAGAACAAAACAUAAUUUUCUGAAAUAUAAAAGAAAAUAAUUUAAAAACAAUUAUAGAAAAGGAAAUAGACAUAAUCCUAAAAGAGGUGAAACAGAAAUUGUUUCACAAGAAACAAUGAGCUAAAAUACUCAAACAAAUCUGAAAUUUUUAUCACUGAUAAAUAAGAUCACUAGUGAUCAGUAGCAAAAGGAAUCAAAUUAAAAGCUAUUUUUAAACUCCUGGAAAAGGCAAAACAAGGUUUAAACUAAAUCUGAUCUAAUUCAAAUUUGAAAAUUUCAAACAUAGACAAAUUAUAUGUUUUUAAAACUACAGAAAAAAUUUUAUCUACUCGAAAAAGAAUCAACCUCGUUGGAGUUGUGGUUCAAAAGUUAUGAGCAAAACAAACUGCCUCUGUUUCUGAAUUAAAACUAAAAAUAGAAAAAUCUAACUAGUGCGAGGGGGGGGGGUAGUGUGGCGUGCUCUCAUUGGCUAAGGGGUGUGAGUGCUGUGGGGUUCUAGCAAACGACCGCUAUUUAACCAAAACCUCUUCGGCUAAAAUUAAGUGAAGUAAACCGGCUCGAUUUUUAACUGAAAACCGAAGGGUUAUCUGCCAUCUAAUCUAACACGUAUAUUUGAGAUCCAACGGCUACAGGGAAGAUGGAGGCUCACAGCGAGGUGGAGGCGCUCCGGCGAGGUCCCCGGCGAUGACAGAGGCGGAGACGAGUCGGGGAAGCGGCUCCGGUGACCCUCCGGCGGUGGCGACGGGUCGGGGAGGCGGCGGCGAGUCCCCUCCGGCGAUUGGUGGUGGUGGCUAGGCGAGGGAGGUGGCUGUGUGAGCCCGGGGAGGCUCGGGGUGGCCGGGUGGAGCUCGACUACGGCGAGGUGGCAGGGCGACGCUGCGGUGGCGGGGAGCUCGGGCUGGUUGGGGAAACGGGGUGCGGCGGGGCUCCCGCAUCCGGUGAUGGCGGCGGCGAGGCGAAACGGGGCGGGGUGAGCUGCGGGGCGCCGGGGAGCUUCGGCUCCGGCGAGGUGGCGGCAGGGGCGACGGAGCUUGGGCAGGGGCGGCGAGGAGGGGGAACGGGGCGAGGAGAGGGGCUCGGGGCCGGCUACUUAUAGGGGAGAGGGGAGACUGCGGAGGGAAGGAGAUCGGCGAGGCGGGGGCAAGUCCGGCAAUGGCGGGGUGGCCGGCUGGGCAAGGAAAGUGGAGGGAGGCGCGGGGGAGAGAGAAGGAAGGAGAGGUGGGCGCGGGGUGCGCUGGAGGCGGGGUCGACCAGGUGGGGGAACGGGUGGGGCCGGGCGUCAGCGAGGGGGUGCGGGAGGGGUUCGGUCAGUUUGACCGAGAGGAAAAAAGGGGAAGGGAUCCCGGGCCAGGGGGGUGGGCCGAUUCUAUAAUGCGCCCACGCGCUUUCCUCUUAAAAAAAUCCGUUUCCUGUUUUAGUCUUUUUUCAAAAACAAAAACUAAAACAAAUAAAAAGGCAACAAACAAAAUAGUUAAUAUAGGGUAUUAUAUACCAAAAUGAUCAGAAAAAUAUCCUCUACUCGAUUAACAUUUUUCCAAAACCAAAUAAAAACUUUUUAAAAAUGUUUUUUUCCUAGAAAAAUCCCUAAGGAUUUAUUUUCUUUUUGUCAAUUAAUUUCUUGAUAAAACUUUGGCUCAAAAUAUUUCAGAAAUGCCUCACAUUUUGGAGGGUCAUUUUCCUCCGCUCUUUCUUGCGUGCAAGAAUUUUGUCGGGGCAUUUUCUCGGGGAAGAAAAAUAUAGAAAAGCAAAAGGAAUUUUUUUGAAAGAAUUCAAAUGCAAACUCCAUUCAAAUUCUUUAUAGUUGAAGAAGUCAUGUCAUCUUCUCUCUUUGCUUUUAAAAGAUUGAAUUUGAAUUCAUCGGAGAUGGGGAAAGUCAUUUUAUUCCCUCUCAUUAAAAAGUUUUUGAAAAGUUUCAAAUUUCACUCAAGUUUCAGUCACUCAAGCAAACAAACAAACAAUAUAAUAAUUAUAUUAACAUUCUAAAAUUUAGGAUGUUACUCGUUUUGUGACCUGUGUUGGGGCUGGGCUGAUGCACUACGUGACAGUUGGUUGCAUGCAGUUCACCCCAUUAAGAGGUAAGAACUAAGAACUUCACAUGACACACGUAAAGUUACAAUAGAGGAAAAAUGUAUAGCUCCAUGCCUCUAGCGAGUUAAAAAAAACACGACAUGAAAGUUAUGUGGAACAAUGAGAUGAAGCCAAUGUCUAUUUUUUUUCAAACGGUCGAGCAUGUGCGAUGGAUUUGUGGAAUUUCGACUAAACCACCACAUAAACACCAUAGUGUCAAAAAUGGUAUUAUAUUACGAGACAGAGGAAUUACAAUAGAGAGAUACACAUAUGUUUACGACCGUCCAAAUAGAAACAUACAGAAAGUCGUGUCCAACAACAACGAGAUGAGACUACAUAUCAAAGGAAGUUUCAAACAUUUACGGCGCGCGAUGAGUUUGGUAAAAUCUAACAAAAAUAGCUCUAAACACGAAGACGCGAAGGUAAACAUAUGCGGUCAGUGAAACUAUAAACCGGUCGUCCGAAUGGGACCGCAUCGUCAAUGUGUAUCUUUUUCAUGUAACCUUGAAUCGAAAGACCCUUCUUGUUAGAAACAAGGGUUCACAAACGGAAGAAAGCUCAAAGCCGAAGGCCACGCAACACAUGGAUCCACCAGCCGUUCGAUGGCACCAAGAAUCGCUAGGAACGAUGCAGUUAGUUAAACUAAACUAAACUAAAACUAAACUGAUCCUGACGGGCGGGCAGCGUGGUUCCGCCGGAGCCAAUCACGCGCACGUCACCGAGCCGCGGACCGCAGGCAGGCAGGCAAGCGGCCUUCGGCGCAGCGGAUAACGCCGGCCGGCCGGCUUCCGGUGGGCAAAGUCAAAUACGCCACCCGCGUCGUCACGGAGUGAGGGGUUGGUGAGGCAAGCAAGGCGGGCGGGCCCCGCGCCCCCUGACGCCACCCGCGCCCAGCCGGUCCACGCGUCCCCCCGGGCGGCGGCGGGGCCCGCGCGUCAUCCGCACGCCGGCCCGUGCGCCGGGUCCAGCCCGCCCCCCGCCGCUUUGGCGCCUCCCCCUCCCCUCCCCACUAGUCCUCCUCCUCCACCACCACCACCCGAAAGAGCUUCUAGAAGCUUCCCCGAUUCGCCACCGCUCCCCCAAACCCAAMUCGGCGACGCCGCCGGUCGGACGCUCGUAUCCUCGGAGGAGGAGGAAGAGGUGGCCUCCGGGUAGAAGCCGCGCGGAUUCGGUGCGGGGGCUCUGAGGCACCCCUCCCCCCCAUCCAUCCCGGGCGGGGGCCCGAGGGCUGACCACCGACCAACUGGCCGCGGCCCGCCGGCGCCACGCCGAGCCCCGCUCCGGACGACCGCGCCGACCGUACGCCGUACGCGCCCCCGCUCUGAGCUCGUCUCCCGCCCCCACUUCCUGUUAGCUUGUUUCGGUUCGUUUUGCCGUUCCGGAUCAGGAUACCUGUCUGUUGUUGUACCUACCGUAUGUGUCUCCGAUACGGUGGAUGGAUCAUGGCUGACACGACAGGCCGAGUGGUGAAGAACAGCCCUGCCUGGCCAUGCUUUGCUUGUUACCGGAUUCGUGUGCUUAGCUCCUCCAGUGGCACUGGCACUGUGCAAACUAACCGAUGUGUACCCUUCUGGGAGAUUGGACCACCAGCCUGUUAGGGUUUGAAGAUAGGCACUUACUAGUUCAUAAAUGUGCAUUAUCCUUGUUCCAGCAUGCUAAUAAUUUGCAUCAUGCUGUGUAUCUUCGUACUACUGCGUACUAAGGAAAACAUCUUUUGUUGCAGGCCAUACGGUUGUAGUAAAUCCUAGGCAGCUACUAAUCUGGAUUCUUGGAGAGAAAAGUAAGUAGUAAGUACGACCAUGCACUGUAUUUCGUUACAUGUAUGUAUGCAGUUACUGUCUUUGAAUAAUUGAAUUACUUAUCUGUCAGAGUUGCUUACUUUCUUUUCAUCGUUACAAAUAGAUUCCGGCAACGACCCAUCUCCCGCAGCACAGGCUGGGCUCACCACUUUGCUGUUAGGAAGGGGGGAGCAGAGUGAUUUGCUGUCUCAUUGUGAUUGUGGUCCGCUGAGUGAUGGCAGAUGCUAGCUCAAGGACUGACAACUCAACUGUUGUAGACAACGACGGCAAGAUCUAUAGGGUAAUCAUGCUUCUGAAUUUUGGGUUUUAACUGUCCCCCCUCUUCUUUAUCGAAAGAGGCUUUAAGCUGAACUCAACUAUGUAAGCACCUAUGUCUUUACCUGCACCAUUUUCUAGAGAUAAAAUAGAUAAUUGUUAUGCUCACACACCGUUUUAGCAUUUGAACUGUGAGUCCCGCUGUGAUUGGAAUUAAUUGUUAUAGCUUAACAGCAGAGUUGAUAAUCGUAAGUUAUAUAACACUACUGUGGCCUGAUCUGGUAAUUAGUAGGACUUGGAUUCUGGAGCCACAAGAACUGAAAAAAUAUACCGUCGAAGACAUCUUCGUAUUCUAUAACAGCAGUAAUGAAUUGUUAGUUAAAAAUAACUAUAUUACCCUAUGAUUCACAUGUUGUUCACUUGCUCAUAUGGAUCAGCUAUGAAGCACUGUUAUGUCGACACCCAUAUGGAAAUACGAGCAUGGGAACACCGGACAUGGCAAUUUCUAGAAACAGCAAUACGGCGAGUAUAUAUAUAAGUAAUUAAUUAAAUCACAUGUAAUAAAGGCAAAACAUAAUAGAAUGCAGGAGAUGAGAUCAAAAUACUGCCCCCCGUUGAUUGCCUCCAUGCCUCUUUCCAAGUCCUGAAUGAUCAUCAAUGUCUUCAAUCCACAUGGUGUAUGACAAAAUACUCCCUCCGUAAAGAAAUAAUAAGAGUUGUAUAGUACUACUAAYAGUAAGUAGUAGUAGUAGUAACUAACUACUAUUACUUUAYUUACUUUACGUUACGUAAGGUACGUAGUACUAGUAACUAAUUAAUUAAUUAGUUNNNNNNNNNNNNNNNNNNNNNNNNNNNNNNNNNNNNNNNNNNNNNNNNNNNNNNNNNNNNNNNNNNNNNNNNNNNNNNNNNNNNNNNNNNNNNNNNNNNNAAUUAAUUACGUACUAGUCCUCGUCACUAAGUACGACCUAAUUUAUUUCUACUAUACUUCCUACUAAUAAGUUGUACAGAGACCUUUGUUYGAAGAGAAACAACGCAUACAGUUUCAGCAUAGGCAAUCAUGAGAUAAUAAAUUCCAUUUAUUCAUGAUGUUAUUACAAUCUCAGGGACUUCUGUUACAAAAAAWUWCACUCCAUGAUCUCAUGAAAAACAAGAGUUCUUCAGAUUACACUAAUUGCCGUGGUCUAAAACUUAACUACUCCUUUUUAGCUUUCUUCCUUUGUGGACAAUCGCUAGCAAAAUGUCCUGCUUCCUUGCAACGAAAGCAAAUGAGUUCUGACAAGUCUCGAGGCGUCUUAGUGUUUGCUUUUGCUCCUUGGGUUUCCGGCUUCCUUCCUGAGCACAUGUAUUUGUGGUGGCCAAAUUCCAUACACUUGUAACAUCUGACAUGACUCAGGUCUAUAUCUACAGAGAUUUGGCUCUUCCGAGGGUACUUUUUCUUCUUUCCGGACUCCUUUAUUUUGGCCAGUUCUUCUAUUUCAAGUGGAUCAAUCUCCACUUUUUCCGUCGAGAAGUUUCCCAGAUAAUCUUGGCUUCUCUUCGUGCAAUCCUGUGAAUAAUGUCCUUCUUCUCCACAUGAGUAGCAUGCAUUGGAGAAAAAUCUGGUCAGACCUUGUCCAUCAGGGUCUUCAAUAUUUUCGUUCAUCACCGGUUCUUCUAGAAUCUUCUUCUUGAGGCUUUCCUUCACUGCAUCUUUCUGCUGCUCGACAACUUGUUGCACCUUGGGGUAAAGGUGACACUGAGCUGGGUAGUGGGUGGUUCCUUCACAAAGGAAACAAGUCACCUGACUUGUCACGCCCAAGAUGCGACCCUAUCCUCAAUUUGGCACGAAGGCCUCGUCAGGGAUAGAAGCGCAUCUCGUCGUGUCGCAAGAAUGGAUAUCGUUACAAGUACAUGUACUGAAAAGAAGAGAUAUAUAUACAGAGUUGGCUUACACUCGCCACAAGCUACAUUAGAGUCACAUCAGUACAUUACAUAAUCAUCAAGAGUAAGAGCAGGGUCCGUCUACGGACGAAAACAAACGACAAAAGAAGAACGACGUCCAUCCUUGCUAUCCCAGGCUGCCGGCCUGGAACCCAUCCUAGAUCGAUGAAGAAGAAGAAGAAGAAACAACUUCAAAUGAACAAUCAACGCGCUCGCGUCAAGUAACAUUUACCUGUACCUGCAACUGGUGUUGUAGUAAUCUGUGAGCCACAGGGGACUCAACAAUCUCAUUUCCAAAGGUAUCAAGACUAGCAAAGCUUAAUGGGUGAGGUAUGGUUAAGUGGUGAGGUUGCAGCAGCGACUAAGCAUAUAUUUGGUGGCUAACUUACGAGUACCAGAAAUAAGAGGGGGAAGAUCUACGCAUAGCGGACGUGAACUAUGGAUGAUCAAAUGAAUGAUCCUGAACCCCUACCUACGUCAGACAUGACCCCACCGUGUCCUCGAUCGGAGAAGGAACUCACGAAAUAGACAGUCACGGUUACGCACACGGUUGGCAUAUUUUAAUUAAGUUAACUUCAAGUUAUCUAGAACCAGUGUUAAACAAAGUUUCCACGUUGCCACAUAACCGCGGGCACGACUUUCCGAAAGAUUUAACCCUGCAGGGGUGCUCCAACUAGUCCAUCACAAAUUACCACAAGCCGCAUAGAAAUCCUCAAUCACGAAGCUCGCGAUCUCGUCGGAUUCCCUAGUGGAAAACCUCAACUCUGAGAUUACCCAAAGCAUCACCGGAAUCCCGAUGCACAAGAUAUCUCGUCAAAGGUAAAACUAAUCCAGCAAGGCCGCCCGACGUGUCGACGAUCCCGAUAGGAGUCGCAUACCUCAUUCUCAGGACACGACGGAUGAGCGAUGGUUACCACGCCAAACGCCGGGUUGCCCCGGGUAGCGUUAAUAAGCUGCUCUGUUUGGACCAACACUCAUGAGGAGCACUGGCCCGGGGGUUGAUUAAAAUAGUCUGCGGGUGCCGGCGGGUCCCUAUGCAUUAUUAUUAGGUUAUUAGGCAAAUGUAGUACCAAUGUUGGGCCUUGCCAGACCAGCUUUAAUCUAAAACGAAUUAUCAAGGGGGUCCCCAUAACAACCCCGAUCGUGUUAGGAGCGCUCAAUUAUGGAACAUAACACCGGUAGCCGGAAACUAAGGGGGCAAAGGUGGAACAAAACACCAGGCUAGAAAGGCCGAGCCUUCCACCUUUUACCAAGUAUAUAGGUGCAUUAAAUUAAAUAGCAUUUAAUAGGGUGAUAUGACAAGGAACCCAUGUUAUCACAUGGAAGCAUCUGCACCUGCAACUAGCAGCGCUAUCAACAGGGUUAAGCAAGCAGUAACAUAGCCAAUCAGUGGUUGCUAGGUUGAACAGGUUGNNNNNNNNNNNNNNNNNNNNNNNNNNNNNNNNNNNNNNNNNNNNNNNNNNNNNNNNNNNNNNNNNNNNNNNNNNNNNNNNNNNNNNNNNNNNNNNNNNNNUAAGUUCCUAAAUACUACGAAUUSURCUCCCUUCMWAMGUAAUWCAAAAUUAGUUGCWACUACAACUAUUUGAGGGAACCAACUAUGAUUCCAAUGGAACAUAUUAAACACUAGUUGAUUCUAAUACGAUUUUUCAGAUUAUGGAACACUAUUCCAAUUAGAUUGUGCCCCCCUUCAACUAAUCAAAAUUGUUUCACUACAACUAUUUGAAGGGAACCAACUAUGAUUCCAAUGGAACAUAUUAAACACUAGUUGAUUCUAAUACGAUUUUUCAGAUUAUGAAACACUAUUCCAAUUAGAUUGUGCUCCCCUUCAAGUAAUCAAAAUUAGUUGCACUACAACUAUUUGAAGGGAACCAACUAUGAUAGAAACAAAUAAACUUAUACAAUGUCAUUAUCUUGGAUCAAAGAAAGCCUCAAAACUUACCUCGCCCAUUGGAAGAUCAAGACAUGGCUUGCGAAGCAUAUUUGGAUGACAGCAACACCGCGUUGAUCGGCCGUGUACUCCAGAUCCAGCCCGAAGAACUUCUCAUGAACCGGUGCGUGGUUAAACCAUCGUUCCUUCAACUGUUGAAGGAAAAACGGCACCUCCGUGCUCAGGUUCGUGUACACGACACGGAGCUUCGUCGAGCCAUGCUCGACCACCUCAUGAAAGGUAGUUGGCAUGGUGGAAGAAGAGAAGGGAAGAAGAGAGGAGAAGAACAGAGAGGGCGACGCGAGAGAGAAGAAGAACAGAGAGGGCGACGCGAGAGAGAAGAAGAACAGAGAAAUGGCGACUGUACGCUUCGGUUCGUGCUUUUCAUCGCCCGAAACGACGCGUGAUGCAAACCGUUUGGGCCUUUAAUCCCGAUUUGAGCCACCAACCGGGACUAAAGAGGUAUACCAAACGGUUGCCACCACUACGGCAGGCCACGUGUUAGGCUUUUAGUCCCGGGUUCAACCACCAGCCGGGACUAAAGAGGUACGACAACGGUCGCCCCACUACGGCAGGCCACGUGUUAGUCCUUUAGUCCCAGGUUGAGCCACCAACCGGGACUAAAGAAGUAUACCAACCGUCGCCACAACCACGACAUGCCACGUGUUAGUCCUUUAGUCCCGGGUUGAGCCACCAACCGGGACUAAAGGGGGAUACGAACGGUUGCCACCACCACUGCCCGCCGCGUAGCCCUUUAGUCCCGGUUUGUGACUCGAACCGGGACUACAGGCUCCUUACGGGACGGGACUAAAGCCUCGAGGGAGGCGUUGAGAAUUGGGGCGACGUGGCCGGGCCUUUAGUCCCGGCCCAGAGGCAGGCCGGGACUAAAUGGUCCAGGCCAAAGGCCCGUUUUCUAUUAGUGGCCGAAUCAUUAAAAAAUAUGUUAAGAAGCAGGAUCACUUAUAUUAAUUGAUUGAUGAUGAAACUGUUAAUAUAUAUCGUUCCAUUUGACUUGCUACUAAACAAAAUUAUCAUCAAACGAUGGAUCGAUAACCCUGAAGGCGCAUGUUGCAUGAUUCCAACCUGUGGAAGGUGUCAGCUGUUUUAAUUCGCUCUAUGGUCAGAUCGAUAGAUUCCAUUCCAACCAUGCGCCAUCAGUACGUAGUUUACUGUCAGCUUAGGCAAUAACUACAUCAAGUUAGUUGGCAUAUUUUGCUGCCAUGCAUGGUCAACAGAAGGAGAGCUCGUUACCGUUUAGGGCUCUAGCUAGGCGUUUACCAAAGUGUAUAAUUAUACUGUACUCCCUUGUAUAGAUGCAGCGUGCAGCUAUAUGCUUAUUUCCGGUAAGUACAGUAGUAAUUAAGUCGCUGUGAUAGGUGACAAUCAUGGAGCUGACCAGCUCUCACGCUUCACCUGCUCGACUUGGGCCGGCGGUGCUCCGGUUCCUCGCCGUGGUAGCCGUGAUGAUGGUCACAUCGAGCCAGCUCCUGCCCAUCAUUAGCUGGUCUUUCUUGCCACGACGGCAAGCUGCAGCUUCUGGCCAUGGUCGUGCUCCUGGGAGAUGCGUGAUGUUCAACUUCGGAGACUCCAACUCCGACACCGGAGGGCUCGUCGCCGGCGCGGGGUUCCGGCUUCACAGGCCCCAUGGCCGCCUCUUCUUCGGCAGRCCCAGCGGCCGGUUCUCCGACGGCCGCCUCUACAUCGACUUCCUCUGUACGUCUAAUGUAUGUACUAUGCAUGUGUUCUCCUUGGAUUAUGCACACGAAAUAAGGCUCAUCAGUUCAGUUUGGUGGCGUGCAGGCGAGAGGCUGGGGUUGGACUACCUGAGCCCGUACCUGGAGUCGUCCGGCGUGUCCUUCCGCCACGGGCCAACUUCGCCGCCGCCGGCGCCGCCACGGCGCAGACUGCCGACACCGGGCAGUUCAGCCUACCGACGCAGCUGCGCCAGUUCCGGCAUUUCAAGGCCCGCACGGCGGAGCUCCUCCCGCUAGGUACGUACGUCCAUGGAUAUGCAUGCAUGCGCAACAAAACUAAAGCCAUCUGUCUGGAAUGCUGGAUGCAGGGCUCGGGUCUGGCAUCACCGACGAGGAGUUCCGACACGCCGUGUACACGUUCGACAUUGGGCAGAACGACAUAUCCGUCGCCUUCACMGCCAACCUCACGCAAGAAGGCAUCCUUGGGAGCGUCGUCCCGGCCAUCGCCACGAGGAUCAGAAACGCCGUCAAGGUGAGCCAAUCGAGCUGCCACUCCAAACACUUCAGAUGGAUUGCGUUGGCACGACGAUCUCUUGUAAUCUCCUGUUCUCCUCAUCAUAGGUCGUCCAUCCAAGACGGUGUACGAGGCCGGCGGGCGCAAGUUCGUGCUCUACAACACGGGCCGUUCGGGUGCCUGCCCAGCACGCUGGCACAGCACCGGACACGCCCAGGCCGAGGCGGCGGACACGAGCUCGAUGGCGCGGGGUGCCUCGCCGGCCACAACGGCGUCGCCGAGGCCCUCAACGCGCGCCUGCGCCGCCUCCGGGACGACCUGGCCGCGGAGCUGCCGGCCGCGGCCGGCGUCGGCGUGGACAUGCACGCCAUCAAGUACGGCCUCUUUGCCAACCACAGCGCGCACCGCUUCAGCAGCCCGCUCACGGCGUGCUGCGGCGCCGGCGGGCCACCGUACAACUACGAGCCGGGCGCCGCGUGCGGGACCGCCAAGGCGAAGGCCUGCUCGGAGCCGGAGGGAGGCAGGCGCAUCAGCUGGGACGGGGUGCACUACACCGAGGCGGCGAACCGGAUCGUCGCCGACAAGAUACUGUCCGCCGAGUACAACACCCCUCCUCUUCCUCUGCAAACGAUGUGCGAGGGAGACGGCGACACCUAGGGUGCGUGGGGUAUCCGAGAGCCACAAAUCCUCUUCCUACAGAGCUAGUACUUAUUUCAUAGCAUAUUUUUAUUAAAUAUUAGUCAUUUUUCUCGGAUGAACGGGAGCAGAAAUAGGGAUGGCAAUUGAUCUGGAUACGGUUAGGCAAGGGUAUGAAACGCAUUUGGAUCUGGAUAUCCACGAAAAAUCGGAUUAGACACGGUUGUAAUUUUUGCUUCAUGGAUAUCCAAUUAAGGAUACCCGUAUGACACGUGGUCCUCUAUGAUAGUGACACUAAACUAAGAAAAAAUGUUUAACCCCAAGUCACUCGCGGUCACAGAAGGUCAAAGUCCAGCCAUGUUCUCUAUUCCCCCACAACUCCACUAACAUAAUUAUUAAACCUAGUCUUAGUUAAUGAAAGAUCAUGAGUUAAUUUGAUCUUUGAAAAGACUUCAUUCUCAUUUUUCGAUGCCCAUGGAGCUUCAUGGUAUUUAAAUACCCAAUGAAUUUGGGCAUGAGCACAAUUUUUGCUCAUGAAUGCUUUGAUGGAUGGAUAGAGGAUAGAAAGAUGGGUCAUGGGUUAAAUUUGGACCAGUUUCACCCGUCCCAAACCCGACCCAUUGUCAUCCCUACGCAGAAACACGCGUCCUUACUUUCUAGUGAUUGAAUAUAAGAUGAACGGAUGCAGAAACAUGGGUCUUUACUUCCUAGUGAUUAAACACGCGUCUUUACUUUCUAGUGAUGGGAUAUGAACUGGUCUGUAGCAAAGGAAGAUACUAUGUGACAUGGCAUUCGUGGUAUUUUUUAAGGGCAGUGAUACGCGCCUGCAGCACGUAGGAGCCAUCCGAUCCGCCUUCCGCUUAUGUCAUCGUUUUCUUUUCCCUUCCCCGCGCAUGCGUCUUGGUUCAGAUUCGCCGGUGAUAUGUAACCAACAGAACAAGAUUUAAGUCCUAAACUUAACACGUGAGGUCAUUUUUUUCUUGAUUUAUUCCAAGCUUUUUAGCUCUAUUCUUUGAGUGGUAUGACGUGCCCGUCACAUACUACACAUCUUUGACGAUUUCGUCAAUCCCAAGAUUUGUGAACCCUAUCUUUAUGAAGUACUUGAGAGUCUACAUUUGUGUUUCUCAAAAUAAAUAAAUAAAAGGCUAUCCCUAUGAAAAGUGAGAAACCUAGGGCAAAAGAUAAAUUAACUCAACUAGCUGAGAAUUAAUUUGGUCUCAUUUACAUCCUCAACCAUUAGAUCAAAUACAUCAUGAUUAGUGCAGAGCGACUAACCUAUGCAGCGAUGUGUGUCCGGGCGUUAUCCUGGUAUUUAUUUUUCUUCGUAUAGUAUGGCAAGCGUCCAGUAGAUGAGCUAUACUUUUUUGUUGUCGGGCUAGCAUUGUUUUUAACGUUCGAUGCUACAAGCCUUGGCGCUUUUCUUGUUGCUUCUUUUUCGCCCCCUUUUUUGCAGUUGUUUGUUUUGUUUGACUAUGUAUAAUUUAUAUGAUUAAUUUUUAGAAAAGUAAUUGUUUUUUUAGAAUUUUUUGUAUGAGAACUUUUUUUUUGCGUGUUAUUGUCAUUUGCUUAACUUUUUGAAUCAUGUCAUUGUCAUCUGUUGACUGUAUCUGCCAGGGUCAUCUUUUUUGUAACGACUUUCCUUUCCAUUUUUUCUCUCCUGAUUAAUUAUUGUUUAUUGUUUAUUUUUUUCUUUUUAUAUUAAUGACAUUAAUAUUUAAAGUCGGGCCACAACUGCAAGAAUUGAAAUGUGACCGCAACUGCAAAUAUUUGAAGCCGGGUUGCAACUGUAAAUAUUUAAAGUCGGGUCGCAACUGCAAGUAUUCAAAGUCGGGUGACAACUGCAUGUAUUUGAAGUCGAGCCGCAACUGCAAGUAUUCAAAGUCGGAUCGCAAUUGCAAGUAUUCAAAGUCUAAUCGCAACUGCAAGUAUUCGAAGUCGGACUGCAACUGCAAGUAUUCAAAGUCAGGUCGCAAUUGAAGUAUUCAAAGUCUAGCCGCAAGUGCAAGUAUUCAAAGUCGGAUCGCAAUUGCAAGUAUUCAAAGUCUAAUCGCAAUUGCAAAUAUUCAAAGUCAAGUCGCAAUUGCAAGUAUUCAUAGUCGGUGCGCAAUUGCAACUAUUUAUAGUCGGGUCGCAGCUACAAGUAUUCACAGGCGGGUCGCAACUGCAAAUCUUAUUUAUGCAGCAACUACAUGAAAAAGCUAGAAUCAACUUAAUUUUUACGAAGAAAAAACAAAUUAUUACAUCACAAUUCCUAUAAUAAGGACACACUACUUCUUUGUACAAGAAUGUUUUAGUGGUCAAAGUAGUUGAAGCUAACAAGCCAUUACGUGACUUUUUUGUCUUAUUCUUUUUGUUCUCUAUCGGUGAUUUCUUUUUUAAAAGAUGCGACGUGCAACAACAAGAACCGAAUGAGUAAUUAUUGGGCCGGUUAGAUGGGGCGCAUAGCAACCACAACAAAAAUAUGACAUGUGAACCCAAAAGAAUAAAAUGAUGGAUUAAAGGAAACAAAAAGAAUAAAUACAAAAUACAAUAAUAUUAUGUGAAUGAGACCAUAGAAAAUCUCAGCUAUCUGAGUUGGAGGCACUCCCUUAACUCAAUGAUAAAGUGAAAAUCAAAUAGUAUAAAUAAAUGUUAUAAUACAACUCUUUAAGGAUUAAGAAAUUGUCCUGGUUUGAUUGACGACUAAUAUAUAAUACUAAUAAAAAAUCCAUGAUCCAAACAGAUCAACAAUACUCAAUCAUACAUGGCGCUCAAUAGAGGAGUUAGUACUGAUGUGGUGCUUGGGAUGGCGUCCUGAAUCGGAAUGGUCGCAGGGGGAACAACGACGGUGAGGCGGCACCGAACGAGGAGGCGGUCGUCGUGCAUGGCUGAGGACGAGCUUAACGGCUCCAGCCGGUAUCUAAAGAAGUGUUGGAAGAUGUUAGGAUGGAAUGUGUGCGUCAUUUUAUGGGACUCAAAGUUGACCAUCCCUUCGAGCUCAAAGCUGAACUCCGCCGUGGUUGGUGUCUCGUCCGCCUUACAUGCACGCAAUAGGAACACAAAGGCAAAUCCAUCACCGUUGUCCGGGCAUAAUUUGAGGUACCAUGUGCACCCUCCUACGGCGAAGCGCGUGGAGUUGACGAAGCCCCCGUCGCGGAGCGUGGCCUUGAGCUUGGAGAAGCUGCCGAUGACGAGUAUGUGGGACCCGGACAUGGCGGCGUCCAACGUCGUGAUCUCCUUGGAUUCGGACAAUCUUUGCUCUGCCGCCUGCUUCGUAGUCAUGGUGCACCUGACGGUGAAGCAGCCGUCGCGGACACACGAGGAUGCCUCCAGCUCCCUCCUUGACACGAACAACAUCAAGUAGUCCCGGCCGAGCGUCGAUCCCGGUACCGGUAGCAAGUCGUCAUCUUGGAAGACGGUGUGCUCGCCGGUCUCGUCAAGGAUUUCUAUCCCGAUGGAGAUGUCUAUGUUGAGGCGGUUCCGAGACGCGUAGUCGAUUUCGACCGAGAUAAUGAAGCUGUCCGCUAGGCCCAGCUCGUUGAGACCAUCCCUCUGCGGGUAUACUAUGACGUUCCAGUGGAGACCGCGGAAGACGAUGGUGUCGAAAGUCCGCUUGCGAAGCAGCGUGGAGUAGCCGUGGAUCCGAGUUGUCCUCACGAGGGGCGCCGUCGAGCGGCUGGCGGUGGCACCCAUUGACGGAAACGACCGGUGUGAGCUUAGACCUGCCCUAUAUAUGCCUGUGCGCCGCCCGGUGUAUAUAUAUGUAGUCUCUGGCCGGCCUCUCUUCUUACUUGUCUUUCUAACUCGGCCGACCGGUGUAUAUCUAGUCCCGAACCCACCGGAGUCCUUUCUUCUUACUUCUCCUGCUAAUACUCGGUCUUGAUCUCUUGUAAACCGGCCUCUUUCGUUUGAAAGUUGGUGUCCUACUCCUAUAACAGAUUCGUUGAGGUGACGUCUGUCUGAAGAUCCACAUCAACCGCUCGCCGAUCUGGAGGAAAAGAAGACGGAAGGAAAGAAGAUGGAAGAUCCGGUGGAAAAGAAGGCGCGGCUGACACCGCGAAUCGUGCACUCCAUGUCUGCCUACUGCUGGAUGCUGGGCGUACUGGGAGGUUUAUACUUGUUCGCCUUCGCUGUGAGUAAUUUCGCACCACUGGCUCAGCAAUCCGUGCCUCCGGCUGCUGCUGCUGCUUCCCCUACCACUCCGAACCAUUAUUUUUUUUAUUAAGGAGGAAGCGAGCCCCCGGCCUCUGCAUCAAUCGAUGCAUGCAGCCAUAUUAUUAAAGAUAGAUAAAAUAGUAUCUUAGAUCCAAAUAGCUGAAAAAGUCGAAAGUGUAAAACAAAGCACGAAAAAAGCCACAUCCGGCGUAUGUAAACUUAGACUACGAUGCCUAUACAUCUAGUCUAUUAUUAGCACGCCAUCCAAAUCGGUUGAAGAUAACCCGUGCGGCCAUCUCCCAUCGGUUGCACCCAAUAUCCAUAAGAUCCCUGUACUCCGCAUGACUGAGUAACGACCACGUACGGAUCCAAGACGUUGCUUUGUAUAUAACCUGCAAAAAAUUGUUGGAGUUCUUGCCAUUAAAGAUCAUGUCAUUCCUGGUAUUCCAUAUUGUCCAAAACAAAGCACAUAUCCCAACACCGAUAAGUUUCGAUAUUUUAGCGUCAACUCCAUUGAGCCACGUUGUAAAUAUUGAACCAACACAUAUAGGUGGGCUGAUAUUAAAAGCUAUUUGAAUAGUUCUCCAUAACAGUUUUGCAAGAGGACAUUCUAUAAAAAGGUGUUUAAUUGUUUCAUUUUGCUCACAAUAGCAACAGUUAGGCCUUCCUCUCCAACUGCGCUUAAGUAAGUUAUCUUUGGUUAGUAUGACCCCUUUGUGUAUAAAUCACAUAAAUAUUUUAAUUCUCAGGGGCACCUUGAUCCUCCAAAUAGGUACAGAUGUUGGUAAAAUUCUUGUAUUUAUCAGAUGUGAAUACAUGGACUUGACUGAGAAUACUCCAUUCUUAGUUAAUAUCCACCUAAUACUAUCUGAUUGUUCAGCUAAAUGCACCUGCAUGAUUCUUUCAACCAAAUGCAACCAUGCAUCCCAGCGAGCUCCUACUAAAGCCCUUCUGAACUGUAUAUUAAGCGGUGUAGAUUGUAGUAUCGUGGAUACAUAAUCCUCUUUACGUUGUACUAUAUUAUAUAACAUUGGGUAUUGAAGUGCAAGUGGUGUGUCCCCAAGCCAAGUAUCUUCCCAAAACCUUGUUGAGGCACCAUUACCCACUAUAAAUUUUACCCUCUGGUAAAACUUCAUCUUUAUCUUCAUUAGCCCUUUCCAAAAUGGGGAAUCAUUUGGUCUAGCUGUAACCUGAGCUAAAGUUUUAGAAUUUAGGUAUUUGUUCUGAAGUAUCUGAAUCCACGUUCCUUCAGAUUCUGUAGAUAAUCUAUAUAGCCAUUUGCUAAGCAAACAUUUGUUUUUCACUUCUAGAUUCUCAAUGCCCAAACCCCCCUGAUCUUUAGGAGAGCAUAUAAUAUCCCACCGAGCUAAUCUGUAUUUCUUUCUAGCUUCAUCACUUUGCCAGAAAAACCGAGAUCUGUAAAAGUCUAGUCUUUUUCGUAUCCCUACUGGUAUUUCAAAGAAAGACAAUAGAAACAUAGGUAAGCUUGUUAACACCGAGUUAAUUAAGACAAGCCUCCCUCCAUAUGACAUUAGUUUACCCUUCCAGCAGCUUAAUUUUUUCUCAAUUCUUUAUUUGAUACAUUUCCAUUCUUUAUUUGUGAGACGCCUAUGAUGAAUAGGUAUUCCGAGGUAGCUAAACGAAAGUGAUCCUAGUUCACAACCAAAUAGCUGUCUAUACGCGUGUUGCUCUUCUUUUGCCUUUCCAAAGCAUAAGAUUUCGCUUUUGUUAAAGUUAAUUUUGAGCCCUGAUAAUUGUUCAAAUAAACACAAUAAUAAUUUCAUGUUCCUUGCUUUAGCCAUAUCGUGUUCCAGAAAAAGAAUUGUAUCAUCCGCAUGUUGUAAUAUAGACACACCCCCAUCUACAAGUUGUGGAAUAAGUCCACCAACUUGGUCUUUAUCUUUGGCUCACGUAAUGAGUAUUGUCAACAUAUCAACAACUAUGUUGAAUAAUACUGGGGACAUUGAGUCCCCCUGUCUGAACCCUUUGUGUGUUUGAAAAUAAUGUCCUAUGUCAUCGUUUACUUUAACACCUACGCUCCCUUUCUGUAUGGAAGCAUCAACCUGAUCUCUCCACCUUUCAUUAAAACCUUUCAUUCGUAAGGCCUGUUGAAGGAAUGACCAAUUUACCAUAUCGUAAGCCUUUUCGAAAUCUACUUUAAAGAUAACUCCAUCUAAUUUCUUUGUAUGGAUUUCGUGCAACGUUUCAUGAAGAACGACAACCCCCUCAAGGAUAUGUCUCCCAGGCAUAAACGCCGUCUGUGUCGGUUGGACUACAGAAUGUGCUAUCUGUGUCAACCUAUUUGUGCCAACCUUUGUGAAAAUCUUGAAGCUCACAUUCAGCAAACAAAUUGGUCUAAACUGUUCAAUGCGUGUUGCUUCCACCUUUUUUGGCAACAACGUAAUUGUUCCAAAGUUGAGGUGGAAAAGCUGCAACCGGCCCUCGAAUAAAUCUUGGAACAUAGGCAUGAGAUCACCUUUAAUAAUAUGCCAACACUUCUUAUAAAGACCAGAUGGGAACCCAUCUGGUCCCGGUGCCUUAUUCCGUUUCAUUUGUGCUAUUGAAUCAUAAACCUCCUUCUCUGUAAAGGGAGCAGAUAAAACCUCAUUCUCAUCUGCAUUUAGUUGAGGUAUAUCAUGAUUCAAGGUCUCAUCCAGUGAGACCAACGUCUCUUUUGAAGGUUCAAAUAAUUUCUUGUAAUAUUCAGAUAUGUAUAAUUUUAAGUUUUCAUGACCUACUAUUGUUCCUUCAUCUUGCUCCAAUUGAAUUAUUUUUUUCUUUCUAUGCUUGCCAUUUGCAAUCAUGUGAAAGAAUUUAGUAUUAUCAUCUCCACCGAACCAUGCCCAGUCCAUUGUCACGUCUGUGCUCAACUGCCCCCGCCUGCCAAUGCCUGCCCUGCCUCGUGUGCCUCCUCCCCGCCUCCCUCUGCAUCCCACUCAUCGCAAGACAAGCUGAAGGCUGCUAUUUUCGGGCGGAACGGGCUCAUUGUGGCAUUCCACUUCGCAGCAGUGUUCUGCACCGCCAUGGCGAAGCCACGAGUCGAUGCAGCGGCGGCGGCGGAGGACCCAAAGAGGUCAAGGCUUACAAGGCUGCGGUUAAUGAGCAGAGCAAGGCCCGUGCUGAUGCUGCACGAGCCCAAGAAGACGUCCAUAGGGCCACCCCAUGCAUCUUUCCUGCACCGGCUGCCCCAGAUCCCCAUGUUACUCGACUCAUGAAGAUCCGUCAUGACUCUGUCGUUGCAAAACGAAAAGCCGAAAAGAAGGUUGAGGACCUAAGGACACUGGGUUGGUGUGGCGAGAAUGGGGACCGUUGAAAGGUUGAUGGUCCGCUCUCUUUUUGUCCCUCUCCAUCCCGUUCUCCUUGUGUACAGGGAUCUGCAACGCUGGUGCUUCCUUUGAUUCUGCUGGGCAUGAGAUGGGCAAUGCGAUGAGCCUUGCCAUUAUCGUGAUUCCGGGAGUACCGAUGCUCAUGGCGCAUGCCCAUCUCUUCUAUGUAGCGAUCUGCGAGAAUUAGGUUUUGCAGUGGCAAUGCAUUGCGAGUUACUUAUUGAGAACUCGUGUGGAAAAGCAAACUGUGGGCUGCUUUAUUGUAAUUUAUAUUUUCUGCAUGUUAUCCCUAAAUUCGCUACACUUCUCAUCUUUUAAUUAAGAACCGGAUGAUCACUGCUGCAUCUCAAAUAAGUGUUUUGGUGUUUGACAUUGUGGUGUUGUGCUGCAACUGCAGAUGACAAAAGCUAUUGCUCAAGUUCUUGACAUUAUAUUUUGAAUGCAUUUAGUGCUGUUUUGGAAUUGAAUGCUAUAGACUAGAUCCACCUUCAUCUCCACUAUUAUGUUGAAUGAAGUUUUGUUAGAGAAUAUUGGGUCGGUGCUUGCAUUAUCUAUACGACUAUAUAGUGUAUCAGUUUGAAACUUUUAAACUUCAAGACCAGGAAUCAACCUCAACCGUUGAUAUAGUCCAUCCAAUGGUUGAAAAUGUUGGGAUUCACAUCAACAAUACACGUUACAGUAGCAGCAACGAUACUGCUGCCUUCCAGAACUAUCGACAGUUUACCAACGCAGAAAAAGUUCAGCUGCUUACUGUUGUUGCCCACUAUGUCUGUGUGUGUAGCUGUCAGGGCAACCUUACCUCUUAGGGCAUACGCAUCACAAUCCGUGAGGGCCAGCGACGCGUUGAUGCAUGGGAAGGUUAUGUUUUGAGCAGAAAUGGAAGCGACAUGUAGUGCAAGAUACGGAUCCAUAGGUCAACGUGAGAAGUAGUCAAUGGUUGUUGGAAAAUUCAUUGGGUGAUUAAAGGGAGCUUUGGAUGGAUAAAUGGAAGCGAGGGGUCUCAAGUCUCAACCAUGGAACACAGAGACAUACUUUUUUUAGGAAAAUAUUGUAAAGUCGUCAAAUAAGAAAAUAAAACUUUAGUUGUACAGUAUAUGACAAGAAAACUUCCACACUAAAUCGAUUCGGGUUUAUGAAUCAUUCUUUUAGUUUAAAUUUGAUGUUCUAAAAUAUGUUUAUAGUCUGAGAAUAAUUCUUCUGAGGCCGGGGGUCUUCCUCCUUUUCUAAAAAAAAUACAUAGUAAGCCAAGGAUAAUAGACCAACCAACUUUUAUGGUGUUUCCACAAACAACCUGUAUAAUUAAGUCAAUGUAAAUGGCCAACUUAUUGGAUUACUUUAUUGCUCGCCCUACUAAAAAUUCUAUAAUUUUACAACAUUGUGAUAAUCAACACUAAAGUUUUGGAAUUUAAAUUUGAGAUGAGACUGAUUCUAAACAUGCAAAGCAUGUGCUACUUACUAGUAGUUUGGGUGUACGAGAGUUUGUGCGUUUUAGUGCAGGUUUUGGGGACCGUUUGCAAUUUAGCUUCAGACAAAGGUGAUCCUUUAAUCAUCUGCCCGUUUAACUGAUCCUUUAACUGACAAGUAAGAGUCUCAGGCUGGCUGAGACGCAAAAUCACUCACCUCAAGGCGACAGCCAACUAGUACAUGCUGCCCAACUCAAGCUAGUGUUACUGAUAGUGCAGCAUCCUCUGUUGGUAGUUGCAAUCCCUACGGUACUUCCUAGCCUCCUAUAGAUUAGCACAUCCUCAAGAGUAUGAUAGUUGAGAUAUUUGUAGUAGGACUGAUGAUGAUGAAUCUUCUAUGUCUCGAACUGAAUCACCUUUUUCCUAUUAAAGGCGGUCUUGGAAAAGAAACCCAUCUGCUUGAGUUGCAUGCUGAUCAUGCAACAAUGAUGGUACCAUAUGCUUUGGAUCAAUUAGCUGGGAGCAAGAGGCUUCAAUGACUAAUCCGAGUUUUGCAUUGAAGCCUCAAAUGAUUAACAUUUAUCAUCCUUUGGUAGGUCUAUUGAUGGAGGAGUUUGUCACAUGGUUUACGUGGUGACCAAAGUGGCAAUAUUUCCAUCAAGCCCUGGCUUGUAUCUUCUUUGUUCCCCUGUUUUAUCUUCUUCUUUUUAGCUUCUUUUAGGGUUCUACUAGCUUUUGCAAGGAUACUGGACAGGAAAUUUGGUUUGGUGACUGUACAAAAAACUACACCUCUAGAAUUUAUUGGAUAUUCUGACCAUGUCUUUUCCUAAACAAAAUCAGAGUAGUUAACUAUAUAAUAAUCAUGCUUUUUCCUUGGGCUGGUAUAGGAAGGAAUUGGAUAUAAUAAUUGCACAAUGUGCUUUCUGUGGUUAAUCGCUAAAUAAAUAGAAACAUUGUUGUUCAAGUUGAAAAGCUCAAUAAAUAUAGGCCUGGGACUGGAUUACACGGCGAUAAAAGUAGAUAGUAGUCAUAGCAUUUGUCAUUUGGUAGGUCUUGGAGGCUCAUCUGUCCAAGUUCAGGGCGCUACAACUGCAACUUACUUGAUGUGGAUAUUGAGAGGUAAGUAGGCAUGUUGUUUAUCCUCAGGUCCAGUACUUCUAUGGUUGGUUUGUUAUAAUUAUCUCAUACAUGAUAUAUAUUACAAGUGUAAAGUAUUUCUCUGAAAAGUGCUGACUGAGAUGUGUUCUACAUGAUCUUCUUGAUUUCCUUGCAAGCAGUUACGGAGGCUACCUAUGUGUUUCAUAGAUGUAAAAGUACUUCUCUUAAAAGUAGUGCCUGUUUUGGCCUUCUUACUGCUGUUUGGAUGAGGUUGGGUCUAUGGUUUUACCUACAUGCACAUCCUUACAGUUUCUCAGUGUAAAAAAUCCUAGUCUGUUUGUGUUGCCCUGCUACUUUUGCAUGCAAGAACAUUUGGUUGUUUUAUGACUCUGUGUAAUGGCAAAGCUUGUUAAUACUGCUUGUUAAAACAUAGAGCUAGUAUGUGCAAAAACUUUUCCAGUUUUAUUUAGAAACUCUCUUUCAUACGGCGUAGAACAUUUCUGGAUGUAUAACUUGUCUAUGAAGCAGCAUGCAAACAUCACCUCUUUGUUACCCAGAUUUUAUAUUGAAAUGAUUGGUUAUAACUUUACAGCAUGAUGAGUAUUUAUUUUUACAGAAUCAUAGAUAUGCACACAAAAAACAGACAGGACAAACUAAUCACCAUCAUGCACGGUACAUGUUAUUGAAGUUGAAAAUACAUGUUGAUAUAACUCGGGAAGAAGUCGUUUAUUUUGGCACAACCUGACUCGACAUAUAAUAAGCCUAAAGAAACACAAACAACUAGUGCUAAUUUAAAAAAUCAUCCUUGUGUAGCCUUGUGCAGGACUGAUGCCGGUGAUUUGUAGUACGUUCUUACUCUGUACCUUCCCAUCCAAGAACCAAUUCAUUGGUGUAAUUGGACACCAUGAAUGGAACAGUCAGAAAGGAGAAAGGGUGAGAAGAUUGAAAAUUCAAAUCCAAAGGCUCACCCGCACACGAGGCGAGCAAGGAGGAGCGACGGUCGCUGGCUGCUGGUUCGCUGCUUGGUAAACAGGUGUUCUUCUCCCAGCUUGGAACGGAAGCAAGCUCGGUCGCCUCGCCGACUGGAGCUGUGUCAGUACCUGAAAACAACUACUACAGUAUAAUACUUGUGUGAAACGAACUACUUCAACAUAAAGCACUACUUCAGAAGCACCUAGAUAUGGCCCUCCGAGGACGAACGUCUCUCAAAACAGGCUUUCGUUACGUUUUAUAAAUAAAUCGACAACAUAAUCUAAUACACAGCCGAACGAUACAAGGUGGUGAGGUUAUCAUCUUACAAAGCUGAUCCCAAGAUACGCAGAUCACAUACACCGCAAGCGGCUACGCUACCGAAACGAAAUAAAACAAAAGUCCAAGAGCACCACCGCACCACGUCGUAAUAUAUUUAAGCUCCACGACAAUGCCCUCAAGAGGGAGAACGAUACAAACGUUGUCGUUGUCGAGUCCACUGCGGACAAAGGUCUUACCCGGAACCCAGACACAGAGAAGAGCAUCGCAACGAUGUCUUCAAGAAGAGAGUAGCGCCUAUAGGCAUCACCGUCAUUGACGCUAAAGCGCGGGGCUUUCGUCCGGUAGCUCUCUCGUGUCACCAGGAGGCCUUCAGGAGUAGCACGACGACUCCCAAACCGCAGAUAAGGAUCAGGGCACCGCCAUCAUCAUAGACAAAGAGCGCGCCUAAGCCACUCGCCGCUAUGUCUCUAGUCGCCCACACGAUCAAGAGAAAUAGACACCACCAUCGCCAUGGUGCCUGCCGGAGAGCCAACUAUGCAGACCGUCAUGGUGUCUUCAUUUCUGCAAGACCAAUUUUUAAUAUCCGCCAAACAAAUUUUAAAUAUACAUUGAUUUUUUUGUAAUAUACGCGGAGCAUUUUUUAAAUACAUAUUAAACAUUUUUGUGAUCUAUGCUGAACAAACUUUAAAUAUAUUGAACAUUUUGUGAUAUACGCUAAACAUUUUUAUAGUUGCACAUUGAAUGUAUUUAGAAAAUUGUUGUAAACUUUAUUAAUAUAGGGUGAACAUUUCCUCAAAUAUAUAUAAAUAAGUAAUGAUAUUUGUGUAAUACACAUGAGAGAAAAAAGAAAAAGAGAAGAAAAUAGAAUAGGAAAAGAAUAGAGAAAAAAUAGAAACAGAAAAGGAGAAGAAGAAAAUCAGCCGACCUUUCGUGCAGUGCAAAUUUUGUGCUUUCUUGAGGAAUUAAACUCUAACCCCUAGAUUCAAGGUAUGUGUUCGUUACCAAUUGAGCUGACCAAUGUUACUCAAUAAUAGCUCACAAGAAAGAAAAAAAAUUCGACCAUGGAACAUUUUAUGAUAUAUUCUGAACACUUUUUAAAGACAUUAAAUAUUUUUGUGAUAUAUGUUAAACAAUUUUUAAAUAAGCAUUGAUCAUUUUUUGAUAUACUCUGAACAUUUUUAUAAUGCACAUUUAACCUUUCAUGAUAGGAAAAAGGAAAAAAAACUAGCUUUUCUUUGUGCCUUUCGUCGAAAGAAAAUCCAUUCCUCUACGGGAAGUAAAUCCCUACCUCUCGUGGUAAGGAAAAUAGUGUCUUUUAUAGGCAUAAUCGUGCCUCUUGCGAAAAUGAAUCAGUGUGUGCGUAGUAAGAAAAAAAUGAACCUACGUUUUUCUCUUUUUUGAAAGGCUCAGUAGCAGAAGAAGAAACGUCGUUUUUUCACGUUAAUUUGUUUUUACAACUAUUUUUUUAGGUUUAAAACCUAAGAAAAUACCUAAURAGUAAAAACAAAAAAAACUAAACUAAAAACUAAACUACUAAAACCUAAGUAAACAANNNNNNNNNNNNNNNNNNNNNNNNNNNNNNNNNNNNNNNNNNNNNNNNNNNNNNNNNNNNNNNNNNNNNNNNNNNNNNNNNNNNNNNNNNNNNNNNNNNNACGGGGGGGGGGUAGGUGGUGGCGUGCUCUCAUUGGCUAAGGGUGUGAGUGUUNUGGGGUUCUAGCAAACUACCGCUAUUUAACAAAACCUCUUCGGCUAAAUUAAGUGAAGUAAACCGGCUCGAUUUUAACUUGAAAACCGAAGGGUUAGUCUGCCAUCUAAUCUAACACGUAUAUUUGUAGAUCCAACGGCGUACAGGGAAGAUGGAGGCUCACAGCGAGGUGGAGGCGCUCCGGCGAGGUCCCCGGCGAUGACAGAGGCGGAGACGAGUCGGGGAAGCGGCUCCUGUGACCCUCCGGCGGUGGCGACGGGUCGGGGAGGCGGCGGCGAGUCCCCUCCGGCGAUUGGUGGUGGUGGCUAGGCGAGGGAGGUGGCUGUGUGAGCCCGGGAAGGCUCGGGGUGGCCGGGUGGAGCUCGACUCCGGCGAGGUGGCAGGGCGACGCUGCGGUGGCGGGGAGCUCGGGCUGGUUGGGGAAACGGGGUGCGGCGGGGCUCCCGCGUCCGGUGGUGGCGGCGGCGAGGCGAAACGGGGCCGGGGUGAGCUGCGGGGCGCCGGGGAGCUUCGGCUCCGGCGAGGUGGCGGCAGGGGCGGCGAAGCUUGGGCAGGGGCGGCGAGGAGGGGAAACGGGGUGAGGAGAGGGGCUCGGGGCCGGCUACUUAUAGGGGAGAGGGGAGACUGCGGAGGGAAGGAGAUCGGCGAGGCGGGGGCAAGUCCGGCAAUGGCGGGGUGGCCGGCUGGGCAAGGAAAGUGGAGGGAGGCGCGGGGGAGAGAGAAGGAAGGAGAGGUGGGCGCGGGGUGCGCUGGAGGCGGGGUCGACCAGGUGGGGGAACGGGUGGGGCCGGGCGUCAGCGAGGGGGUGCGGGAGGGGUUCGGUCAGUUUGACCGAGAGGAAAAAAAGGGGAAGGGAUCCCGGGCCAGGGGGGUGGGCCGAUUCUAUAAUGCGCCCACGCGCUUUCCUCUUAAAAAAAUCGGUUUCCUGUUUUAGUCUUUUUUCAAAAACAAAAACUAAAACAAAUUAAAAGGCAACAAACAAAAUAAUUAAUAUAGGGUAUUAUAUAUCAAAAUGAUCAGAAAAAUAUCCUCUACUCGAUUAACAUUUUUCCAAAACCAAAAUAAAAACUUUUCUAAAAAUUAGUUUUUUUACCUAGAAAAAUACCCUAAGGAUUUAAUUUUCUUUUUGGUCUAAUUAAUUUACUUCUAUAAAACUUUGGUCUCAAAAUAUUUCAGAAAUGCCUCACAUUUGGUAGGUCGAUUUCCUCCGCUUCUUUUUKKCGUGCAAGAAUUUUGUCGGGGCAUUUUCUCGGGGAAAGAAAAAUAUAAGAAAAGCGAAAAGGUAAUUUUUUUUACGAAAACGGUAUUCWAMYGMAAAYUMCUAUUCAAAUNNNNNNNNNNNNNNNNNNNNNNNNNNNNNNNNNNNNNNNNNNNNNNNNNNNNNNNNNNNNNNNNNNNNNNNNNNNNNNNNNNNNNNNNNNNNNNNNNNNNUGUGACGUCACGGAAAGGAAGACCGGAAACCCAACGGAAGCAAAAGCAAACACUAAGACGCCUCGAGACUUGUCAGAACUCAUUUUGCUUUCGUUUGCAAGGAAGCAGGACAUUUUGCUAGCGAUUGUCCACAAAGGAAGAAAGCUAAAAAGGAGUAGUUAAGUUUUGACCACGGCAAUUAGUGUAAUUUGAAGAACUCUUGUUUUUCAUGAGAUCAUGGAGUGAAUUUUUUUGUAACAGAAGUCCCUGAGAUUGUAAUAACAUCAUGAAUAAAUGGAAUUUAUUAUCUCAUGAUUGCCUAUGCUGAAACUGUAUGCGUUGUUUCUCUUCGAACAAAGAUCUCUGAACAUUUAUGAGGAUAUGAGAAAAUAUGGUCUAUGCAGGCAUGACUAUAAUUCAUUUUAAGUGUGGUAGUAAUCGGCAAACCCACAGGAUCCACUGAGUAGGAAUGUACCAUGAUUACCAAGGAGACACAUACAUUCCUCUGAGUACCUAUUUACUGACACCUGCAGAUGACAACUCUCUACGAGUCAUUCCUCAAGGGCCCCGAAACGAUCAUGACCCUGACCAGUGAUCAUGAUUACCCGAAAAUCCUGAAGGACAUGAUGAAGCACAUUCAUCUUGAAGGAGAUGCAGUCUACAAAGGCUACCCAUUUGUGGAAAAUGGAGUGGAACUUUGGUAUGUGGAAGUACAUCUCCACCGUGUGAAAGGAGUUUGUCCAAAGACUAUGGGGCAAUACUUUUUCAUUUGACGUGUACCACGAGCAACCUUCUUUGAUGUUGUUCGUGAAGCUGCCAUGGAAGCCAUACGUCAAAUUGGAGAAAUACUUGAAGCAAGACUCCAUCAUACCCAGGAAUACCUGAGUGAAGUGCAUGCGGAGAUGAUGGAGAUGAAGCUCAUGACCACCAUGAUGAAGCAAAAGAUGGAUGAUUUCAAGGAGCACAUUGGAAAUUUCGAGUGGAACUAAAGUACCUCCAAGAGAGAUGAAUGAAUAAUGUUGGCAGAAAUGCUCGACCAUACCGAACAAUGUGGAUGGCAGCAUUUGUAAUAAAUUACUUUUGAGUUGGAAUUUUGAAGAAAGCAAGGAUGUAAUAAAGGAUUGAUUAUGAAAUGAAUAUGAUUUAUGGAAGAAGCUAUGAUGGAUCAGCAAACGUUUUCUUAGGAACAUACGAAAGCCAGAGAGUUGUGAAGAUACGGUAGAUGUUUUGUUCAGCUUGUAGAACCAAUGGAUUAUCCGAACUUCGUUUGUGGACAAGAGAAAUUCUGCAACGCUUGUGAGGAUGCCCAAGUGUUAGAAUACGAGAUUCACUAGGCCUUAUACAAGGUAAUGAUUUCAGUGCGACAUGGCUUGGCCACCAUGACGACUUACUAUUAUCUAUUCUCUUGUCUAUUACGGUAGUAGUAAGUACUGUAGAGACUACCCUACUAGUGAGAGACGACGUUCUUUGUAGUACGUUUGUUUUAAGUCGUUAACGGUAAUAGGUUAGUGUACGUAGUAAACGACCCCCGACUAGUACGUAANNNNNNNNNNNNNNNNNNNNNNNNNNNNNNNNNNNNNNNNNNNNNNNNNNNNNNNNNNNNNNNNNNNNNNNNNNNNNNNNNNNNNNNNNNNNNNNNNNNNUAAUCUCAUUUCCAAAGGUAUCAAUACUAGCAAAGCUUAAUGGUGAGGUAUGGUUAAGUGGUGAGGUUGCAGCAGCGGUUAAGCAUAUAUUUGGUGGCUAACUUACGAGGACAAGAAAUAAGAGGGGAAGUUCUACUCAUAACGGACGUGAACUACUGAUGAUCAAAUGAAUGAUCCUGAACACCUACCUACGUCAGACAUAACCCCACCGUGUCCUCAACCGGAGAAGGAACUCACGAAAGAGACAGUCACGGUUACGCACACAGUUGGCAUAUGUUAAUUAAGUUAACUUCAAGUUAUCUAGAACCAGUGUUAAACAAAGCUUCCACGUUGCCACAUAACCGCGGGCACGACUUCCGAAAGAUUUAACCCUGCAGGGUGCUCCAACUAGUCCAUCACAAAUUACCACAAGCCGCAUAGAAAUCCUCAAUCACGAAGCUCGCGAUCUCGUCGGAUUCCCUAGUGGAAAACCUCAACUCUGAGAUUACCCAAAGCAUCACCGGAAUCCCGAUGCACAAGAUAUCUCGUCAAAGGUAAAACUAAUCCAGCAAGGCCGCCCGACGUGUCGACGAUCCCGAUAGGAGUCGCGUACCUCAUUCUCAGGACACGACGGAUGAGCGAUGGUUACCACGCCAAACGCCGGGUUGCCCCCGGUAGCGUUAAUAAGCUGCUCUGUUUGGACCAACACUCAUGAGGAGCACUGGCCCGGGGGUUGAUUAAAAUAGUCUGCGGGUGCCGGCGGGUCCCUAUGCAUUAUUAUUAGGUUAUUAGGCAAAUGUAGUACCAAUGUUGGGCCUUGCCAGACCAGCUUUAAUCUAAAACGNNNNNNNNNNNNNNNNNNNNNNNNNNNNNNNNNNNNNNNNNNNNNNNNNNNNNNNNNNNNNNNNNNNNNNNNNNNNNNNNNNNNNNNNNNNNNNNNNNNNUGGAAGAUCAAACACAAAGGUUGGCAUGACGGUCUUUGGCAUGGUUCUGAUAGGUGGUGCUAUCGUACGUCCAUGUUAGUGGAGACUUCAACUCACGGAGGGUAAUGACUGCGAGAGUCCAUGGAGGGAUCCACCCACAAGGGGUCUGAUACGUCUCCAACUUAUCUAUAAUUUUUGAUGGUUUGAUGCUAUUAUCUUGUCAAACUUUGGAUGUUUCGUAUGCCUUUUAUAUAUUUUUUGGGACUAACCUAUUAACUCAGUGCCAAGUGCCAGCUCCUGUUUUUUCCGUGUUUUUGACCCUUUUCAUAGGAGGAUUUUAAACGGAGUCCAAACGGAAUAAAACAUCCAAAAAGAUUUUUUCUGAAACAGAAGACGAUCGGGAGACUUGAGAACCAAGGCAGAGGGUCACCAGGGACCCCACAAGCCCUCAUGGUGCGGCCGAAGGGGGGGGGGGCGCCGUCCGUCCCGACGGUCGUUGGUCGGGCCGUCCCGUCGGGYCYCSUCYKCCSUMGCUCCKUACGUCCUUCCUUCCGUCCUACUACUACUUACCCUAAAACUAACCCUAAAAAAACUACGNNNNNNNNNNNNNNNNNNNNNNNNNNNNNNNNNNNNNNNNNNNNNNNNNNNNNNNNNNNNNNNNNNNNNNNNNNNNNNNNNNNNNNNNNNNNNNNNNNNNGGACCGUACUACCAAACUACCGACGUAAUAGUNUCCAAACGCAAGGGACGAUAGGGCGACCGGAAAGAGGGGACGAAGAAGAAACAACUACUAAACAACUAAACAACAACUAUCAUGACAUCAUGGAUCACUAGGGAARGAAGAACACAAAAUAGGCAUCUCACACACUAUUUCUAGACUUAGUGAAAAUAACAACCUCAUGAAAGUAGCAGUUUUCUAGCCUGAAGCUAUAUUGACAACAGCAAAAUCUAUAGCUACAGGACUCUAAAUGGCAUGAAAAUUUACAGCAUGCUAGAGAAACACAAGGGGUACAAAUAACUCCAUUGGACCAACCUCAAAAGAGCUACAGAUCACAAGAUGCAAGCAAGACAAGACAGCAACAAAAUAAUAACAGAUUCCACACUUAGAAAUAUUUCAGCUCCUCUAAAACAGCACUAUUUCUAGCAACUGGAGAGCAAGAAAUUGACACCUAAACAUGCAUUUCUAUUGCAACCAAAAAUACCAGGGGCUAAACAAAACAUCCAAGAUCAACUCUCUAGUUGACAACUCCGUCAAACGACGCACGGAAUAAAUCCUACGAAUUAAUCAAAAGGGCAACAUAGCAAAAUAUCUCGCGAACUAACUUACUCGAAAGCUAGAAGUAAUUGCACAGAAAAAUCCAUGGGAUUUUUCUACCCCGGAAACAUAUAAAAUAUGUGGGGUUUGCAACACAAAAUAAUGCCACACAUUAAUGUGAGAUAAACACCUAUAUACGGGAAAAUAAGCUACCGGCAAAUCCCUACACGUAAAAAAUACAAUUGACCGCUCUAAAAUACAUGGAUAAAUAGCCCCUAAAACAUAGGCAUUUCUAACAUGGCAUUCGAGCAAUUCGAACACGCUCAGAAAAUAAAUGCGGGCACUUUCCUAUUGAGACAGCACGUAAACCCAUGCAUACGAUACGUCAAACAACGUCAAAUAAAUAUGCAAGUUGCUAAAUCGUAUUCUACACGAAAUUCGACACCAAAACCAUAUAAGAUACGCCUCGUUUCGACUUACGGAUUAAAAGUUACGGGGAUUUUAUUUAACGUCUAAUUUUCUGGAAUUUUAAUUAAAUCCCGAAAAAUCCUAAAUAUACCAACGGGCCGAACAGGCAGCGCAAUAUAGUAGGCAACACCUAGGGCGGGGGAUAGACGAGGGGAGGCCUCACUUUGGUGGGCUCGGCCCAUGCAGUAGGAGGCGGAGGCGGACUGGAUAGACAGUGGCCGACUGGGCCUCGGGGCGAUUGGGCCGGCUCGGCGCGCUCCUGCGUGGCCCAGCAGCGCCUAGGGCACGGGCGGUUGCAGCGGCCACCUGGGCCGGCUGGCGCAGGACGCUGGCGUCGUCUCCUCGUCCCCUCGUCCUCCCGACCAGGAGCUUCUGGCGGCGGCGGUUGCCGACGAGAGGGAACCGACGCGGGGCUAUGAGGGGAACCGGCUCGGCUUGCUGCCUCCUCCCGGUGAGAUCUGGCCCGGGAACCUCCCCUCAGGCAGCUCGGACAGAGCGGGGCGACAGCUCGGUCCGGCGAGGACCCACGGUGGCGCGGCGAGGGAACCUCGGGCAGGAGCUCGCGAGGGACGCUGGCAUACGGCUCCGGGGCUCCGGCGGCGAGGAUGGCCGACGAAGAGGCGAACCCCGGUGGCGAGGAGGCUCGGGCUACUGCGGGCGGGAGGAGCUGCGGGGCUCGACGGGAGCAGGGAGGCUGCGGCGGCGGCGGGGCGAUCCGGACCCGGGCGGGCCCCAAAUGGGCUUCGCGGGCCCGGCGGCUGGAGAGGGAGAGAGGAGGCUGGCUAGGGUUAGGGGUAGGUGGCGCGGAAAUCAAGGAGGGAUUAGAGGGAGGCUGUCCGAAAAUUAGAAGGGGUCUAUAUAUAGACAAACGAGGGGGCUGGGUUGACCGGAAUUUUGUUCCGGAUCCAACCGCGGGGUCGGGUUCGGACGAUUCCGAACGCGGGUAUGGGUAUGCGGCCGUGUAGAGGGGAUAUCCGGAGACGAGAGGGGGAACGGGCGGCGCGGCACGAAUUUUAAAACACCGACAGACGUCCGACGGUAGACCAAAUACGGUGCCGCUACUAGCGACCGUUCGGGUACCAGACGGUCUCCGAUCGCGACGAAAUUCGACAGGCGGCCUAGCUAGAUUAAAAUAAGACCGCACGUCAAAUCUCGACCCGAUCAUAGGAAGUUUAACGCAGACUUUUUAAAACAGGGUUUCGACGGUGCCGCGGGCGCGUGCGAGUGCGGUCGGACUCAGAACGGACGACGACGAGAACCGGCAACUACUAACGAAUGCAGGUUUUUUUGGAAAACUGGCGGCAACGGCGAUGCCGAUGCAAUGCAGAUGAUGCGGCAAAUAAAAUAAAUCACACGACGAAAACGGAACAGAAGGGGAAUMUUCUCGAACGUCGGCAUCGGGCUGUCACAUGACUACUUGGCACUCCUCAGCUGGGUGNNNNNNNNNNNNNNNNNNNNNNNNNNNNNNNNNNNNNNNNNNNNNNNNNNNNNNNNNNNNNNNNNNNNNNNNNNNNNNNNNNNNNNNNNNNNNNNNNNNNUACUUUUGAUCCACAACUCCAACGAGGUUGAUUCUUUUUCGAGUAGAUAACAAUUUUUCUGUAGUUUUAAAAACAUAUAAUUUGUCUAUGUUUGAAAUUUUCAAAUUUGAAUUAGAUCAGAUUUAGUUUAAACCUUGUUUUGCCUUUUCCAGGAGUUUAAAAAUAGCUUUUAAUUUAAUUCCUUUUGCUACUGAUCACUAGUGAUCUUAUUUAUCAGUGAUAAAAAUUUCAGAUUUGUUUGAGUAUUUUAGCUCAUUGUUUCUUGUGAAACAAUUUCUGUUUCACCUCUUUUAGGAUUAUGGCUAUUUCCUUUUCUAUAAUUUGUUUUAAAUUAUUUUCUUUUAUAUUUCAAAAAGAUUAURUUUGUUUCUGUUAGUUAACAGUAGGUUUGUCAACUUANUUAGUUUGUUUAUUUUUAUUUUAUUAUUAUUAUAUAUAUAACUACUUACUUACUUACCUUACCUUAACUAACUUAGUGUGUCGUCGGUCGGUCGGUCGUCUCUACGNNNNNNNNNNNNNNNNNNNNNNNNNNNNNNNNNNNNNNNNNNNNNNNNNNNNNNNNNNNNNNNNNNNNNNNNNNNNNNNNNNNNNNNNNNNNNNNNNNNNGGUUGAUUGGUUGGUUUGUAAGUCUUUGCUGGUAAAAAGGAACUAAGAAACUUUUAGGUCUCUACGAUUAUUAUUUUUCUAUUUUAUUUCUAGAAAGACGAUUUUGUAGUUGUAUCUUUUUUAUUGCUGGUUGAUAUGCCUUUUACCCUAGGCAGUCGUAAUUGUUCAGAAUUUUAGUCAGGUACCAUUAAGGUAUACGAAGUAUACAGAUUGCUGCAGACUGGUCNGUUUUUGACAGAUUCNGUUUUUGUUGAGUUGGUUGCUGUUUUGAUGAAACUAUGGAUAGUAUCUGGGGGUACUAGCCAUGGAAAAGUGAGAAUACAGUAAUCUAACACCAAUAUAAAUAGAWAUCAAUAUUGCUACAGUACCAAAGGAGGUGGUAGUUUGUUUUCUUGUGCUAAUGAUAUCACGAGUUUCUGUUUAAGUUUWGUGUUGUGAAGUUUUCAAGUUUUCGGUGAUGUUCUCAUGGACAAAGGGAUAAAGAGUGGAAAGAGCUCAAGCUUGGGGAUACCCAAUACAUCCAAAGCCAAAUUCAAGGACAUCAAAAGCCUAAGAUUGGGGAUGCCCCGGGAAGGCAUCCCCUCUUUCGUCUUCAAUCCAUCGGUAACAUUACUUGGAGCUAUAUUUUUAUUCACCACAUGAUAUGUGUUUUGCUUGGAGCGUCUUGUAUCGUAGGAGUCUUUUCUUUUUGUUGUGUUCACGUANACUANCCNUCNNACUUCCGUUACGUACGUACGUACGUAACCGUUACGUACGACGUACGUACGUACGUACGUACGUUACGUUUACGUUACGUUACGUUUACGGUUACGUUUACGUUACGUUACGUUAACGUUNNNNNNNNNNNNNNNNNNNNNNNNNNNNNNNNNNNNNNNNNNNNNNNNNNNNNNNNNNNNNNNNNNNNNNNNNNNNNNNNNNNNNNNNNNNNNNNNNNNNUAUUGCGGCAACCAGUCAAGGUUUCGCACAGGGUGCCCCCCCGACUGGCAGGCCUAGAAGGGGUGCCGGUAUUGUAGUGUAUAGCAGGUCAACAAUUAUUUUUUCUGAUACUUUUCAAAAUUUCUUUCUUUGUUUUUUUUUUGCAGAUUUUUCUUAUUCUUUUUUCAUUUUUCUGUAAUAUAUUUCAUUUUAUAUUUAUUUUUAAUUCCUUUUUCUUCUCUUUCUUGUUCUUCAAAAUUUAAUUUUUUCAAAUUUUCAAAUGAUGUGCAGAAGCUGAAAAAUGUUCACAAAAUGUUUGAAUAUUUUUAACAAAGUUCACCUAUCAGAAAGCACUCAUAAUUUUAAAACUGUUCGGGUUUUAAAAUUUGUUCAUGAAUUUUAUAAAAUGUUCCUAGUUUAAAAAAUGUUCUUUAGUUUUAAAAUUAGCUUGAGUAGUUUCAAUUAAAAUUGUUUUCAUUGGUUUAGAAAUUAGUAGAAAAACAUACAAAAAGGAGAUGUUGGUACUUUGUUAAUWHCCUGUACKAGUUACUUAGUAAACUAAAACGUUUUANNNNNNNNNNNNNNNNNNNNNNNNNNNNNNNNNNNNNNNNNNNNNNNNNNNNNNNNNNNNNNNNNNNNNNNNNNNNNNNNNNNNNNNNNNNNNNNNNNNNAACAUAAGACGUUGCAGCCGUGUAGGUCAGCAUAUUGAAUAUGCCGGCAAGUCACAUAAGAGAGGGGUGAAAGACAAUCAUCUAUACUAUAUGCAUAUAUGGCAGGUGGGGCAAUAAGUUUUAGCGUAAAACAAGUUUUCUCCUACAUCAAGAGAGGGCUAAAAGCAAAAUGUUACUACAUUGUUGGUUGUUAACGAGAUGGUUCCACCAACCAAUUCUCGUACCCAUGUUGUCAAUAAUACCCACAUCAAUAUUAUUAUUUGUGUUGAGAAUUUCAGAUAACUUCAGUUCCUUUGGCUCAAGUUGUCCAUGACCGUGGACACGGCUAAUCGAUUAGGUUUGAGUACUCUGCAGAGUUUUGCACACGUUCCCCACAAGAUUUGAUCGCCUCCGAGUAUGUCCUCGCACUUCAGGGUGUUUGAAGACCGGAUGAUCAAAACAUGGUCUUUCAACGGGUCCCUCUGAAUCCCUGUCGGUGCCCAUCCAAUCCUACCAUUCUUCUACAUCUGCUAGCACCGCCUGUCCAGAGUCGCCGCGUUGUCCAACCAAGCCAGAGCCCAUAAUGACUUGUGGCUGUGCAGGUAAGCCUUGGGUCUUGAAAAUAUCCGUCCGUCUCUUUGAGCCUGGGUGAAGCUUUCCGCAAGAUGUCAUGGCCGUCUCCAGCAUCCCGGGUCAUCCACUGGUUUCUCCAGGGAGCCGAUCAACCGUCCUUCACCCAGAGUUGCAUUGCAUCACGAGGUCUUGAAAGUCUUGACUUAACCGGUCUUGGUUAUUAAAUUAUUCUCGCUUCACUCGUGGUAAACUAUCAACCAGAAUCCCGUCUACUCAAGCAUAGCAAUAUAGAAAUUUGUCAUAGUGGUGCGUNNNNNNNNNNNNNNNNNNNNNNNNNNNNNNNNNNNNNNNNNNNNNNNNNNNNNNNNNNNNNNNNNNNNNNNNNNNNNNNNNNNNNNNNNNNNNNNNNNNNUCUAAAGAAGUAUACCAACCGUCGCCACAACCACGACAUGCCACGUGUUAGUCCUUUAGUCCCGGGUUGAGCCACCAACCGGGACUAAAGGGGGAUACGAACGGUUGCCACCACCACUGCCCGCCGCGUAGCCCUUUAGUCCCGGUUUGUGACUCGAACCGGGACUACAGGCUCCUUACGGGACGGGACUAAAGCCUCGAGGGAGGCGUUGAGAAUUGGGGCGACGUGGCCGGGCCUUUAGUCCCGGCCCAGAGGCAGGCCGGGACUAAAUGGUCCAGGCCAAAGGCCCGUUUUCUAUUAGUGGCCGAAUCAUUAAAAAAUAUGUUAAGAAGCAGGAUCACUUAUAUUAAUUGAUUGAUGAUGAAACUGUUAAUAUAUAUCGUUCUAGGAUACCAUAUAUAGGUGUGUGCAAGUGCUUGUGUAUGCACUAGUGUGUGUAGGUGGAGUGUGUAUGAGUGUGUGUAUGGUGUGUGGUUGUGUGUGUGUGUGUGCACAUAGAAGUGAGUUGUGACACACUAGUGUGCUAUGGUGGGUGUGUUNNNNNNNNNNNNNNNNNNNNNNNNNNNNNNNNNNNNNNNNNNNNNNNNNNNNNNNNNNNNNNNNNNNNNNNNNNNNNNNNNNNNNNNNNNNNNNNNNNNNCUUCGACGAUAUAAGGUCCUUCCCAUUUAGAGAGAAGCUUACCUAUAAAGAAUCUGAAACGAGAAUUGUCCAAAAGAUCUAGGUCUCCUACUUUAAAUUCUCGUUUCUGGAUUCUCUUGUCAUGCCAUCUUGUAACCUUUUCUUUAAACAACUUGGCAUUUUCAUAGGCUUGGGUCCUCCAUUCAUCUAAGGAGCUAAUAUCAAUUAACCUCUUUUCACCGGUAGGCUUGGGUCCUCCAUUCAUCUAAGGAUUCACCAAUAAGCUUUAUGUUCUAGCUCAAGAUGUAAAUGACAUGAUUUUCCAUAGACGAUUUUAUACGAAAACAUUCCGAUAGGAUUUUUAUAAGCAUUUCUAUAAGCCUGUAAUGCAUCAUUAAGUUUCUUAGACCAAUUCUUUCUAGAUCUAUUAAUAGUAUUUUGCAAGAUCUAAUUUUAUUUCUUAAUUAGUCAACUCAACUUGACCUCUAGACUGAGGACAAUAGGGCGAUGCAAUUCUAUGGUUAACAUCAUAUUUAUUUAGAAGUUUACGGAAAGCACCAUGAAAUAAAAUGUGAACCACCAUCAGUCAUUGAAUAUCUAGGGACUCCAAACCUCGGGAAAAUAACCUUUUAAAGCUAUUUUAAUAGAAUUGUUAUGAUCAACACUACUAGUUGGAAUAGCUUCUACCCACUUAGUAACAUAAUAAACAACAACUAAAAUAUGAGUAUACCCAUUAGAGGAAGGAAAAUGUACCAUAUAAUCAAGGACUUCCUAAUUUUAUCGCCCCUCUUCGUACUUCGUUACUCCUCGUAGUUUCGACCCGACGUCUUCGUUUCGCCGACGUUCCCUCCUAACCCUUUUUCCCCCUCCUUAGUUUCGUCGNNNNNNNNNNNNNNNNNNNNNNNNNNNNNNNNNNNNNNNNNNNNNNNNNNNNNNNNNNNNNNNNNNNNNNNNNNNNNNNNNNNNNNNNNNNNNNNNNNNNCACUUAGAUUUACUAGUUUUACGUCAAAGACGGACGACGUAUUAUCGUACCUAUAAAAAGUAACCAACUUACUUUUUCCUUACCGAACGAGGAAGGUAGGGUAUUUACCUUCCGGUAGAGGAAUUGGAUUUUCUUUCGACGAAAGGACACAAAAGAAAGACUAGUUUUUUUUCCUUUUUCUAUCAUAGAAAGGUUAAAUGUGACUAUUAUAAAAAUGUUCAGAGUAUAUCAAAAAAUGAUCAAUGCUUAAUUUAAAAUUAGUUUAACAUAUAUCACUAAAAAUAUUUAAUGUCUUUAAAAAGUGUUCAGAAUAUAUCAUAAAAUGUUCCAUGGUCGAAUUUUUUUCUUUCUUGUGAGCUAUUAUUGAGUAACAUUGGUCAGCUCAAUUGGUAACGAACAYAUACCUUGAAUCUAGGGGUUAGAGUUUAAUUCCUCAAGAAAGCACAAAAUUUGCACUGCACGAAAGGUCGGCUGAUUUUCUUCUUCUCCUUUUCUGUUUCUAUUUUUUCUCUAUUCUUUUCCUAUUCUWUUUUCUCUCUUUUCUUUUUUCNCUCAUGUGUAUUACACAAAUAUCAUUACUUAUUUAUAUAUAUUUGAGGAAAUGUCACCCUAUAUUAUAAAAUUUACAACAAUUUUCUAAAUACAUUCAAUGUGCAACUAUAAAAUAGUUAGUCGUAUAGUUANACCGAAAAUAGUACUUAACUAUAAUUUAAAGUUUUAAGUUUANNNNNNNNNNNNNNNNNNNNNNNNNNNNNNNNNNNNNNNNNNNNNNNNNNNNNNNNNNNNNNNNNNNNNNNNNNNNNNNNNNNNNNNNNNNNNNNNNNNNUGGUCCCGCUAUUGGAUAUUGACCGAGGAGUCUCUCGGGUCAUGUCUACAUAGUUCUCGAACCCGCAGGGUCUGCACACUUAAGGUUCGACGUUGUUUUAUGCGUAUUUGAGUUAUAUGGUUGGUUACCGAAUGUUGUUCGGAGUCCCAGAUGAGAUCACGGACGUCACGAGGGUUUCCGAAAUGGUCCGAAAACGAAGAUUGAUAUAUAGGAUGACCUCAUUUGAUUACCGGAAGGUUUUUGGAGUUACCGGGAAUGUGCCGGGAAUGACGAAUGGGUUCCGGGAGUUCGACCGGGGGGGGCAACCCGACCCCGGGGAAGCCCAUAGGCCUUGAGGGAGGCACACCAGCCCUUAGUGGGCUGGUGGGACAGUCCACAAGUGCCCUAUGCGCCAUAGAGAUAAAAUCGAAGAGAAAGAAAAAAAGGAGGAGGUAGGGAAGGAAGGGGACGUCCCGUCCCACCAAACCAAGUMCCAACUYCGGUUGGGGGGACGGUUCCUCCCCCGUUGGACGUCCGGCCGACCCCGUUCGGGGCCUCCGUUCGACGCCCGAGCAACGGUCCCCUCCCUCCCACCUACUAUAUACUAGUNNNNNNNNNNNNNNNNNNNNNNNNNNNNNNNNNNNNNNNNNNNNNNNNNNNNNNNNNNNNNNNNNNNNNNNNNNNNNNNNNNNNNNNNNNNNNNNNNNNNCGAAACCCUUUGGGAAGUAGACCGACCGUACCACGGCAAACACACUAAUCUCWCUCGAAGUAGCACGGGUUUCGAACGAGAACUCAUCUCUUACAAAGGGAUUUCAUUUUUUUGAACUUAUUUGAACUCCAUACUUUUUGUGUGUUCAAAAUGCACCAUUCAAAGGCACAUCACAAAAUUUCAACAAUUUCUGACUUCAUUUGGUAUAUUUCGUGCAUUUACUUUUUUUGAUCUAGUUGACCCUGAAAUUGAAAAGCACUACAAAUGAACUCUGAAAAUGUUGAAAGUUGGCAUGCUAUCAUCAUUUCACCCACAUAGCAUGUGUUAAAAAGUUGAGAGGGCUACGACAAAAACUGGAUGCAGUUCGUGUACAAAACUGUCAAUCUCUCUCGAAGUAGCAGGAUUUCGAACGAGAACUCAUCUCUUACAAAGGGAUUUCAUUUUUUUGAACUUAUUUGAACUCCAUACUUUUUGUGUGUUCAAAAUGCACCAUUCAAAGGCACAUCACAAAAUUUCAACAAUUUCUGACUUCAUUUGGUAUAUUUCGUGCAUUUACUUAUUUUUUUUGAGCUAGUUGACCCUGAAAUUGAAAAGCACUAAACUUAUUUGAACUGAAGUACUUUUUGUAUAUAUAUAUGGUCGAAAUGCAUGAUACCAUGAAGUUAGAAAGGGCUAAACCAUUCAAAAGUAGCAAAUGAAGUUAGGAAGGGCUAAACCAUUCAAAUUUGGAAACUAUAAUGGCACAAACAGAAACUAGACAUAUAUAAAUUGGUCCAAGAAGUACAUGAUACUAGCCCAAACAGUACAUAAUAAUAGCUACCAUAGAUAUAUAUAUAUNNNNNNNNNNNNNNNNNNNNNNNNNNNNNNNNNNNNNNNNNNNNNNNNNNNNNNNNNNNNNNNNNNNNNNNNNNNNNNNNNNNNNNNNNNNNNNNNNNNNAUGUUCUUUAUGUGUAAAUUGCUUGUCUUGACGCGUAGAACCACGUGAGUAUAUUUGUUUUGCUGUUUAACAACCAAUUAAAGGUGUUAAAUCAGAUCUGGACAGAAUUGAAAAUUACCAUGUGAGGUCGUUUCGGAGGUGCUAUAUGUCAUUUCCGACCUCAUUUAAAUUGUCUAGAUAGGUAGUUUAAUUUCCGCUUCACCUCUUGCAUGUUUCACAACAUUAAUGUUGCCGUGUUAAUAACCGGGAGUGAACUAAAUAAUUCAUAUGUGAAGUUUCGUCAAUAUGCAACUCGUUGCAUAUUGAACUUCACUUAAUGUGUAGUGUUUGAUUGUUGUGAUUGUCAUGCCUCGCAUCAUGGAACCGUUCAUGCAUCAUGUGUGUCUUGCAUCGUGUGGUGUAUAUCGUGUGUUGAUGCUUGUUUCCAUUUCCCUCCGUAUCGAUAGAGUUCCGCAAGGCGUGCCGGUAUUGGUACGACGGUACCCCGUUUCGAACCUUACGGGUUACGGGUUUCGUCGUUCGUACGUUUUACCGAACCGGGGUAACGGUUCCCCGGUUUUNNNNNNNNNNNNNNNNNNNNNNNNNNNNNNNNNNNNNNNNNNNNNNNNNNNNNNNNNNNNNNNNNNNNNNNNNNNNNNNNNNNNNNNNNNNNNNNNNNNNAAGACGCACACACUGUGGACGAAUUGGGUUGGAAAUUUUUGAAAUCCUGCUUAUAUAGGUGGAUCUAUAGUCCCGGUGCGUGGCUCGGCCGGGACUAAAGGGGGBCUUUAGUCCCCGGGGUGUGGCUCCAACCAGGCUAAAAGCCCCUCCUCGGUUGUACGAUAAGUUUAGUAUCACCUUGCCCAACAGGGGGACUAACACUUAUUUAUAAGCCUCGUCGGAGCUUCAUUUGGUAUAUUUCGUGCAUUUACUUAUUUUUUUGAGCUAGUUGACCCUGAAAUUGAAAAGCACUACAAAUGAACUCUGAAAAUGUUGAAAGUUGGCAUGCUAUCAUCAUUUCACCCACAUAGCAUGUGUUAAAAAGUUGAGAGGGCUACGACAAAAACUGGAUGCACUUCGUGUACAAAACUGACAAUCUCUCUCGAAGUAGCAGGGUUUCGAACGAGAACUCAUCUCUUACAAAGGGAUUUCAUUUUUUUGAACUUAUUUGAACUCCAUACUUUUUGUGUGUUCAAAAUGCACCAUUCAAAGGCACAUACAVAAAAGUUUACAAMUWMUKWCUUCGACUUUCGUAAUUUGGUUACGUGUGUAGUUCCGUAGGUUUUUCGGGCGUNNNNNNNNNNNNNNNNNNNNNNNNNNNNNNNNNNNNNNNNNNNNNNNNNNNNNNNNNNNNNNNNNNNNNNNNNNNNNNNNNNNNNNNNNNNNNNNNNNNNUAAAAGGGGAAAAAAGUAAAAAUAUAGGAAGAACGAAUUUAGUUGGAAUUACUAAACAAAUUUWGUUGAAAAUAGCAAUGAAAUAGGAGAACAAUUCUAAAAACACAUGAACAAAUUUGGAAGCGCAAACAAUUUUGUAUAUCACGAACAUUUUUUGAAUCUUGAGAACAAGAUUUUUAAAAACUCCGAACAAAUUUGAAAGCGAGAUCAAAUUUUUAAAGCACGAACAUUUUUUGAAUUUUGAGAACAAAUUUUAAAACCGAGAACAAUUUUGAAAAAACAUGAACAAAUUUGGAAACGGGACAACUGUUUAAAGCAUGCACAUUUUCUAAUCGUGAAAACAAAAUUCUGAAAAGGAGAACAAUUUUGGAAAAAAAACUAAACAAACUUGAAAGUGCGAACAAAUUUUUAAAGCACGAACAAAUUGUUAAUUUUGAGAACAAAUUUUAAAACCAGAACAUUUUUACAAAUUCCAGAAUAUUUUUUCAAAUUCCGGAAUAUUUUUUCAAAUGUCGGAACAUUUUUUUUUUGAAAAAACCGAAACAUUUUGAUAAAAAUUACAGAACAUUUUUUAAAUUUCGGAAUUUUUUAAAAAAAAUCAGAACAUUUUUCAAAUUCCGAAACAUGUUUUCAAUUUCCGGAACAUUUUUUGAAAAUUCAGAACAUUAUUGAAACAGAAACAGGAAAAAAAGAAUAAAGUAAAAAAAACGGUUCAUGAAAUCUUUUAAAAGUUCCCAUAACCGGAAAAAACGGAUAGAAACCUGUAGAAGGUUCCUAAAACCGGGAUCCGGGACUCGCAGCCGCCUCCACCACGUAUUGCAAUCCAACCAGGUCAACGCGCGUGCUCCGCUGUGCUCUAUAAUUUCCUUCCGCCCUUUGGUAGACAAAAAAAAGUGAAGGAUUCUGAGAAGCAAACCGAGUGGGACUCGAAUCAAGUCCGUCCUUUCAUCAUCAGUMGUGUGUCGCGUNNNNNNNNNNNNNNNNNNNNNNNNNNNNNNNNNNNNNNNNNNNNNNNNNNNNNNNNNNNNNNNNNNNNNNNNNNNNNNNNNNNNNNNNNNNNNNNNNNNNACCACCAUAUAGCAGCACUUUGGGUAAAGUACUGGAGAGCGUGUUCCACUUCAUAUUYCCUUGAGAUCAAGUUGCUCCCGAAGUGGUUCUCCAUGUUCUGAAUCCAUAUUUCAGCCUCCAGCUGGGUCAUUGGUCCAGAGACUACAAGUCCAGCUUCAUACUCCAUCUAGUAGGGUUGAGGUUUUGGGGAUGAGACGGGUAAGAGAGGGAGGGAGAUACACAUAAUACAAUUUUUUUUGAGAAUAGGUUUUAGUUGUGGUCGUCGGAAAACACACACCAAUGACGGCUCACAAAUCAUCGUAACUAACGUGGGUACAUAAUUGGGCUUUGGACUUCUAAUGGUCAUAUAAUUAUUCGAACGCUUCAGGGUCUUCAAUAGGUGUAGCUUCAAUUCUUCAAAUGCAUGGUGAAAUCCUCUUUACUUUGAAGUAGAACUCCGUUGAUUCUUCAUGAGGUCAAAGGGGUAAGGGGAUUGUAUAGCUAUUUGAAGUGAGAGAGAACAUUUGAUGAAAUUAGAAGAGAUGAGAAGUGAAAGGUGUAUUCGAAAAUAAGAUUUUUUGAGAGAUCCUAUCAUAAGAAGUUUCCAGUUUCUAGGGUCACGUCCUACAGUCAACAUGUGCUCUAGUGUGUGCGUUUCUGUAGUGACCCGACUCAAAACGAGUCAAGCCUCUGUGUUUCUGUGCCAUCCCUGGAUCAGUAUGCUGGCACACACAGUACAUCAAUGUAUAUAGUCAAAGUGCAAUCAUAUGUAAAUAGACGUAAAACUGAUAUAUACCUUAAAUAUCUCAGCGGNNNNNNNNNNNNNNNNNNNNNNNNNNNNNNNNNNNNNNNNNNNNNNNNNNNNNNNNNNNNNNNNNNNNNNNNNNNNNNNNNNNNNNNNNNNNNNNNNNNNUGUUCAUUUCUCCGACAAAAUGCAUGCAUAUAAAAAUUUGCAUGACCUUGCCUAAAAAUAGGACAUAUCGAGUUUACUCGCAAUUCAUCGAAACGGAAAUAAAUCGACAUUUCAGACAAAACAUAAGCAACUCACGGGUCAUGUCACUCACACAAUAUCCCUUCAUAUCGCAAACACACAUAUUCCCAUUAUUGAAAUGCACAAGUUUUUACUCACCUAUAUAUAUCUCGAGAGAGAUUGUGCAUGGMCUAAAAUAAUGGAGAAGGUAAAAAUGGURGGAGAAGUAAAUUAGAGAGAGGAAAGGAKUAAAGGGUGGGGARUAGGGCGGAAGGGGGGGAGGGGGAGGAGGGGGUGUGGUGGUGGGUAGAAAGUGGGACGGGACAACGUAAGUGGGUAGGGAAGGGAAAGGGAAGGAAAGGGAGGGRGAGUAAGGGGGGAAAGGGGGGGGGGWAGGGGGAGGGAGGGGGUGGUAGGUGGGUAGGGUUUAAAGUGGGAGGGGACAACGAAGUGGGUAGGGAGGAAAGGAGGAAAGGGANNNNNNNNNNNNNNNNNNNNNNNNNNNNNNNNNNNNNNNNNNNNNNNNNNNNNNNNNNNNNNNNNNNNNNNNNNNNNNNNNNNNNNNNNNNNNNNNNNNNUAUAUUUCCACCAUUGUUUACACCUCCAUCAUUUACUGCUUUUAUUUACUUUUCCGUUGCAAUCACUAUCGCUAUUCCCGCUUGUCUUUUGAUCCUUUGCAAACUACUAGGCCGGAGAGAUUGACAACCUCUCUGAACUCGUUGGGAGCAAAGUUAUUUGUUGUGUGUGCAGGUUCACGUCUUCUGCUAGCGCCAGAGCAGAGGACACCUACUUGUUGAUCCUCGGAGUCCUGCUGGUUCGAUAAACCUUCAGUCCCCGUGUAAGGAAAAUCUGCUGCUGACUACUCCCUCCGUCCGGGUUUAUUGGGCCCUUGGGCGCUGGGAGCGUGUCCGCUCUUAUUAGGCCCCGCUCGAUCCAGCUGCCMAAAGGUAGAAAAACGUUUCGUUGUCUUUCUCGAUCUUCCCGGCUGUCCUUUCGUUUCCCAGGCGUAGUAAUGUCCAUCCGUUGCAUGCAGCUAUAGAUACUCGUAUGACGUUCCUUCUCUUAGCACAACACCACUACUACUAGUUNNNNNNNNNNNNNNNNNNNNNNNNNNNNNNNNNNNNNNNNNNNNNNNNNNNNNNNNNNNNNNNNNNNNNNNNNNNNNNNNNNNNNNNNNNNNNNNNNNNNUAUCCAUUUUAUCUUUUCUGACCAACGAUCCGAGUGGAAGUACUCGCGAAACAGACUGUCGGAAGCCGAGUGCUUCUGCGGCAUCUUUUGACGCGACCGGUCAACUUACAGCGGCGGAUUUUCCGGGAUCUUUAAAUUUUGGUUUCCGCGCGUCCAGCGGGGAUGACGCCGGCGCGCUCGAGUAGCGCCUGACGCCUCGAUUCUCGCGCCUUCAACUCCUCCACUGAUAUCGCCGCGGCCGGUCGGGCGGAUAAGGUUUCGGGGCCAUCUGCCAGUGACCCAGUCGGAACCCUAUUUAAAUCUCAGCGGCGAGGCUUCUUCGUUACGCUCGCCGAAUCUUUCGCUCUCGCCUGCUCCGUCUUCCUCGCCGCCUCCAGCGCUCCUACACUCCUUCCUUCUCCUUCCUCCCGAGGGUUCGCCGUCGCCUCCAUGACCAAGGGUCAGACCAGCAAGAUGGAGGUGAGGAAGAAGAAGGCAAGGCGGCGGCGCCUGACUCGAGUGGCGGCAGGNNNNNNNNNNNNNNNNNNNNNNNNNNNNNNNNNNNNNNNNNNNNNNNNNNNNNNNNNNNNNNNNNNNNNNNNNNNNNNNNNNNNNNNNNNNNNNNNNNNNUUGGGUACCGUAAGUUUGGGUAAGGUGAACCCCCUUCGCAGGGGUUUAAAAGUACUUUCCGGUAAAAGUACGUGUCCCGCGGUUAUGUGGCAACGUGGAAACUUUGUUUAACACUGGUUCUAGNUAACGUGAAGUUAACUAAUUAAAAUAUGCCAACCGUGUGCGUAACCGUGACUGUCUAUUUCGUGAGUUCCUUCUCCGAUCGAGGACACGGUGGGGUCAUGUCUGACGUAGGUAGGGGUUCAGGAUCAUUCAUUUGAUCAUCCAUAGUUCACGUCCGCUAUGCGUAGAUCUUCCCCCUCUUAUUUCUGGUACUCGUAAGUUAGCCACCAAAUAUAUGCUUAGUCGCUGCUGCAACCUCACCACUUAACCAUACCUCACCCAUUAAGCUUUGCUAGUCUUGAUACCUUUGGAAAUGAGAUUGUUGAGUCCCCUGUGGCUCACAGAUUACUACAACACCAGUUGCAGGUACAGGUAAAUGUUACUUGACGCGAGCGCGUUGAUUGUUCAUUUGAAGUUUGUUUCUUCUUUCUUCUUUCUACUACGUACGUACUUACGGUAAGURGGUUUCCGGUACCGGACCGGGCCGGACGACCGGUCCGGGUAGGUAAGUACGAACGGUAAGGUACGGGUACGGUUACCGGUUUCCGUUUYCYKUUUGUUUCGKUUUCGGUUUUUCGGUUUCCGGUACCGGUACGGACCCGGUACCGUCGUCCUUUACCUUACCNNNNNNNNNNNNNNNNNNNNNNNNNNNNNNNNNNNNNNNNNNNNNNNNNNNNNNNNNNNNNNNNNNNNNNNNNNNNNNNNNNNNNNNNNNNNNNNNNNNNUAUAUGCCCUCUUGCGUCGGGCCUUGGGUCGUAAGUGUCACCGACUGAACGCCGAUCAUCAUGAUGUCGGGACCCGUAGGGCCCACCCCGCGGAGGGGUGCGUGAGCGGCGGCGAUCUUCAUGAAUCAUGGAACGGCUGCCUCCCCUGUGGCGCUGAUGGGAACCAGGACUGUGAACCGACCGAUGCGUAUUCGCGUGGACGGAACUAUUAUAGAUCUGGUUGUGUGACUGGGAGACCGCCGAAUUCUGCUGCUGCGUCGUGUGCAACAGGGCUCGGAUCUGCUCGAUCCCUCUACCAGCCUCUGAAUCAGUCGGCUGGAGGGAAUCGGCUAUCUUGGCAGCUGCAGCCAAGUUGAGGAGGGGUGUGCGGAACAGCUCCAGUUGCUCCGCCGAGUGUGCCGACUAGCAGAACGGCAAGGUGGACGGCGCGCACCGGAUGCUUCACUGACCUCGCGCUCGCUUCGGCCAGCUUGACGGGGAUCUUCAUGGGAGUUGGCCAUGUGGACUUCUGCUGCGCGCCCGCGACCCGCAUACUCGGAAGGAAACUCAGUCGGAACCGAGUCCGAGUGCGUGGGACGGCGGGCAACCACAACGGACUCAAGAACCACCACUUGUGAAGACGCGUUCUGGCGCGCCGUGGGCGUGUUGCCACCCAACGCUGGAGCCGACGGACGGCGGGAACGCUUGACGCGACGCGUGAAGGUGGUNNNNNNNNNNNNNNNNNNNNNNNNNNNNNNNNNNNNNNNNNNNNNNNNNNNNNNNNNNNNNNNNNNNNNNNNNNNNNNNNNNNNNNNNNNNNNNNNNNNNUCGAUAGUUUUUUCUUUCUAAACCAAAUGUUAAACUACUAAUAAGCACAUUGAUAAUUUUAGAGUUAUGAUAUUUCAUUCAUUCACAAUUUACUCUUAGGAUAUAGGUGAAGCACAAGAGUAAACAUCAAACUACUCUCAAAAGAUAAGUGAAGACAAAUGAGUAGUCAAACAAUUAACUAGCUAUGUGAGGACUAUCUCUCAAUAAGGAUUUUAAAAUAUCAUACUUAUUUCAAAACAAAAAGAAUCAAAAUAAACUCCAAGAAUAGCACAUAUCAUGUGAACAAAUAAAACUUAGGCUCAACAUAGGCUAACGGAUAUUUGUUGACGAAGAGAGGCGGGAUGCGUAGUAUACCCAAGCUUAGAUGCUUGAUACUGCUUGUAAUAUUGACUUGGGGUGCCUUGGACAUCCCCAAGCUUGAGUCUUUUGUAUCUCACUCAAUCCUGUCAUAUCCCGGUUUUACCUUAGUCUCAAAAACUUCAUCCACACAAAACUUGAGAAGACCUCGUGAUAUAAGUUAGUACAUAAGAAUAAAUCAACACUUCAUGUACUACCAAAACAAGUUGCACAAUAUUUUCAGACAUUAGGUACUUUAUAUUAUCAUUACCACAAUUUAUAUCUACCAAUAUAAUCCAUGAAAACUCUAGGAUAAGUAGAUAACAAAACUAUGACAACAAUCUGUCMACNNNNNNNNNNNNNNNNNNNNNNNNNNNNNNNNNNNNNNNNNNNNNNNNNNNNNNNNNNNNNNNNNNNNNNNNNNNNNNNNNNNNNNNNNNNNNNNNNNNNUACAUGCAAAUUUAGUUGGAAUGGCAGUGAAAUACCAUAUAUAGGUAGGUAUGGUGGACUCUCUUGGAAUAAACAUGGCUCAAGGAUUUGGAUGCACAAGUAGUAUAUCUACUUAGUAUGCAGUUUUUCCUAGCAAAAGGUUCUCAACAAGCACCAGAUGCUGGAGGACCAUAACAAUAUAACAUGUAUGCAAAUAUACCCAAACAUAACCAUUACGUUAUCUUCCUUGUCCAACUUCAACAAUUUGAUCAAGGUUGAAAAUAAUAAACAAGUAUUCACAAUCAUAAAAGAAGUCCAAGAUAAUAUAUUUGUAUGUGAAAGUUCUCUUUCUUAUACUACUCAUUCAUGAAUUGCUUGUAUGACCAAUAUUAUUAUUGUUCAAACUUCGUAUUAGUUUUUCUUUACUAAACCUAAWUAGUUAAACUAACUAAUAAGCACAUUGWAUAAUUUAGUAGUUAWGUAUAUUUCUAUUCUUUUACUAAUUUACUCUUMKAACCUAAAUUUUACCUUACGUUAGUAAGUUAAUUAAGGUUAGAAGGUACCAACGAAAGUAACGGUNNNNNNNNNNNNNNNNNNNNNNNNNNNNNNNNNNNNNNNNNNNNNNNNNNNNNNNNNNNNNNNNNNNNNNNNNNNNNNNNNNNNNNNNNNNNNNNNNNNNUAUCACGAGAAAACACCUUUUCUAGCCAUUCACGCUUAGCAAGUAUUCUAGCGGUUCUUUACUUACACUCGACAAUAGAAAUUCCCAUAUAUUUUAAAGACUCAUUAAUAUCAUGCUUGGGUGGAAUAGAUCUAAUUUUCAAAGAAUCAAUCUCAAGAGAAAUUCUAUCAACGUUCCUAGCCAAAUCAUCAAUCUUGAGCAAUUUUUCUUCAAUCAUAGCAUUGAAACCUUUUUGCGAGCUAAUGAAUUCUUUAAUAUUAUUCUCAAGAUUGGAGGGCAUCUUAUUAUAAUUUACAUAAUAAUUGUUGUAGGAUUUACUAGGAAACGGCCUAGGAUUGAAAUUACCUCUAUACGCGUUAUUACCAAAAUUGUAGGCAAGUAGAGAGUACUACAAGUGAAUGAUAAUUGUGAGUAAGUUACUUGAUAGUAAGUUGGUGRUACUMCMKCMGAGACGCAMGAAKCCUKCUCGAUACUWGURAYCUACCGUAGUGGUUGGUCGGUCGGUUCGGGUCGGUCGUUCCUCCUACGGAACGGACACCAACGGGAGGGUAAGUNNNNNNNNNNNNNNNNNNNNNNNNNNNNNNNNNNNNNNNNNNNNNNNNNNNNNNNNNNNNNNNNNNNNNNNNNNNNNNNNNNNNNNNNNNNNNNNNNNNNCCGGUUAAGGGUAACGGGUAGGUAAGGUUUGGGUUUUGGGGUUAACGUAACCUAACGGAAGUUUUUAGUUUUAGUAAGUUUGGUUAAGGGUACGGUUUMGGUUUACGGUAAACWAAAACUUUUUWAACKUUUCGGGUACGGGKAAKUAAGUACCGUCCUACGUAMGUUUUUAUUUUUGGUCGUUACUAUCCUUAAGCACUUUGAGUAACCAAUUCAUCAUAGAGACAACAUCCCCCUUUUUAAUAGUAUUGGCUUUCCUAUGGACUCAAAUGUGACUUCUCACAAAUAUAAAAAUGUAGAGUCUUCUUGCUUGAAGCUUGGACAAUCCUAUUCCUUUUCUUCCAUCAAGGGGUUUCUCCUCACAAUCCUUUAGCCAAGGCAUCUUUGAACUUUUGUGAAAUAUACAUGGAUAGAAUCAUUAUUUCAAUGAUACAUAUGUUGUUAUUAAUUACCAAAACCACCUUAGGGAGCAAUUGUGCUUUCAAUCUCCCCCUUUUGCUAAUCGAUGACAACAUAUAGAUCAAAGCUUGCAUGCCUAGUUAAUAUAGGGUAUUAUAUACCAAAAUGAUCAGAAAAUAUCCUCUACUCGAUUAACAUUUUCCAAAACCAAAUAAAAACUUUUUAAAAAUUAGUUUUUUUCCUAGWAAAAUACCCUAAGGUAUUUAUUUUCUUUUUGUCUAAUUAAUUUCUUGUAUAAACUUUGGACUUCAAAAUAUUUCAGAAAUGCUCACUAUUUGGAGGUCUAUUUCCUCCGCUCUUUCUUGCGUUGCNNNNNNNNNNNNNNNNNNNNNNNNNNNNNNNNNNNNNNNNNNNNNNNNNNNNNNNNNNNNNNNNNNNNNNNNNNNNNNNNNNNNNNNNNNNNNNNNNNNNUAGAAGGAAGGAGAGGUGGGCGCGGGGUGCGCUGGAGGCGGGGUCGACCAGGUGGGGAACGGGUGGGGCCGGGCGUCAGCGAGGGGGUGCGGGAGGGGUUCGGUCAGUUUGACCGAGAGGAAAAAAGGGGAAGGGAUCCCGGGCCAGGGGGUGGGCCGAUUCUAUAAUGCGCCCACGCGCUUUCCUCUUAAAAAAAUCCGUUUCCUGUUUUAGUCUUUUUUCAAAAACAAAAACUAAAACAAAUAAAAGGACAACAAACAAAAUAAGUUAAUAUAGGUAGUUAUAUACAAAMUAGAUACAGAAAAUAAAUACCUCUACUACGUAUUAACUAAUUUUUACCUUAAAACCCAAAAACUAAAAAAACUUUUUAAAAAAAACUUUUAAAGUUUUUUUUUACCUUUUAACGUAAAAAUAACCCUUAACGGAAGUUUAAUUUUUACUUUUUUGUUUCUAAUUAAAUUUUACUUUGUAUUAAAACUUUAGGUCGUUCAAACUAAUUUACUAGAAAUAGUNNNNNNNNNNNNNNNNNNNNNNNNNNNNNNNNNNNNNNNNNNNNNNNNNNNNNNNNNNNNNNNNNNNNNNNNNNNNNNNNNNNNNNNNNNNNNNNNNNNNUAAAAUAUUAGUCGUAUAUCACAAAUAGUUCUAAUAUAUUAAAGUUUAGUUCUAGCAUAGAAUCUACAAAAUGUUAAUUAUGUAUUAAAAUUAGUCUCCGCGUAUAUUACUAAAAAAUACAAUGUAUAUUAAAAUUUAGUUUGGUCGGGACUNUUAAAAAUUAGGUACUUGCNGAAAUGAAAGACGACCAUNACGGGUCUGCAUAGUUGGGCUCUCCGGCAGGCACCAUGGCGAUGGUGGUGUCUAUUCUCUUGAUCGUGUGGGCGACUAGAGACAUAGCGGCGAGUGGCUUAGGCGCGCUCUUUGUCUAUGAUGAUGGCGGUGCCCUGAUCCUUAUCUGCGGUUUGGGAGUCGUCGUGCUACUCCUGAAGGCCUCCUGGUGACACGAGAGAGCUACCGGACGAAAGCCCCGCGCUUUAGCGUCAAUGACGGUGAUGCCUAGUAGGCGCUACUCUCUUCUUGAAGACAUCGUUGCGAUGCUCUUCUCUGUGUCGUGGGUUCCGGUAGUACCUUUGUCCGUCAGGUGGACUCGACAACGACUAACGUUGUAUUCGUUCCUCCCUCUUGGAGGCUAGUUGUCGUGGAGUACUUAAAUAGUUAUUACCGGACGGUUGGGUGUCGGGUGGUCGUCUUCGUUUGGUUACUUUUUGUUUUUACGUUUUCGGUUUNNNNNNNNNNNNNNNNNNNNNNNNNNNNNNNNNNNNNNNNNNNNNNNNNNNNNNNNNNNNNNNNNNNNNNNNNNNNNNNNNNNNNNNNNNNNNNNNNNNNUGAACAUUUUUAUAAUGCACAUUUAACCUUUCAUGAUAGGAAAAAGGAAAAAAAACUGCUUUUCUUUGUGCCUUUCGCGAAAGAAAUCCAUUCCUCUACGGGAAGUAAAUCCCUACCUCUCGUGGUAAGGAAAAUGUGUCUUUUAUAGGCAUAAUCGUGCCUCUUGCGAAAAUGAAUCCGUACCCCUCAUAGUAAGAAAAAAUGAACCUACGUUUUUCUUCUUUUUUGAAAGGCUCAGUAGCAGAAGAAGAAACGUCGUUUUUCACGUUAAUUUGUUUUCAACUUAUUUUUUUAGGUUUAAAACCUAAGAAAUCCAAUAGAAAAACMAAAAAAAACAUAAAAACAUACUAAAACCGUAGAAAACGACUAUAGUUAAUUACUUUUUACCUUAACAAAAAGUACCGCCCGAAGCAUGACUACGUUAGUGGCCCGNUGAGGAUGUAUUUCGAUCAGUCGGGACACGCCCGUACGGUACCCGGCCCCGUAACCCUUAACCCGAACGGACGGGCCCGGGUACGUUNNNNNNNNNNNNNNNNNNNNNNNNNNNNNNNNNNNNNNNNNNNNNNNNNNNNNNNNNNNNNNNNNNNNNNNNNNNNNNNNNNNNNNNNNNNNNNNNNNNNCGGAAGGUAGGGUCGACCAACUACGAAAGUACCUUCCUUAAGGAAAAAGCCCGUCCCCGACGGAACGGGUACAUUCGGUACGUAAGUCGGACGUCGCGGGAGGGCCCGCCCUUACGUUGGUGCCGUCCUCACGCUACUACCGUCGGCCAAUAUCGUACCGGGACCGGGACUAAAAAAAACCCGUAGUACAAAACCCCAGGCCUGAGCCCGACCGUYGGGCCUAAUUUUUAGGCCUAGGCCCGACCCGAGCUCGAAGAGUCCGGCCCCACAUAGACGUAAAAUCAGGUUUUCAUGGACCUAGGUCCGGGCCCGACCCGACCGUCGGGCUUGAUUAUCAGGCGCUAGCCCGGCUCGUUGGUAAGGUCGGGCCGGACUGGGCUGCCCAUGAUCAAAUACAUCCUCAGCGGCCAUAACGUGUCAUGCUUCGGGCGUAUUUUUGAAGGAAAAAUAUUACAURUGUUUCAGGUUUUAGAUGUUUUUUAUUGUUUUUUUUUUGUUUCUAUUGGUAUUUUUCUUAAGGUUUUAAAACCAAAAAAAUUGUUAGAAAAAACUAAAUUAACGUAGAAAAAAACGUCGUUUUCUUACUUCUGUCUACUGACGUACCUUUAACAAAAAAAAAGAAGUAAAAAAAACGGUUGGUUACUUAACUUUUUUUUACUAACUUAAGNNNNNNNNNNNNNNNNNNNNNNNNNNNNNNNNNNNNNNNNNNNNNNNNNNNNNNNNNNNNNNNNNNNNNNNNNNNNNNNNNNNNNNNNNNNNNNNNNNNNUCAUGGGUUCACGCUUACAACCAAUAAUUCCGCUAUUGGUCCAUUUUGAAGUGUAGGCCUUUAAGGCCCUAUAUAUGUAAUACUCGACCGAGGUGGUCAUUUAUUGUAUCAAACGGUAUGUAUGGAUGUAAGACUCUUUUAUUCGGUAUCUGUGUUCGGUGAGCAUUGAUCUCUGGGAUCACUGAGCACGGCGAUCUCAACUCGUAAGUCGGGGUCCCCACAGUCAUAGACACCCAGAUUCCUUCAAACUCGAUUUCCCAUUUCUUUUGUUUGAAAUUCCCUAUUCGUAGCUCAUCGCGUCAAACUGCGGACGCUUCUACAGACGAACGACCGAGCAGCAAUGUUGUGGACCAGCCGAGUUUCAGCUAGCCGGGACAGCUUCCUCGAACCGUUUAUCUUAUUUUUAACGGUUUCUUUGUUUCUUUUUUCGUUUUUUUGUUUCUUGUUUCUUCUUCUUCUUUCUUCCUUUCCUUUUUCGAAUUAGUUGUUUCUUAUUGUUUUUAUUUUUUCUAAGGUUUAUUAUUAYUUAUUUUUUAAACUAAGUUUGUAUUGUUACNNNNNNNNNNNNNNNNNNNNNNNNNNNNNNNNNNNNNNNNNNNNNNNNNNNNNNNNNNNNNNNNNNNNNNNNNNNNNNNNNNNNNNNNNNNNNNNNNNNNUCUUYGGUUUCAGUUAAAAUCGAGCCGGUUUACUUCACUUAAUUUAGCCGAAGAGGUUUKGUUAAAUAGCGGUAGUUUGCUAGAACCCCCACAGCACUCACACCCCUUAGCCAAUGAGAGCACGCCACAUACCCCCCCCCCCCCCCRYGCACUAGUUAGAUUUUCUAUUUUUAGUUUAAUUCAAAAACAGAGGCAGUUUUGUUUUGCUCAUAACUUUUGAUCCACAACUCCAACGAGGUUGAUUAUUUUUCGAGUAGAUAACAAUUUUUCUGUAGUUUUUAAAAACAUAUAAUUUGUCUAUGUUUGAAAUUUUCAAAUUUGAAUUAGAUCAGUAUUUAUUUUAAACCUUGUUUUGCCUUUUCCAGGAGUUUAAAAAUAGCUUUUAAUUGAUUCCUUUUGCUACUGAUCACUAGUGUAUCUUUAUUUAUCUAGUGUAAUAAAAAUUUACUAGUAUUUGUUUGUAGUUAUUUUAGUCUCUAUUGUUUCUUGUUAGAAACUAAUUUCUUGUUUCUACCUUCUUUAGGUAUUAUUGUCUUAUUUCCUUUUACUUAUUAAUUUAGUUUUUAAAUUUAUUUUUNNNNNNNNNNNNNNNNNNNNNNNNNNNNNNNNNNNNNNNNNNNNNNNNNNNNNNNNNNNNNNNNNNNNNNNNNNNNNNNNNNNNNNNNNNNNNNNNNNNNCUAAGAUAUUCAUUAAGUUGGGUACGAAUAGAUUGAUACGGAUUGCACAUGCUGUAGUGUAACCAAGUCAAAUGGCGUUCAUGCCGGACAGAAACAUACUGAGGGUGUGGCCGUCCUUCAUGAAACCUUGCACAAAUUUACUCGAAGAAACUAGAUGGGUUAUCUUCAAGGUGGAUUUUGAGAAAGUGUAUGACAAAGUCAAAUGGCCAUUCUUAUAGCAAGCUCUAUGUAUGAAGGGUUUUGACGACCUAUGCAGAAAGCACGUUGAAUCCUUUGUAGAAAAAGGUAGCAUUGGAAUUAAGGUUAAUAAUGACACUGGACAUUAUUUUCAAAGGCACAAAGGUCGUGUCCCCGUAUCCUAUUUAAUAUAGUUGUGGAUAUGUUGACAAUUAUAAUAGACAGGGCUAAAGAGGAAGACCUGGUAGGAGGACUAGUACCACAUCUAAUGGAUGGUGGAGUGUUCAUACUACAAUACGUUGAUGAUAUUAUUCUUUUCAUGGAACAUAAUAUAGCAAACGCUAGAAAUAUGAAAUUGAUGCUUUGCUUGUUUGAACAGUUGUCCGGAUUAAAAAUUAAUUUCAUAAAAGUGAAUUGUUCUGCUUGGCUCCGGAGCGGUAUGGCAGAUUCUUGGUGGCGGGGUGCUUAUCUAAAUUUCCUUGAUUGGAGGAUCAUCUUCGUAUUUUCUUCCGUCGUGGGGACCACAACACCAGACGGGCGACGAGCCGUCUAGGCUUUUAUUUGGAGGUGUCCUGCUCCUCCCAAGGUCCACAAUUUUAUUUAGCGUUUGAUCACAGAUUGCUUGCCCACGUGUGUUAAUAAAAAACGGCAUGGUUUGGAGGUCUCGGACCAAUGUCCCCUCUGUACAAUGAAGCCGGAGGGCACAUUUGAUGAUUUUUGCACGUGCCCUAGGGUGUUGGCAUUAGGGCAAGCGAUGGCAGAGAACUGGCAAAUUCCUAAUGUAGUANNNNNNNNNNNNNNNNNNNNNNNNNNNNNNNNNNNNNNNNNNNNNNNNNNNNNNNNNNNNNNNNNNNNNNNNNNNNNNNNNNNNNNNNNNNNNNNNNNNNACGCACACACUGGACAAAWGGACAAAAUGCAUCAUUGAUCAUCAAACGGUGGUAUAGAGCAAUAUCAUAAUAGGAUCCAGACUAAAUCCAGAAAGGCAACGUGGUACCUAAUUUAUGCAAAGAGCACCUCAGCCAUCGAGGCCACUUGGUCCGACAAGCCGCCCUCAAUGGCUACACGACUUGGGCCCUACACUAAAGUCGUGUUUGCCUUCCUCAUAUGGCAUCAUCGCCAAGAGGAAUAAAAGGGGUCGCCCUUCGACCAUCAGAUCACUAGAGGGAAUGGGCCUUCGACCACCUUUGUGGGCGCCAUGGCCUCUCCAAGUUCAGUGUUGUUUGAUUGACCAUGUCGUGUGUAUUUGCAUCGUCUUUGCUGCUACUCUCAUGCUUGCUCAACUCGCAAUGCAAAGAGAAUCCAAAGUAUCUCUUCUAGAUCAGGGGACAACUCCAUCAUCAUCGAAAACUCGAAUCCGACGAGGCAAGUGACCCGCAAAGCAAGCAUGUUGGGAUCCCUCGGUGUUAAGCCUCCGUGCCGGCACGAAGGGAAUAGGUGGACCCCACAAAGGCUUGUUUGAGGGCGCAUGUGAUCUUAUUUAUAGGGAGUGUGUUCCCUUCAUCACUCCUCCACCAUGGAGGCAGUGCAAACCAUUGCACGUUGCACGGGAGCUCUGAUGGUCGAUGGUAGUCAUUGGCGCAAGUCCAAACACCACGAAGACAAGGACCCUAAUCCUACUAUUUACGGUAGGAGCCCAAGCUCCUCUCGCAUCCCCACUCCAAGCAGUAACACUACCAAGAAGAAUAGUGGGCCAAACAAGGCACACAGGGAUAGGAUGAGGAAGAGAGGGAAAUAAGAGAAAGAGAAACCACAAUAGAUGGUUUAUAAGAAAGACAAUGCAUUACAAUUGUCCUUGCUGGCUACUUGUCCAUAUAUAUGUACAUUAUGAUUCAAACCAGAUCAUCAGGUGACUGAACCAUUCUAGUUUACUUUGUUCCACUUUAUUCACAUCACAAAGAGAAAAAUGACCUACAAUGUACAUGGAGCUACCAAUCCAAGUACAACUUCUUAUGGAAGUUAAUUAAGUACCCUUAUUGAGAUGUCAUAGAACAUGAUCCCGCCACUAGUUUUAGUUGCAUGUGAAUUUCAAGUUUUACUUCAAUGUUAUUCUANNNNNNNNNNNNNNNNNNNNNNNNNNNNNNNNNNNNNNNNNNNNNNNNNNNNNNNNNNNNNNNNNNNNNNNNNNNNNNNNNNNNNNNNNNNNNNNNNNNNUGGAGCUUCGGCUCCGGCGAGGUGGCGGCAGGGGCGGCGAAGCUUGGGCAGGGGCGGCGAGGAGGGGAAACGGGGCGAGGAGAGGGGCUCGGGGCCGGCUACUUAUAGGGGAGAGGGGAGACUGCGGAGGGAAGGAGAUCGGCGAGGCGGGGGCAAGUCCGGCAAUGGCGGGGUGGCCGGCUGGGCAAGGAAAGUGGAGGGAGGCGCGAGGGAGAGACUACUGCAUGGGCCGAGCCCACCAAAGUGAGGCCUCCCCUCGUCUAUCCCCCCGCCUAGGUGUUGCCUACUAUAUUGCGCUGCCUGUUCGGCCCGUUGGUAUAUUUAGGAUUUUUUCGGGAUUUUAAUUAAAAAUUCCAGAAAAUUAGACGUUAAAUAAAAUCCCCGUAACUUUUAAUCCGUAAGUCGAAACGAGGCGUAUCUUAUAUGGUUUUGGUGUCGAAUUUCGUGUAGAAUACGAUUUAGCAACUUGCAUAUUUAUUUGACGUUGUUUGACGUAUCGUAUGCAUGGGUUUACGUGCUGUCUCAAUAGGAAAGUGCCCGCUAGUUUUAUUUUCUGUAGCGUUGUUACGAAUURSUCGAAUGCCAUGUUAGAAAUGCCUAUGGUUUUAGGGGCUAUUUAUCCAUGUUAUUUUAGAGCGGUCUAAAUUGUUUAUUUUUUACGUGGUAGGGUAUUUGGACCCGGUAGUCCUUUACUUUUCCCGUAUAGUAGGUUGUUUAUCUCUACUAUUAAUGUGGUGGNNNNNNNNNNNNNNNNNNNNNNNNNNNNNNNNNNNNNNNNNNNNNNNNNNNNNNNNNNNNNNNNNNNNNNNNNNNNNNNNNNNNNNNNNNNNNNNNNNNNUAUUUGUUCUAAUAAAGUUGGGAUUUUUCGUACAGUAAAAUAGUUCAGAAUACAGUCCGAAGGGACAUGUGUGAAAGCAAACUUUGCAAAGUGCAUCGCAAGCGUCUUUCUUAAAGCAUCUUCAACAGGCGUUCAACGCUCGGCGCGCUAAAAUCUUGUUUGCAGCGCGUCUAUUGUCAGGUUUGACGCGGCGCUGGCUUCAGCAGUCGUGCUGAAAUGUAGCGCGGGCGCGCAGCUCCAGCAGUGCGCUAAAAUGCACAGCGCGCGCGCAGCCGGCGCCUCACAUUUUUCAUUUUGAACAUAAAUUUCACAGAUGAGCACAAAACACAUGACAUAUAAUUUGAAUCGCAGACAUCAUUUAACCAAGUUCGUGCCCAAAAGUUCAUGCCCACAAGUUCAAAUUCAUGCCCACAACGUCAUUCAACGAAGUUCAAAAUGCAAACAAAGUUCAUGACACAAACGAAAGGCACAACAAUCAAGCCUCGUCUUCAUCCUCAUCUUCCUCCGAUGCAGCCGACUCCGUCGCGCGCGAGGCUGAUGCUCGGAGGAGCUCCGGCAGUGUGUGCGUCCAACCCUCCCAGGGCUAGUGUUUGCGGCGACGUCGACGGGGGCGGAGGGUUCGCGGUUGUAGGAUGGGGUGAGGGGGGAGCGGGCGCGCGGGCGCGCGCGUCCAUCGGGUCAGUUCGCCGGCGCCGGCGCGUGCGGGGCGAAGGUGCCGCGGUGGAGAGAGUGCGGCGCGAGCGCUCGUGUGUGCCGCGCACGAAAGCGGACGCACCAAAUANNNNNNNNNNNNNNNNNNNNNNNNNNNNNNNNNNNNNNNNNNNNNNNNNNNNNNNNNNNNNNNNNNNNNNNNNNNNNNNNNNNNNNNNNNNNNNNNNNNNUAUAAGAACGACGUCCAUCCUUGCUAUCCCAGGCUGCCGGCCUGGAACCCACCUAGAUCGAUGAAGAAGAAGAAGAAGAAGCAACUCCAAAUGAAAAAUCAACGCGCUCGCAUCAAGUAACCUUUACCUGUACCUACAACUGGUGUUGUAGUAAUCUAUGAGCCACAGGGGACUCAGCAAUCUCAUUUCCAAAGGUAUCAAUACUAGCAAAGCUUAAUGGGUGAGGUAUGGGUUAAGUGGUGAGGUUGCAGCAGCGGUUAAGCAUAUWWUUGGUGGCUAACUUACGAGGACAAGAAAUAAGGAGGGGAAGUUCUACUCAUAACGGACGUAGAACUACUGAAUGAUCAAAUGAAUGAUCCUGAACACCUACCUACGUCAGACACUAACCCCACCGUCGUACCUCCAACCGGAGGAAAGGAACCUACGAACGAAACGAGACAGUCACGGUUACGCUACACUAGUGCAUAUAGUUAAUUAAGUUUAAACUACGUAAGUUUACUACUUAACGAAACCGAAGUUAACGGUUAAAACUAAACGUACGUUUACCCGNNNNNNNNNNNNNNNNNNNNNNNNNNNNNNNNNNNNNNNNNNNNNNNNNNNNNNNNNNNNNNNNNNNNNNNNNNNNNNNNNNNNNNNNNNNNNNNNNNNNCGCUUGUUACUGUUGCUACUUGCUAUUGCUGUCACUACCGUUCGCUCGUUACACUACCGUUACCUCGUCUACUUUGUCUAUUACUACGUUGCUUGCAGAUACUAAUCUUUCUAGGUGUGGUUGAAUCUGACAAUUCUAACUGCUAAUACUUGAGAGUAUUCUCCCACCUCCCGUCCGUGUGAAUCAACAAAUUUGGGUCGAAUACUCUACCCUCGAAAACUGCUGCGAACCCACGCGCUGGUGGGCCAUCAACAACAUUCUUCUAGUUUCGUUGCCGGGGAGUGCUAGCAGCAUUCUUCUGGUACCGUUGCAAAGGGGAAGAACAAUUUACAUCAAGCAUUGUUCUGGCACCAUUGCCAGGGAUUGCAAUCACCCCUCCAAUGACUCGUGAGUAGUUCACUUCAGACCUAUGGGUCCGUAGUUAGUAGCUAGAUGGCUUCUUCUCUCUCUUGGAUCUUCAAUAUAAAGUUCUCCAUGAUCUUCAUGGAGAUCUAUCCGAUGUAAUCCUCUUUGGCGGUGUGUUUGUCGAGAUUCGAUGAAUUGUGGAUUUGUGAUCAGAUUAUCUAUGAUAUAUAUUUGAGUCUUUGCUGAUUUCUUAUAUGCAUGAUUUGAUAUCCUUGUAAGUCUCUCCGAGUCUUGGGUUUUGUUUGGCAAACUAGAUCUAUGAUUAUUGCAAUGGGAGAAGUGCUUGAUUUUGGGUUCAUACCGUGUGGUGACCUUUCCCAGUGACAGAAGGGGCAGCAAGGCACGCAKUCGUGUUGUUGCCAUCGAAGGGUAUCAMGAWGGGCUUUUAUCGUAGAUAUGAGAUUGUCCAUCUACAUCAUGUCAUCUUGCUUAAGGUGUUACUCUCUUCUCAUGAACUUAAUACACUAGAUGCAUGCUGGAUAGCGGUCGACGUGUGGAGUAAUAGUAGUAGAUGUAGAAAGUAUCGGUCUACUUGUUUGGACUGAUGCCUAUAAAUAUAAUCAUUGNNNNNNNNNNNNNNNNNNNNNNNNNNNNNNNNNNNNNNNNNNNNNNNNNNNNNNNNNNNNNNNNNNNNNNNNNNNNNNNNNNNNNNNNNNNNNNNNNNNNUCCAAUCAAGCUUUUGGGCCCCUCGGGGGCCCACUUGAUGCAACUCCACCGCCAUAUGGUCCUAUAAAUUCAGAAACCUCCAGAAAGAAACAAAGAUUGGGAGUUCCGCCGCCGCAAGUUCCUGUUUCCGUGAGAUCUCAUCUAGAGACCCUUCCGGGUGCCCUGCCGGAGGGGACUUUGGUGUUGGAGGGCCUCUUCAUCAACAUCAUCGCCCCUCCAAUGACUCGUGAGUAGUUCACUACAGACCUACGGGUCCGUAGUUAGUAGCUAGAUGGCUUCUUCUCUCUCUUGGAUCUUCAAUACAAAGUUCUCCAUGAUCUUCAUGGAGAUCUAUCCGAUGUAAUCCUCUUUGGCGGUGUGUUUGUCGAGAUCUGAUGAAUUGUGGAUUUGUGAUCAGAUUUUCUAUAAUAUAUAUUUGAGUCUUUGCUGAUUUCUAAUUUGCAUGAUUUGAUAUCCUUCUAAGACACUCUGAGUCUUGGGUUUUGUUUGGCCAACAAGAUCUAUGAUUCUUGCAAUGGGAGAAGUGCUUGGUUUUGGGUUCUUACCGUGUGGUGACCUUUCCAGUGACAGUAGGGGCAGCAAGGCACACAGGGGAUAGGNNNNNNNNNNNNNNNNNNNNNNNNNNNNNNNNNNNNNNNNNNNNNNNNNNNNNNNNNNNNNNNNNNNNNNNNNNNNNNNNNNNNNNNNNNNNNNNNNNNNCAAUAGCCCUAAUACCCCCUUCGUAAGUGCCCUUAGUACGAGAAACUUCCGAACCAACGUCUACACUACUAUUUGGUAUAUUUCGUGCAUUUACUAUUUUUUGAGCUAGUUGACCCUGAAAUUGAAAAGCACUACAAAUGAACUCUGAAAAUGUUGAAAGUUGGCAUGCUAUCAUCAUUUCACCCACAUAGCAUGUGUUAAAAAGUUGAGAGGGCUACGACAAAAACUGGAUGCACUUCGUGUACAAAACUGACAAUCUCUCUCGAAGUAGCAGGGUUUCGAACGAGAACUCAUCUCUUACAAAGGGAUUUCAUUUUUUGAACUUAUUUGAACUYCAUACUUUUUGUGUGUUCAAAAUGCACCAUUCAAAGGCACAUCACAAAAUUUCAACAAUUUCUGACUUCAUUUGGUAUAUUUUGUGCAUUUACUUUUAUUUUUUGAGCUUAGUUCGACCCUAGUAAAUUAGAAAGCACUAACAAUAGACUCUAGAAAUGUUAGAAGUUGGCAUGCUAUCAUCUAUUNNNNNNNNNNNNNNNNNNNNNNNNNNNNNNNNNNNNNNNNNNNNNNNNNNNNNNNNNNNNNNNNNNNNNNNNNNNNNNNNNNNNNNNNNNNNNNNNNNNNUAAUGUAACUAGAUAUAGCUGUGGUAGAAAGUUGAGCUCAAGGAUAAAAGUGGAAGGGGUCAAAGAAGCCCAUUUAGUGAGUGCACACAAGGUGUUUGAUCUGUGGUUAGGCUAGCAUAUGGAUUCCAAUGGCUAUGAAACUUAACAGGGUCAAAUAAUAGAUGCAAAUAGGCUUGCACACCAAAUUUGGGAUUUGCUGGAGAAGUUUCCCAAUGUAGACUUGGAAAACCCCUAAAAUGGGUAGAAAUGGAUUUCUGCUUACAAUCAUAUUCAAAUAAAUUCCCACAAAUCCAAUUUUUGGUGUAGGGGCAUUAUUUGAGCAUUAAGGCACGCAACAAAAAGUUUGAGGUCAAUUGGAGUAAACUUUAUAAUGUAAAGUUUACCAAAUCAGAAAUCAACAGAGAGGGUUUGKAGGGUCUUAGGACUAAGUUCUUUUAUUCUUCCUUGAUGCACCACAUUGGUGUGGAUUCCUUAUGGAGUAUUAGAACACGUCCACAAACUUUGAGCACUAAUGGAGACACUUCACAAUGUAGUANNNNNNNNNNNNNNNNNNNNNNNNNNNNNNNNNNNNNNNNNNNNNNNNNNNNNNNNNNNNNNNNNNNNNNNNNNNNNNNNNNNNNNNNNNNNNNNNNNNNUAUUGCAAACUCUCCACAUGCUUAUAGCUCAUAUCGUAGAUGCUAUGAUGAAAUCUCUUGAAGAGAAGCUCGAACUAGAAGUCUCUAUACCUAGAAAACUUCAUGAUGAGUGGGAACCUACUAUCAAAAUCAAGAUCAAUAACUAUGAGUGCAAUGCUUUGUGUGAUUUGGGUGCUAGUGUUUCCGCGAUUCCAAAGUAUUUAUGUGAUAUUCUUGGUUUUCAUGAGAUUGAAGAGUGUUCUCUUAAUUUGCAUCUUGCGGAUUCUACUUUCAAGAAACCCAUGGGAAGGAUCGAUGAUGUUCUUAUUGUUGCAAAUAAGAACUAUGUACCCGUGGAUUUCAUUGUACUUGACAUAGAUUGCAAUCCUUCAUGUCCCAUUAUUCUUGGUAGACCUUUCCUAAGGACUAUUGGUGCUAUCAUCGAUAUGAAGGAAGGGAAUAUUAGAUUUCAAUUUCCUCUAAAGAUGGGCAUGGAGCACUUUCCUAGAAAGAAAAUAAGAUUGCCUUAUGAAUCUAUGAUGAGGGCUACUUAUGGUUUGAGUCACCAAAGAUGAAGUGUGUGCGNNNNNNNNNNNNNNNNNNNNNNNNNNNNNNNNNNNNNNNNNNNNNNNNNNNNNNNNNNNNNNNNNNNNNNNNNNNNNNNNNNNNNNNNNNNNNNNNNNNNUAACAAAAAAUUAUCCUCGGGAGCCCCGAACAGCUGUUUAUAAUAUUCAGAGAUAUGCAACUUUAGGUUCUCAUGGCCGAUAAUUGUAAUUGAUGUAUCAGAUGUAGAUAUAAUAGGGAGAGUUUGGUAGUUUUUCGAUCCAUUAAUGAUACGAGGGGAUGCGCUCUAUGUGCACUGAUCCUUUAAUUGUACAUGGAAAUGUCCUUUACUAUAUAUUCAAGUGUACAAAUUACAAUUAUAAUUUCACAUUUACUACUAGUACAUAUCUACAAAUUUAAUUUAGGUCCAGGGCCGUGUACUUGUCAACUAUUUCUCAACAAUUCGUGCCCAAGUAAGUACAUAAAAAUCAAUAUGGGAAGGCCGGAAGGCUCAAACGUAGGAAAACAAAUCACCGAUUCCACUAUAAUCAGGAAGAGGAUGAAUAUUUUGAGCCUUUCCUCACUGCCAUAUGGAAUAAAAUCUACUACUUCACGACCUGAAUAGCAAAGCACCUCGGCCUAAUCGUAGGCCGCAACGACAGCGUCGGUGGCCAUGCCAAAUCAAAAUUGUGCAGCGCCAAAUUCUAGCGAGUAUCGUCCUCUGGAGGGAUAUAUGAUGGGAAGAGAACACAUGGCCCGUAGUGGAGAGUGGUUGCCCGCCAUCGGGAAUUGGAGAACUCGCAACAGAUGGAUCUUAGCUCGACGACGUGGUGCAGAGAGAGGGGAUCCCGACGGAGAGGAGGAACAGGAGAAGGAAAGAGAGGAGGGCNNNNNNNNNNNNNNNNNNNNNNNNNNNNNNNNNNNNNNNNNNNNNNNNNNNNNNNNNNNNNNNNNNNNNNNNNNNNNNNNNNNNNNNNNNNNNNNNNNNNUGCUUCUACAGACGAACGACCGAGCAGCAAUGUUGUGGACCAGCCGAGUUUCAGCUAGCCGGGACAGCUUCCUCGAACCGUUUAUCUAUUUUAACGGUUUCUUUGUUUCUUUUUCGUUUUUUGUUUCUGUUUCUUCUUCUUCUUUCUUCCUUCCUUUUUCGAAUUAGUGUUUCUAUUGUUUUAUUUUUUCAAGGUUAUUAUAUUAUUUUUAAACAAGUUGAUGUUCAAAAAUUGUUUUAAACUUCAAAACAAAUGCUUUUACAAACAAUGUGCGUAAAUUUUCAAAUAAUUGUUGUUUUCGAAAACUAUUCACAACUUCAAAAAAAUUGGGAAUUUCAAAAAAUGGUCUUGUUUUCUAAAAAUAUUCUUGUUUUGUUUCAUUUUCUCCUAUUUCCUUUUUCUUUUCUUAUUUCUUUUGUAUUUAUUAUUUCCUAAAGUUUUCUUCUUGUAAUUUAGAAAAAAUUGUUACUCGUAGUUCUUAAAUUUUGUCCUACUAAUUUUUGUUAGUAAAUUGUUCUUGUACUUACNNNNNNNNNNNNNNNNNNNNNNNNNNNNNNNNNNNNNNNNNNNNNNNNNNNNNNNNNNNNNNNNNNNNNNNNNNNNNNNNNNNNNNNNNNNNNNNNNNNNUGUGUAGAUUGGGUUCAUUUUCCCAUACUCUGCUCCGGAUCCGAUGCAAAAUUUUGGCAGCACCUCCAUAUUGUUCUCCUCAUACAUGUCUCAACAACAAGCCGAGAGAAUGUGUACCCGAAGAACAACGAUGUUGCUGAUAAAAUUUUGCCUUAGACCGAAGUAGAGCACGGAAAAAGAAACCCAAUUUACACGUACUCGGGUUGUCCAUGGAUGACAUGGACAAUUCAAAAUGAUGACAAUUAUAAAUAUGAAAAGACAUGCAUAUUUAUAGAUGCCACCCUUUCAAACGGGAGACAUCUAGGUUAUGCGACUUGAUAUGAGAAUAAAAUCUAGUGGCAUCGGCACGACAACGAGAACAAGGCACACAGGGGAUAGGGGAAGAUAUGGCAGUUGAGGUCACCCCUAGAUGGCCAUAGAGAAGGUAGUGAAAUGAUGAUGGAAAUGACAACGGGACCGACGGAGAUCCUGCACAUGAAAAACAUUUGCACAACCAACAUAAGCACCACAAGAAACAAAUACCUACAAGRUUGGUUCAGUAACGUAACUUUAACUCGGUAACUUANNNNNNNNNNNNNNNNNNNNNNNNNNNNNNNNNNNNNNNNNNNNNNNNNNNNNNNNNNNNNNNNNNNNNNNNNNNNNNNNNNNNNNNNNNNNNNNNNNNNCACCAACCCUCGACCUCGCAAUUAGUAGAGCUCUGCACCUUGUCUCCUUCCUCCAGACCACACCUAGCCGAGCCAGCAUGUCCCAGUAUGUCUCAACCCUUUCUUUUGACCAUUCAAACCGCUCCCCACCCAUCAGCUAGCCUCCAAGCUCCUCCUGGGGUGUGUGGCAGCCCGAGACCGACGUUCCAGAAGAUCCCCCUUUAUUUCCAUUUCAGUCGUGUGAUUAGUUUUAUUCCUUGCAUCGUCAUUUAUUUURCAUCAUCGCAUCAUGCAUGGCAUCAUGUCAACUGUGUUUUGCGGUGUUGCUUGUUGCUCCGUGUUGUUGGGUGUUAGUGCUUUGUGAGUGUGACGUCGUUUGUUGGCGAUGAGAAUGCGUGCGUGAGAGCCACCGGCUAAACCCUUUUGCACCGCGGACCUAAACCUUCUCUCCCCUCCUCUCUUCUCUUUAUUUGUUUUGGGUUGUGUAAAGUUUCCGUUUAACCCUUUAAAAUCGUCUUCUUUAAACUCUUUAUUAAUGUGGGGCACCCUGGUUCUUCAAUUCUCCUUUGUCUAUUUCAAAUAGAAUCUCUANNNNNNNNNNNNNNNNNNNNNNNNNNNNNNNNNNNNNNNNNNNNNNNNNNNNNNNNNNNNNNNNNNNNNNNNNNNNNNNNNNNNNNNNNNNNNNNNNNNNUGAUACUACAAUAUGUAACCAUAAUUUCCAAGUACCUACUCAGCAUGCAAUUGGGCAUAGKAUGGUAGAACUACGAUGCAUAAAACAUAGGUGAUACAUGAUCAAAUGACUUGCCUGGUGAUGUUGGCGAAGAAGAAUUUCUUGAGAAAUAUCUUGAUAGACUACUCGUCACUCUUCGAUGAAAUCUAUAUAACAAACAUAUCAUUCACAUAAGCACUCAUACUAGCAAUCAUUCUAGCAAUCAAAACAAAAGAGGGAGCGAAUAGGAAUCCGAAGGAAACUUCAAAUAAGACUAGGGAGUCCUCUACUACAUCAAACACUAAAUAGUUUUGUCCAACGGAAAAUAAUAACAGGGAACUAAUAUAUAAAUUUAACUAAGAUAAAAUAAACUAUUUUUCACAAAACUUUUUGAAAGUAUUUCCAAACGGGAUUUGAAACAGUAGAGAAACCAAUUGCAAGUUAUUAGGGAACUAGAAUUGAUUUCAUGAUAACAUAAUAAAAAUAAAAAUACAAAACUUGUUGACAAACCUACUAGUUAACUAACAGAACAAAACAUWAUUUUCUGAAAUAUAAAAGAAAAUAAUUUAAAACAAUUAAUAGAAAAGGAAAUAGUACAUAAUACCUAAAAGAGGUGAAACAAGAAANNNNNNNNNNNNNNNNNNNNNNNNNNNNNNNNNNNNNNNNNNNNNNNNNNNNNNNNNNNNNNNNNNNNNNNNNNNNNNNNNNNNNNNNNNNNNNNNNNNNUAGCAAUCAUUCUAGCAAUCAAAACAAAAGAGGAGCGAAUAGGAAUCCGAAUGAAACUUCAAAUAAGACUAGGGAGUCCUCUACUACAUCAAACACUAAAUAGUUUUGUCCAACGGAAAAUAAUAACAGGGAACUAAUAUAUAAAUUUAACUAAGAUAAAAUAAACUAUUUUCACAAAACUUUUUGAAAGUAUUUCCAAACGGGAUUUGAAACAGUAGAGAAACCAAUUGCAAGUUAUUAGGGAACUAGAAUUGAUUUCAUGAUAACAUAUAAAAAUAAAAAUCAAAACUUGUUGCAAACCUACUGUUAACUAACAGAAACAAAACAUAAUCUUUUUGAAAUAUAAAAGAAAAUAAUUUAAAACAAUUAUAGAAAAGGAAAUAGCCAUAAUCCUAAAAGAGGUGAAACAGAAAUUGUUUCACAAGAAACAAUGAGCUAAAAUACUCAAACAAAUCUGAAAUUUUAAUCACUGAUAAAUAAGAUCACUAGUGAUCAGUAGCAAAAGGAAUUAAAUAURWRWGCUAUUUUUAAACUNNNNNNNNNNNNNNNNNNNNNNNNNNNNNNNNNNNNNNNNNNNNNNNNNNNNNNNNNNNNNNNNNNNNNNNNNNNNNNNNNNNNNNNNNNNNNNNNNNNNCGAAAGGUAGGAACAAAACACCAGGCUAGAAGGCCGAGCCUUCCACCUUUACCAAGUAUAUAGGUGCAUUAAAUUAAAUAGCAUUUAAUAGGGUGAUAUGACAAGGAACCCAUGUUAUCACAUGGAAGCAUCUGCACCUGCAACUAGCAGCGCUAUCAACAGGGUUAAGCAAGCAGUAACAUAGCCAAUCAGUGGUUUGCUAGGUUGAACAGGUUGAAGGUUUUCAUGGCAUUGUUGAGAGGCUAAUAUUUAACAUGUGGUAAACAACGAGACAUAAUCGAUAGAAGCGAUAAAACUAGCAUGGCAAUGAUAGUAAUGGUAUCUGGGGUAAUGAUCAUCUUGCCUGAGAUCCCGCUUGGAACAAGAACGGCUCCGUGAAGCAGACGAACCUACGUAGUCGAACGGGUCCUCACAAUCCGGCACGCUUGCGGAACUCUAUCGAUACGGAGGGAAAUGGAAACAAGCAUCAACACACGAUAUACACCACACGAUGCAAGCACACAGGGGAUGCAUGAACGGUUCCAUGAUGCGAGGCAUGACAAUCACAACAUWCAAACACUACACAUUAAGUAGAAGUUACAAUAUGGACAACGGUAGUUCGACUAUAUUACGGAACGUAAACCUUACACGUAAUUAGUAUUAAAGUUUUACUUUACGUACCGUUACCUUACCCGGGUUUAAUAACCGACCGGUACAACGUUAAUUUAACGUUGUUAGUAANNNNNNNNNNNNNNNNNNNNNNNNNNNNNNNNNNNNNNNNNNNNNNNNNNNNNNNNNNNNNNNNNNNNNNNNNNNNNNNNNNNNNNNNNNNNNNNNNNNNACUGCUUGUUAAAACAUAGAGCUAGUAUGUGCAAAAACUUUUCCAGUUUUAUUUAGAAACUCUCUUUCAUACGGCGUAGAACAUUUCUGGAUGUAUAACUUGUCUAUGAAGCAGCAUGCAAACAUCACCUCUUUGUUACCCAGAUUUUAUAUUGAAAUGAUUGGUUAUAACUUUACAGCAUGAUGAGUAUUUAUUUUUACAGAAUCAUAGAUAUGCACACAAAAAAACAGACAGGACAAACUAAUCACCAUCAUGCACGGUACAUGUUAUUGAAGUUGAAAAUACAUGUUGAUAUAACUCGGGAAGAAGUCGUUUAUUUUGGCACAACCUGACUCGACAUAUAAUAAGCCUAAAGAAACACAAACAACUAGUGCUAAUUUAAAAAAUCAUCCUUGUGUAGCCUUGUGCAGGACUGAUGCCGGUGAUUUGUAGUACGUUCUUACUCUGUACCUUCCCAUCCAAGAACCAAUUCAUUGGUGUAAUUGGACACCAUGAAUGGAACAGUCAGAAAGGAGAAAGGGUGAGAAGAUUGAAAAUUCAAAUCCAAAGGCUCACCCGCACACGAGGCGAGCAAGGAGGAGCGACGGUCGCUGGCUGCUGGUUCGCUGCUUGGUAAACAGGUGUUCUUCUCCCAGCUUGGAACGGAAGCAAGCUCGGUCGCCUCGCCGACUGGAGCUGUGUCAGUACCUGAAAACAACUACUACAGUAUAAUACUUGUGUGAAACGAACUACUUCAACAUAAAGCACUACUUCAGAAGCACCUAGAUAUGGCCCUCCGAGGACGAACGUCUCUCAAAACAGGCUUUCGUUACGUUUUAUAAAUAAAUCGACAACAUAAUCUAAUACACAGCCGAACGAUACAAGGUGGUGAGGUUAUCAUCUUACAAAGCUGAUCCCAAGAUACGCAGAUCACAUACACCGCAAGCGGCUACGCUACCGAAACGAAAUAAAACAAAAGUCCAAGAGCACCACCGCACCACGUCGUAAUAUAUUUAAGCUCCACGACAAUGCCCUCAAGAGGGAGAACGAUACAAACGUUGUCGUUGUCGAGUCCACUGCGGACAAAGGUCUUACCCGGAACCCAGACACAGAGAAGAGCAUCGCAACGAUGUCUUCAAGAAGAGAGUAGCGCCUAUAGGCAUCACCGUCAUUGACGCUAAAGCGCGGGGCUUUCGUCCGGUAGCUCUCUCGUGUCACCAGGAGGCCUUCAGGAGUAGCACGACGACUCCCAAACCGCAGAUAAGGAUCAGGGCACCGCCAUCAUCAUAGACAAAGAGCGCGCCUAAGCCACUCGCCGCUAUGUCUCUAGUCGCCCACACGAUCAAGAGAAAUAGACACCACCAUCGCCAUGGUGCCUGCCGGAGAGCCAACUAUGCAGACCGUCAUGGUGUCUUCAUUUCUGCAAGACCAAUUUUUAAUAUCCGCCAAACAAAUUUUAAAUAUACAUUGAUUUUUUUGUAAUAUACGCGGAGCAUUUUUUAAAUACAUAUUAAACAUUUUUGUGAUCUAUGCUGAACAAACUUUAAAUAUAUUGAACAUUUUGUGAUAUACGCUAAACAUUUUUAUAGUUGCACAUUGAAUGUAUUUAGAAAAUUGUUGUAAACUUUAUUAAUAUAGGGUGAACAUUUCCUCAAAUAUAUAUAAAUAAGUAAUGAUAUUUGUGUAAUACACAUGAGAGAAAAAAAGAAAAAGAGAAGAAAAAAGAAUAGGAAAAGAAUAGAGAAAAAAUAGAAACAGAAAAGGAGAAGAAGAAAAUCAGCCGACCUUUCGUGCAGUGCAAAUUUUGUGCUUUCUUGAGGAAUUAAACUCUAACCCCUAGAUUCAAGGUAUGUGUUCGUUACCAAUUGAGCUGACCAAUGUUACUCAAUAAUAGCUCACAAGAAAGAAAAAAAAUUCGACCAUGGAACAUUUUAUGAUAUAUUCUGAACACUUUUUAAAGACAUUAAAUAUUUUUGUGAUAUAUGUUAAACAAUUUUUAAAUAAGCAUUGAUCAUUUUUUGAUAUACUCUGAACAUUUUUAUAAUGCACAUUUAACCUUUCAUGAUAGGAAAAAGGAAAAAAAAACUGCUUUUCUUUGUGCCUUUCGCGAAAGAAAAUCCAUUCCUCUACGGGAAGUAAAUCCCUACCUCUCGUGGUAAGGAAAAAUGUGUCUUUUUAUAGGCAUAAUCGUGCCUCUUGCGAAAAUGAAUCCGUACCCCUCAUAGUAGAAAAAAAUGAACCACGUUUUUUCUCUUUUUUUGAAAGGCUCAGUAGCAGAAGAAGAAAACGCGUUUUUUCACGUAAUUUGUUUUUCAACAUUUUUUUGGUUUAAAACCUAAGAAAAUCCAAUGAAAACAAAAAAAAAACAUAAAAAACAUCUAAAACCUGAAAACACAUGUAAUAUUUUUCCUUCAAAAAAUACGCCCGAAGCAUGACACGUUAUGGCCGCUGAGGAUGUAUUUGAUCAUGGGCAGCCCAGUCCGGCCCGACCUUACCAACGAGCCGGGCUAGCGCCUGAUAAUCAAGCCCGACGGUCGGGUCGGGCCCGGACCUAGGUCCAUGAAAACCUGAUUUUACGUCUAUGUGGGGCCGGACUCUUCGAGCUCGGGUCGGGCCUAGGCCUAAAAAUUAGGCCCGACGGUCGGGCUCAGGCCUGGGUUUUGUACUACGGUUUUUUUUAGCCCGGUCCGAGAUAUGGCCAGGUAUAGCUGAGGACGCACCAAGUAGGGCGCCCUCGCAGUCCAUUCGACAUGACCCUUGCGGGAGCUUUUCAAGGAGUACUUGAUUGGCACCUCUCCGAAAACAGCUAAGGAAGCAGCAGGCAAAUUCUGUACGUGCGCCGGCCCAGGCGGAGGGCGCCAUGGUGGUCCGCCGCCUCGUCGCUCGCAGGUGUAUCUUUGCACGGCGCCAUGACAUCUCUUAUAAGAGGAUAAAAGAAAAAGGAGCGAGACGUACACAGUCACUGACAUGCGAUCCUACAUACUUCCUCUGUAAAGAAAUACGGAGUACAAGACAUUUUAAAUCACUACAGAGAGAGUACUAUGGAAUUUGCCUACUGCUUCGUCUACCAGGCGCUCUCCAGACCCCAACAAGUAGCAUAUGGAUACAGUAAAGUCGUCUCAUUACAAGCACAGGAUUGAGCAACCAAAUGGAACAAGUUCAUAUGUAUUCACCAUGUUCAACCACCACAGGGACAACAGUCAACAGCUAAAAUACACGGAGCACCGAUUUUCCAGCCACUACAGUACCGAGACACGACUUAAUUAGGACCCGUCCUGACUUAUCUAGUUUUUAUUCCCAACACAGUUCUACAACCAUUGUAACUUACAGGCUCCCCCCACCUACUUGUAUACCACCCGAGUACAACAAACCCUGGACCCAAAAAGCAGCUACACAUAAUUAUACAAGAAAGAAAAACUCGAAUACCCAAAUUAUCUGCAGCAAUAUGAAGAGAGCCCCCAGCGUUGUACAGAUCAGCUUGGGGGAAAUCCGGCGAGCGAGCGAUCCUUGGUUAUUCCCUGGGCCUAGCAAGCCACAGAGAGCUCAGCGCGCGCAAACGCGAGAAGUAGUCAUGUAUAGCUAGAAGGGCACGGGAGGCCUGACGGAUCGUCAAGAUUCGCUGCAUUUGAUGCAAGGUCUGCUGUCGCAGGUUGUCAGCCUGGUAGAUACAAACGUAAGAAAAUUAUCAAAUAAACCAAACUGAUGAAAGUGAGCAGCUAAUUUCAUGCCAGCAAAUAUGCCGGAAUAUCACAGGUUCAAGGCUGGAAGGUGCAAGGAAAGAGGCUUGCCUGGCGAAGAAAGUUCUCGAGUGUUCCAAGCUUGCCCAUGGCCAUGGCCAUCUGACCCAUGUAGUUUGCAACAUUCCCUGAAGAACCAGAGGAGGAACCCAGAGAUCCAGCCAAAGUCUCUGCCAGUGAUUGCUGCAAUGCUUCCAUCCCUUGUGACAGUGCAUCCUCUGCCUGCUGGGAAGAUUGCUGGAGGUUGGUCAAUCCCAACAUCUGCUGCUCGGUUAGCGGCUCCAGAUGAUUCACCAGCAGCUGAAAUUUCAUGUCGCAUCGACGAAUCAGCUUACAGGACCAGUAAGGGAAAUUGAACUAACAACAAACACUGAGAUUUAAUACUUCACUCACCUUUAAGAGCUCGGAUGGACGGAAACCCCCAAGCCAUAGGAAGCACCUUUCAGCAGGCGUUUUCCACAUGCCUGACAGUAUAUGGAACACGUCAGCCUUGGCAGCUACACCUUUGACCUUAAAUAUCUCAUCAUAAUGUGACAUUAUCCCAUCUACGAUAAGGCGCAGGUCACUGUCACUUGCAUGAGCAUUAACUGCAGUCCUCAACUCAUUGAUUUGCUUGUUUUGGUCCUCAAGCCAUCUAGUGUAUUCUAGGUCGAAAGUCAUUGCUCCUGCAAAGAUAAGUUUACUGUUGGGAUGAACCUCUAACACAGAUUGAUAACACAAUGCAAUUGAACAUUAUGUAACAAAAGGAUGCUGCUGCAAAAAAUUAUGGCAUACAAAGAAAUUUGGAGAAGAAAAUACCGUUUCCACUCAUGGCAUGGGUUUGGUCUCCGGAGCUAGAAAUGAAGAUUCCCUGCAAAUAAAUAUCCAAAACAAGCAUUAAUAACAGCAAAAGCAUACUCUACUGAACAAGAUAUCCCGACCAACAUUCAGCUAAUUAAGAUUUACCUGCUGGCGAGCUUUCUGGAGCUCCUGCUCUAGUUGUGCAAGCUUCAGCUUGCUGCUUUCUAGCUGUUGCACAUAUGACUUCAAACAAAAAGAAAAACAUUAUCAGUGAUUCCGAACUAAAUGAACAAUCCAGCAUUCACUAUUCAGUGGAAACGAUAAAUACUAGUAUCACACAAAAGGCUCGUGGAUGGAGAAUUCAGUUAGUUGAUACUCCCUCUGUCCCAAAAUAAGUGACUCAAAAGUUAGUACAAAACUGAGUCAUUUUUAAGUCACUUAUUUUGGGACGGAGGGGGUAUAAUUCAACUGCCUGUAUGCACAGAUAACUAAGAAUUUUAUUCAAGUCUUGUAUACUGAAACACAUGGAGAAAAUUAUGACCGAACAAAUAAAACGGAGCCAUUAUACAUAUAAAACUACAGUAAAGAAACAUGCUGUUGAGUUCAUCAACACAACUACAAAUAGCUCUGUUUCAGCACAACCAAAAAAGGCUCCCGUCCCGCUUUAUAUAUAAAGCAACAACCAUACAAGACCAACAUGUACAACUCGAAACCACACACAACGCACACACCCAAUGCUGGAUACAACAUGCAAGCGGACAGACACACCACCCCAACCAACGCCAAGCCAACGACAAAUGUGCAAUAAGAGCCCUGCUUGAGGUUGUCGGAGAUCUCCUCCAUCACCGAGGUGUCAUGAAGAGACGAAGCUGUACCCGACGAACAGCGGCCUCCAAGACGACGCAGCGCCUUCCGGAAGGGAACGGCACUGGAAUACCGCCACGGCCCGAUCCAAAGGACCAUUGUUUUCACUCGGAGCAAUCCGAAGGAGGAGAGUAGCCGCGACAGCGCCUUUAGGAAGGAGACGAUGCCCAUGGACACCACGGUCGACGGCCGAACCAAAGCCAGACAGGGAUUACCCCCUCGCACUCACAGUCCACCUCUGGAACAACCACUGAUCGCCGAAACACCAGCCGCCAUGCUGCUCAAACGACCAUGGCCGCCAGCUCGCACCGAAGACGUGCGCCCUGCCCAUGAGCGCCGCGACUCCCGCCACCAAGGCUGCCGGCCCGCCGCCCCGGAAAUCAGACCACCCCUCGACCGCCACCACGACAUUAGGACACCGACCACCGGUGAAGGGGAAAAGGCCCCUCCUUCGACCCAACAACGAACCCUCUGGCCGAAAGGUGGCCAAGUCGGUCAACACCAGGCAGGGAGGGUCCCCAGCAGCCGCCGGCCUUGCCGCAGCCACCUCGCCGCUCCACCGAGAACAAGGGCCACCGACACGACCCAUCUGGCUUCUCCAGAUCUCGGCAUCGGCAUGGCCAAAAGGCCCCUUGCCACCAUCGAUCUGCCGUCAACGCCACACACCGGGCCACCAACAACAGCCAACAAGGUCCAACCGAAUGAGCAGAGGAGGGAUACGUCGCCACCACUGUCGCGCCGCCACUCCACCAGUAGAUAGCCACGACAAGGGCGGACGCCCGCAACCCGCAUCGCCCACGGCCCUCGCCACUUGAGGUCGGAUCUGGACGCGUCACCGCAUCCCACUGACGCCGCCAUCCCAUGCCCCAAGGAGGGACCACUCUGUGUCGCCCAUCACACCAUCGCCCCGGCACCGGCAUCGGCACCAACACACACCGUCACGCCACCGUGCUGCCACGCCCAACGCGAAGCGCCGCAUCCAGGCUUUGAUGACCCGACACUCGCCGAAUCCUCCGUGUGAGGAGACAAGAACUCCCCGCCGCCACCGUCGCCGUCGGGGCUUCGCCCGGCCACGCGCUCUGGCGGCAGCAAGGGAGGAGGGGGAGCCCCCGCGGCUGCGCUAGGGUUUGCCGAGGGGAGUUUCCUUUCCUUUUCCUGUUUCAACACGACUAAAAACAACUCUACCCAGAAUCUCUAAACUCCUUAAUUCUUUAAGCAUAUUCUCAAAUUACAGAUCUAACGUGAAUCAAGUUAAAUUACUAAACUAGGUUAAGUAGAAAAAGGAAAUUCUGAACAUAAAGAGAGCAAUGAAAAAUAGGGGCAAGAUUCAUAGUGAUACCUUCUUCCUUAGUCGACUUUUCCUUGCAGCCUCACGAUUUUGAGCAAGACGACGCAAUGUCUAUUGUAUGGCAAAUAUGACAAGAAAUUAAUAAUAUAAGAAAGCAUGAAACAUAACAAUAUACAAGAAAAAAGGAAAGAAAAGAAUACCUUUUGGUCCAAGGGUUUGUCGGACCUGUCAGACCUAUCCGAAGAAUUAGAAGCCAUGAUUGCCCCACCACUUUGUCCUUGUUCUAACUGCAAACAGUAGAUAACAUGAGCAUGUUUAGAGUAUCAAUGAGUAAGUUAAACCAAACUUAUUAAUUCCCUUUUUUUAACCAAAACAAAAUAGUAUGCACAAGCUGGCAUUCCAUACCGGACAAGAUUCCAGCUGCUCCGGCUGAAACAGAAUGUUCAGGUUAAACAUUUCCAUUCCAGUUGUACUGGUACCAGCUGACAGAACCAACACUGCAACCCUCUGCGCUACUCUAGUUUUCUUAUAAAGGCGUCAGCCGCACCGCAUUUUGGUUUAGCUACUCUCUAGUUCCCUUAUAAAGGCGUCAGCCGCACCGCAUCUUGGUUUUCUCGGCGAGGUGGUAUAAUCCUGCAUUGUGCAACAGCCAGGAGGAGGCAGGGAAUGGGCCCAUACUUCAUUGCAGAGGUUUGACCGGUGGGCUUCUUGCUUCUUACAGUGGGUCCGCAUGCACUAGGUUGACACAAAGGCCAGGCUACCCACUAGUCCAUUUGUCACCUUAUUUUUUUUUCCACUUCCUUUUAUAUUAUGCGCAUCAUGUAUAUGUAUAUAAAUGGGAUGCAUAUGAGUUAUGAAAAGCCAGAACGGAACAACGGAAUGCUCAGGUACCGAAACAUUCCAUUCCAAGUACCGGAACAGAAUUGACAAGUAUAAAACAGACUAAGAACUGCAAGUUUUAGUUGACAACUUUGGCAUAUUUGGAGUAUGAGUUAGCAGCUGAUCCACUCUGAAGUACCGAUAAGCACAGAUUUGCCAUGUCGGCGUCCUGCAUGCGGCAGAUAACCUGAUAAGUGUAUCCUGGAGGUGUCGUGAUUUUCAAUUUAAAAAGAGUGAAAAACAAAUUCGAUAUGGGUGGCAACAGGCUGUGGACACGGCUCAAUACAGCGAGGAUGUCAGCCCCAAGCCCAAUAGAAGCCCACGACCCACGACUAACCCUAACAUUUUCUCUAUCGCUCUCUGUUCGGCCGCACAAGCUUUGGAUCGAUGGCUACUGCAGGAGUCUGCCGCUGCCGCCGCCGCCUGAAAUCGCCUCACCGACCUGUCGAUUCGCCUCGCCGCCGACUUGAGCGUGUUACUUGAUUAUACCACCGCCGCCUGGAAUCGCCUCGCCAACCUAUCGAUUCGCCUCGCCGCCGCCUUGAGCGAGGUAAUUGAUUCCGUCACAGCCGCCGUCUGGAGUGGCUGACUGGCUGCUUGCUGGCGCGUCUGUGUGUUGCGAGUGCUGGCGUAUGCGUAUAUGCUUGGUGCUUGGCUGCUUGCUAAGUUGCUAUUGUUUGCUGUUUUGCUGCUACUGCUAGGGAGAUGUGAUCUGCGGGGAGUGGCAUGGCAGCAAGCCAACUUCUUUACUGGUUUGGACUUUGCACACUUGUCUGUCUCAAAUUGACAAAGUCUAAUAAUAUUAUAUGAUGUACUCCCUGCGUAAAGAAAUAUAAGAGUGUUUAGAUCACUCACUACUUUAGUGAUCUAAACACUCUUAUAUUUCUUUACGGAGGGAGUAUUUUGCAUACACCAUGUGGAUUGAAGACAUUGAUGAUCAUUCAGGACUUGGAAAGAGGCAUGGAGGCAAUCAACGGGGGGCAGUAUUUUGAUCUCAUCUCCUGCAUUCUAUUAUGUUUUGCCUUUAUUACAUGUGAUUUAAUUAAUUACUUAUAUAUAUACUCGCCGUAUUGCUGUUUCUAGAAAUUGCCAUGUCCGGUGUUCCCAUGCUCGUAUUUCCAUAUGGGUGUCGACAUAACAGUGCUUCAUAGCUGAUCCAUAUGAGCAAGUGAACAACAUGUGAAUCAUAGGGUAAUAUAGUUAUUUUUAACUAACAAUUCAUUACUGCUGUUAUAGAAUACGAAGAUGUCUUCGACGGUAUAUUUUUUCAGUUCUUGUGGCUCCAGAAUCCAAGUCCUACUAAUUACCAGAUCAGGCCACAGUAGUGUUAUAUAACUUACGAUUAUCAACUCUGCUGUUAAGCUAUAACAAUUAAUUCCAAUCACAGCGGGACUCACAGUUCAAAUGCUAAAACGGUGUGUGAGCAUAACAAUUAUCUAUUUUAUCUCUAGAAAAUGGUGCAGGUAAAGACAUAGGUGCUUACAUAGUUGAGUUCAGCUUAAAGCCUCUUUCGAUAAAGAAGAGGGGGGGACAGUUAAAACCCAAAAUUCAGAAGCAUGAUUACCCUAUAGAUCUUGCCGUCGUUGUCUACAACAGUUGAGUUGUCAGUCCUUGAGCUAGCAUCUGCCAUCACUCAGCGGACCACAAUCACAAUGAGACAGCAAAUCACUCUGCUCCCCCCUUCCUAACAGCAAAGUGGUGAGCCCAGCCUGUGCUGCGGGAGAUGGGUCGUUGCCGGAAUCUAUUUGUAACGAUGAAAAGAAAGUAAGCAACUCUGACAGAUAAGUAAUUCAAUUAUUCAAAGACAGUAACUGCAUACAUACAUGUAACGAAAUACAGUGCAUGGUCGUACUUACUACUUACUUUUCUCUCCAAGAAUCCAGAUUAGUAGCUGCCUAGGAUUUACUACAACCGUAUGGCCUGCAACAAAAGAUGUUUUCCUUAGUACGCAGUAGUACGAAGAUACACAGCAUGAUGCAAAUUAUUAGCAUGCUGGAACAAGGAUAUAUGCACAUUUAUGAACUAGUAAGUGCCUAUCUCAAACCCUACAGGCUGGUGGCCAAUCUCCCAGAAGGGACACAUCGGUAGUUGCACAGUGCCAGUGCCACUGGAGGAGCAAGCACACGAAUCCGGUAACAAGCAAAGCAUGGCCAGGCAGGGCUGUUCUUCACCACUCGGCCUGUCGUGUCAGCCAUGAUCCAUCCACCGUAUCGGAGACACAUACGGUAGGUACAACAACAGCAGGUAUCCUGAUCCGGAACGGCAAAACGAACCGAAACAAGCAACAGGAAGUGGGGGCGGGAGACGAGCUCAGAGCGGGGGCGCGUACGGCGUACGGUCGGCGCGGUCGUCCGGAGCGGGGCUCGGCGUGGCGCCGGCGGGCCGCGGCCAUGGUCGGUGGUCAGCCCUCGGGCCCCCGCCCGGGAUGGAUGGGGGGGAGGGGUGCCUCAGAGCCCCCGCACCGAAUCCGCGCGGCUUCUACCCGGAGGCCACCUCUUCCUCCUCCUCCGAGGAUACGAGCUCCGACCGGCGGCGUCGCCGAUUUGGUUUGGGGGGAGCGGUGGCGAAUCGGGGAAGCUUCGAGAAGCUCUUUCGGGUGGUGGUGGUGGAGGAGGAGGACUAGUGGGGAGGGGGAGGGGGAGGCGCCAAAGCGGCGGGGGNNNNNNNNNNNNNNNNNNNNNNNNNNNNNNNNNNNNNNNNNNNNNNNNNNNNNNNNNNNNNNNNNNNNNNNNNNNNNNNNNNNNNNNNNNNNNNNNNNNNAAUUAUCAAGGGGGUCCCCAUAACAACCCCGAUCGUGUUAGGAGCGCUCAAUUAUGGAACAUAACACCGGUAGCCGGAAACUAAGGGGGCAAAGGUGGAACAAAACACCAGGCUAGAAAGGCCGAGCCUUCCACCUUUUACCAAGUAUAUAGGUGCAUUAAAUUAAAUAGCAUUUAAUAGGGUGAUAUGACAAGGAACCCAUGUUAUCACAUGGAAGCAUCUGCACCUGCAACUAGCAGCGCUAUCAACAGGGUUAAGCAAGCAGUAACAUAGCCAAUCAGUGGUUUGCUAGGUUGAACAGGUUGAAGGUUUUCAUGGCAUUGUUGAGAGGCUAAUAUUUAACAUGUGGUAAACAACGAGACAUAAUCGAUAGAAGCGAUAAAACUAGCAUGGCAAUGAUAGUAAUGGUAUCUGGGGAAAUGAUCAUCUUGCCUGAGAUCCCGCUUGGAACAAGAACGGCUCCGUGAAGCAGACGAACCUACGUAGUCGAACGGGUCCUCACAAUCCGGCACGCUUGCGGAACUCUAUCGAUACGGAGGGAAAUGGAAACAAGCAUCAACACACGAUAUACACCACACGAUGCAAGACACACAUGAUGCAUGAACGGUUCCAUGAUGCGAGGCAUGACAAUCACAACAAUCAAACACUACACAUUAAGUGAAGUUCAAUAUGCAACGAGUUGCAUAUUGACGAAACUUCACAUAUGAAUUAUUUAGUUCACUCCCGGUUAUUAACACGGCAACAUUAAUGUUGUGAAACAUGCAAGAGGUGAAGCGGAAAUUAAACUACCUAUCUAGACAAUUUAAAUGAGGUCGGAAAUGACAUAUAGCACCUCCGAAACGACCUCACAUGGUAAUUUUCAAUUCUGUCCAGAUCUGAUUUAACACCUUUAAUUGGUUGUUAAACAGCAAAACAAAUAUACUCACGUGGUUCUACGCGUCAAGACAAGCAAUUUACACAUAAAGAACAUCUCCUAUGGAGCUACGGUUCAAAAGAUACAAGCAUCGCAAGAUAUGAUGGCAUGAAUGCAAUAUGUGUGCAACGACGGUCACGAGCACCUCAAAACAAACAACCAGCAAGAGAAAAUGAAACUACACGAGAUUCUAAGCAAGUUCCAUGUAGGACACAAUCAAAUCGGAGCUACGGUUCAACAUCUACGAGCAAAAUAAGAAAUGACUACAAUCUGCCAAAAUCAGCCACAUAGCAUUUUCUACGCCCCACAACUACGGCUACACAACUCCGAUAUGCUCAAGCAAGGCAUGGCACGGAAGAGGGCAAGAAGAACUACUACAAACAACUAACAACAACUAUCAUGACAUCAUGGAUCACUAGGGAAAGAAGACACAAAAUGGCAUCUCACACACUAUUUCAGACUUAGUGAAAAUAACACCUCAUGAAAGUGCAGUUUUCAGCCUGAAGCUAUAUUGACAACAGCAAAAUCUAUAGCUACAGGACUCUAAAUGGCAUGAAAAUUUACAGCAUGCUAGAGAAACACAAGGGGUACAAAUAACUCCAUUGGACCAACCUCAAAAGAGCUACAGAUCACAAGAUGCAAGCAAGACAAGACAGCAACAAAAUAAUAACAGAUUCCACACUUAGAAAUAUUUCAGCUCCUCUAAAACAGCACUAUUUCUAGCAACUGGAGAGCAAGAAAUUGACACCUAAACAUGCAUUUCUAUUGCAACCAAAAAUACCAGGGGCUAAACAAAACAUCCAAGAUCAACUCUCUAGUUGACAACUCCGUCAAACGACGCACGGAAUAAAUCCUACGAAUUAAUCAAAAGGGCAACAUAGCAAAAUAUCUCGCGAACUAACUUACUCGAAAGCUAGAAGUAAUUGCACAGAAAAAUCCAUGGGAUUUUUCUACCCCGGAAACAUAUAAAAUAUGUGGGGUUUGCAACACAAAAUAAUGCCACACAUUAAUGUGAGAUAAACACCUAUAUACGGGAAAAUAAGCUACCGGCAAAUCCCUACACGUAAAAAAUACAAUUGACCGCUCUAAAAUACAUGGAUAAAUAGCCCCUAAAACAUAGGCAUUUCUAACAUGGCAUUCGAGCAAUUCGAACACGCUCAGAAAAUAAAUGCGGGCACUUUCCUAUUGAGACAGCACGUAAACCCAUGCAUACGAUACGUCAAACAACGUCAAAUAAAUAUGCAAGUUGCUAAAUCGUAUUCUACACGAAAUUCGACACCAAAACCAUAUAAGAUACGCCUCGUUUCGACUUACGGAUUAAAAGUUACGGGGAUUUUAUUUAACGUCUAAUUUUCUGGAAUUUUAAUUAAAUCCCGAAAAAUCCUAAAUAUACCAACGGGCCGAACAGGCAGCGCAAUAUAGUAGGCAACACCUAGGGCGGGGGAUAGACGAGGGGAGGCCUCACUUUGGUGGGCUCGGCCCAUGCAGUAGGAGGCGGAGGCGGACUGGAUAGACAGUGGCCGACUGGGCCUCGGGGCGAUUGGGCCGGCUCGGCGCGCUCCUGCGCGGCCCAGCAGCGCCUAGGGCACGGGCGGUUGCAGCGGCCACCUGGGCCGGCUGGCGCAGGACGCUGGCGUCGUCUCCUCGUCCCCUCGUCCUCCCGACCAGGAGCUUCUGGCGGCGGCGGUUGCCGACGAGAGGGAACCGACGCGGGGCUAUGAGGGGAACCGGCUCGGCUUGCUGCCUCCUCCCGGUGAGAUCUGGCCCGGGAACCUCCCCUCAGGCAGCUCGGACAGAGCGGGGCGACAGCUCGGUCCGGCGAGGACCCACGGUGGCGUGGCGAGGGAACCUCGGGCAGGAGCUCGCGAGGGACGCUGGCAUACGGCUCCGGGGCUCCGGCGGCGAGGAUGGCCGACGAAGAGGCGAACCCCGGUGGCGAGGAGGCUCGGGCUACUGCGGGCGGGAGGAGCUGCGGGGCUCGACGGGAGCAGGGAGGUUGCGGCGGCGGCGGGGCGAUCCGGACCCGGGCGGGCCCCAAAUGGGCUUCGCGGGCCCGGCGGCUGGAGAGGGAGAGAGGAGGCUGGCUAGGGUUAGGGGUAGGUGGCGCGGAAAUCAAGGAGGGAUUAGAGGGAGGCUGUCCGAAAAUUAGAAGGGGUCUAUAUAUAGACAAACGAGGGGGCUGGGUUGACCGGAAUUUUGUUCCGGAUCCAACCGCGGGGUCGGGUUCGGACGAUUCCGAACGCGGGUAUGGGUAUGCGGCCGUGUAGACGGGAUAUCCGGAGACGAGAGGGGGAACGGGCGGCGCGGCACGAAUUUUAAAACACCGACAGACGUCCGACGGUAGACCAAAUACGGUGCCGCUACUAGCGACCGUUCGGGUACCAGACGGUCUCCGAUCGCGACGAAAUUCGACAGGCGGCCUAGCUAGAUUAAAAUAAGACCGCACGUCAAAUCUCGACCCGAUCAUAGGAAGUUUAACGCAGACUUUUUAAAACAGGGUUUCGACGGUGCCGCGGGCGCGUGCGAGUGCGGUCGGACUCAGAACGGACGACGACGAGAACCGGCAACUACUAACGAAUGCAGGUUUUUUUUGGAAAACUGGCGGCAACGGCGAUGCCGAUGCAAUGCAGAUGAUGCGGCAAAUAAAAUAAAUCACACGACGAAAACGGAACAGAAGGGGAAUCUUCUCGAACGUCGGCAUCGGGCUGUCACAUGACUACUUGGGCACUCCUCAGCUGGGUGAUUUUCUUCACAAUGAGUGCAUCCAUCCUUGUGUUCUCCCUGGGUGUGUCCUAUUUCUCCACAGAUCUUGCAUGCACAAGUCUUCUCCUUCGGAUUUUCAUAGCAUUUCUGAAUAAGUCGGGAUCUUAAUAGAGUGUUCUUGAAUUCGUCCCAGGUUUCUGCUCCACUAAAUCCUUGUAUGGCAUGGUGCAUUUUCCACCAGAUAGCAGCACUUUGGGUAAAGUACUGGAGAGCGUGUUCCACUUCAUACUUCCUUGAGAUCAAGUUGCUCCCGAAGUGGUUCUCCAUGUUCUGAAUCCAUAUUUCAGCCUCCAGCUGGGUCAUUGGUCCAGAGACUACAAGUCCAGCUUCAUACUCCAUCUAGUAGGGUUGAGGUUUUGGGGAUGAGACGGGUAAGAGAGGGAGGGAGAUACACACAAUACAAUUUUUUUUGAGAAUAGGUUUUAGUUGUGGUCGUCGGAAAACACACACCAAUGACGGCUCACAAAUCAUCGUAACUAACGUGGGUACAUAAUUGGGCUUUGGACUUCUAAUGGUCAUAUAAUUAUUCGAACGCUUCAGGGUCUUCAAUAGGUGUAGCUUCAAUUCUUCAAAUGCAUGGUGAAAUCCUCUUUACUUUGAAGUAGAACUCCGUUGAUUCUUCAUGAGGUCAAAGGGGUAAGGGGAUUGUAUAGCUAUUUGAAGUGAGAGAGAACAUUUGAUGAAAUUAGAAGAGAUGAGAAGUGAAAGGUGUAUUCGAAAAUAAGAUUUUUUUGAGAGAUCCUAUCAUAAGAAGUUUCCAGUUUCUAGGGUCACGUCCUACAGUCAACAUGUGCUCUGAUACCAUUUCUGUAGUGACCUGACUCAAAACGAGUCAAGCCUCUGUGUUUCUGUGCCAUCCCUGGAUCAGUAUGCUGGCACACACAGUACAUCAAUGUAUAUAUCAAAGUGCAAUCAUAUGUAAAUAGCGUAAAACUGAUAUAUACCUUAAAUAUCUCAGCGGAAGCAGUCAAGGGAGUGGAGUCCUAAUAAACACCAAUGGCAAGUUGAGUGUAGACCGUAACCCUGAAUCGUACUCUUACUCGUCGAAGAAAAUAUCUGCAACAUAAGACGUUGCAGCCGUGUAGGUCAGCAUAUUGAAUAUGCCGGCAAGUCACAUAAGAGAGGGGUGAAAAGCAAUCAUCUAUACUAUAUGCAUAUAUGGCAGGUGCGGCUAUAAAUUUUUAGCGAAAAGCAAGUUUUCUCCUACAUCAAGAGAGGGCUAAAAGCAAAAUGUUACUACAUUGUUGGUUGUUAACGAGAUGGUUCCACCAACCAAUUCUCGUACCCAUGUUGUCAAUAAUACCCACAUCAAUAUUAUUAUUUGUGUUGAGAAUUUCAGAUAACUUCAGUUCCUUUGGCUCAAGUUGUCCAUGACCGUGGACACGGCUAAUCGAUUAGGUUUGAGUACUCUGCAGAGUUUUGCACACGUUCACCACAAGAUUUGAUCGCCUCCGAGUAUGUCCUCGCACUUCAGGGUGUUUGAAGACCGGAUGAUCAAAACAUGGUCUUUCAACGGGUCCCUCUGAAUCCCUGUCGGUGCCCAUCCAAUCCUACCAUUCUUCUACAUCUGCUAGCACCGCCUGUCCAGAGUCGCCGCGUUGUCCAACCAAGCCAGAGCCCAUAAUGACUUGUGGCUGUGCAGGUAAGCCUUGGGUCUUGAAAAUAUCCGUCCGUCUCUUUGAGCCUGGGUGAAGCUUUCCGCAAGAUGUCAUGGCCGUCUCCAGCAUCCCGGGUCAUCCACUGGUUUCUCCAGGGAGCCGAUCAACCGUCCUUCACCCAGAGUUGCAUUGCAUCACGAGGUCUUGAAAAGUCUUGACUUAACCGGUCUUGGUUAUUAAAUUAUUCUCGCUUCACUCGUGGUAAACUAUCAACCAGAAUCCCGUCUACUCAAGCAUAGCAAUAUGAAAUUUGUCAUCCCGGGCCAAGUAACGGGGUUGUUGGGUGCCUACCACAUGAUACUACAAUAUGUAACCAUAAUUUCCAAGUACCUACUCAGCAUGCAAUUGGGCAUAGGAUGGUAGAACUACGAUGCAUAAAACAUAGGUGAUACAUGAUCAAAUGACUUGCCUGGUGAUGUUGGCGAAGAAGAAUUUCUUGAGAAAUAUCUUGAUAGACUACUCGUCACUCUUCGAUGAAAUCUAUAUAACAAACAUAUCAUUCACAUAAGCACUCAUACUAGCAAUCAUUCUAGCAAUCAAAACAAAAGAGGGAGCGAAUAGGAAUCCGAAGGAAACUUCAAAUAAGACUAGGGAGUCCUCUACUACAUCAAACACUAAAUAGUUUUUGUCCAACGGAAAAUAAUAACAGGGAACUAAUAUAUAAAUUUAACUAAGAUAAAAUAAACUAUUUUUCACAAAACUUUUUGAAAGUAUUUCCAAACGGGAUUUGAAACAGUAGAGAAACCAAUUGCAAGUUAUUAGGGAACUAGAAUUGAUUUCAUGAUAACAUAUAAAAAUAAAAAUCAAAACUUGUUGCAAACCUACUGUUAACUAACAGAAACAAAACAUAAUCUUUUUGAAAUAUAAAAGAAAAUAAUUUAAAAACAAUUAUAGAAAAGGAAAUAGACAUAAUCCUAAAAGAGGUGAAACAGAAAUUGUUUCACAAGAAACAAUGAGCUAAAAUACUCAAACAAAUCUGAAAUUUUUAUCACUGAUAAAUAAGAUCACUAGUGAUCAGUAGCAAAAGGAAUCAAAUUAAAAGCUAUUUUUAAACUCCUGGAAAAGGCAAAACAAGGUUUAAACUAAAUCUGAUCUAAUUCAAAUUUGAAAAUUUCAAACAUAGACAAAUUAUAUGUUUUUAAAAACUACAGAAAAAAUUUUAUCUACUCGAAAAAGAAUCAACCUCGUUGGAGUUGUGGUUCAAAAGUUAUGAGCAAAACAAACUGCCUCUGUUUCUGAAUUAAACUAAAAAUAGAAAAAUCUAACUAGUGCAGGGGGGGGGGNNNNNNNNNNUUGUUAUCUACUCGAAAAAUAAUCAACCUCGUUGGAGUUGUGGAUCAAAAGUUAUGAGCAAAACAAAACUGCCUCUGUUUUUGAAUUAAACUAAAAAUAGAAAAAUCUAACUAGUGCACGGGGGGGGGGGGGGUAUGUGGCGUGCUCUCAUUGGCNNNNNNNNNNUGUGGGGGUUCUAGCAAACGACCGCUAUUUAACCAAAACCUCUUCGGCUAAAAUUAAGUGAAGUAAACCGGCUCGAUUUUUAACUGAAAACCGAAGGGUUAUCUGCCAUCUAAUCUAACACGUAUAUUUGAGAUCCAACGGCUACAGGGAAGAUGGAGGCUCACAGCGAGGUGGAGGCGCUCCGGCGAGGUCCCCGGCGAUGACAGAGGCGGAGACGAGUCGGGGAAGCGGCUCCGGUGACCCUCCGGCGGUGGCGACGGGUCGGGGAGGCGGCGGCGAGUCCCCUCCGGCGAUUGGUGGUGGUGGCUAGGCGAGGGAGGUGGCUGUGUGAGCCCGGGGAGGCUCGGGGUGGCCGGGUGGAGCUCGACUCCGGCGAGGUGGCAGGGCGACGCUGCGGUGGCGGGGAGCUCGGGCUGGUUGGGGAAACGGGGUGCGGCGGGGCUCCCGCGCCCGGUGGUGGCGGCGGCGAGGCGAAACGGGGCCGGGGUGAGCUGCGGGGCGCCGGGGAGCUUCGGCUCCGGCGAGGUGGCGGCAGGGGCGGCGAAGCUUGGGCAGGGGCGGCGAGGAGGGGAAACGGGGUGAGGAGAGGGGCUCGGGGCCGGCUACUUAUAGGGGAGAGGGGAGACUGCGGAGGGAAGGAGAUCGGCGAGGCGGGGGCAAGUCCGGCAAUGGCGGGGUGGCCGGCUGGGCAAGGAAAGUGGAGGGAGGCGCGGGGGAGAGAGAAGGAAGGAGAGGUGGGCGCGGGGUGCGCUGGAGGCGGGGUCGACCAGGUGGGGGAACGGGUGGGGCCGGGCGUCAGCGAGGGGGUGCGGGAGGGGUUCGGUCAGUUUGACCGAGAGGAAAAAAAGGGGAAGGGAUCCCGGGCCAGGGGGUGGGCCGAUUCUAUAAUGCGCCCACGCGCUUUCCUCUUAAAAAAAUCCGUUUCCUGUUUUAGUCUUUUUUCAAAAACAAAAACUAAAACAAAUAAAAAGGCAACAAACAAAAUAGUUAAUAUAGGGUAUUAUAUACCAAAAUGAUCAGAAAAAUAUCCUCUACUCGAUUAACAUUUUUCCAAAANNNNNNNNNNGGUUUCCUGUUUUAGUCUUUUUUCAAAAACAAAAACUAAAACAAAUUAAAAGGCAACAAACAAAAUAAUUAAUAUAGGGUAUUAUAUAUCAAAAUGAUCAGAAAAAUAUCCUCUACUCGAUUAACAUUUUUCCAAAANNNNNNNNNNACAAAGGUUAAGCAAGCAGUAACAUAGCCAAUAAGUGGUUUGCUAGGUCGAACAGAUUGAAGGUUAACAUGGCAUUGUUGAGAGGCUGAUAUUUAACAUGUGGUAGGCAACGAGACAUAAUCGAUAAAAGCGAUAAAACUAGCAUGGCAAUGAUAGUAAUGGUAUCUGAGGAAAUGGUCAUCUUGCCUGAGAUCCCUCUUGGAAGAAGAAUGACUCUGUGAAGCAAACGAACCGAUGUAGUCGAACGGGUCCUCACAUAUGACACGCUUGCGGAACUCUAUCGAGACGGAGGAAACCGGAAACAAGAAUCAACACACGAUAUUCAGCACACGAUGCACAACACAAAUGAUGCAUAACCAGCUGAUAACAUGCAAGUCACGGCAUGACAAUUCACACAAACAAACACUACACCUUAAGUGAAGUUCAAUAUGCAACGAGUUGCAUAUUGACGAAACUCCACGUUUAUUUAUUUAAUUCUAUCCCGAUUAGGUACACGACAAUAUUAAAUGUGGUUAAACAUGGCAAGAGGUGAAGCGUAAUUAAACUACCUAUCUAGGCAUUUUAAAUGAGGUCGGAAAUGACAUAUAGCAUCUCCGAAACGACCUGACAUGUUAAUUUACAAUUCUGUCCAGAUCUGAACUAACACAUUUAAUUGGUUGUUAAACAACAAAACAAAUAGGUUCACAUGAUUCCACGCGUCGUUACAAGCAAUUUACACAUAGAGAACAUCUCCAACGGAGCUACGGAUCAAAAGUAAAAGCACCGCAAGAUAUGAUGGCAUGAAUGCAAUAUGUGUGCAACGGCGGUCACGAGCACUUCAAAACAUACAACCAGCAAGGGAAAAUGAAACUACACGAGAUUCUAAGCAAGUUUCAUGUAGGACACGAUCAAAAUGGAGCUACGGUUCAACAUCUACGAGCAAAACAAGAAAACACCACAAUCUGCCAAAAUCAGCCACAUAUCAUUUUCUACACCCCACAACUACGAGCUACACAACUCCAAUCUAAUCAACCAAGGCAUGAAACGAUAGAGGGCAAGAAGCACUACAACAAACAACUAACAAAAAUUAGCAUGGCAUCAUGGAUCACUAGGGAAAGAAGUCACAAAAUGGCCACUCACACACUAUUUCAGACUUAGUGAAAAUUACACUUCAUGAAAGUGCAGUUUUCGAUCUAAAGCUAUAUUGACAGCAGCAAAACCAAAAGCUACAGGACCUCAAAUAGCAUGAAAAUUUACAGCAAGCUAUAUAAACAUAAAUUCUAAAACUAACUCCAUUGCACCAACCUCAAAAGAGCUACAAAUCACAAGAUACAAGCAAGACAAGACAGCAACAAAAUAUAACAGAUUUCAGACUUAGAAAUAUUUCAGCUCCCCCAAAUCAGCACUGUUUCUAGCAACUUGAGAGCAAGCAAACCACACAUAAACAUGCAUUUCUAUUACAACCAAAAAUACCGGGGGCUAGACUAAACACCAAAGAACAACUCCCUNNNNNNNNNNCUUAAUCAAACGAAACACGGAAUAAAUCCUACGGAAAAGACAAGAGGCCAACAUGGCAAAAUAUCGCGCGAACUAACUUCCUCAAAAGCUAAAACUAAUUGCACAGAAAAAUCCAAUGGAUUUUUUUUACCCCGAAAACAUAUAAAACAUGUGGGGUUGCAACACGAAAAUAUUGUCACACGUAAAUGAGAGAAAAUAACCUAUACACGGAAAAAUAAACUAGCAGUAAACCCUACACGCAAAAAUACGAGUGACCGCUCUAAAAUACAUGGAAAAAUGGUUCCUAAAACAUGGGCAUUUAUCUAAGGCAUUCGGGCAAACCGGAUACGCGCGAAAAAUAAAUACGGGACGCAAUCAUAUUAGGACAGCAUGUUAAUCUAUGCAUACGGCACGCUAAACGUCUUCAAACAAAUAUGCAAGUUGCACCAACGUAUUCUACGCGCAAUACUACGCGAAAUCCAAAUGCUACAUGUCGCGAUCUGAUUUACGGAUUGAAAGAUAGGGGCAUUAUAUAUUCGUCUAUUUCCUGAAAAAUAUAUAUUGUCAGGAAAAAUCCUAAUAAUCAAACGGGCCGUAUUGGGGGCGCUUUACACCGAAAAUUGCACAGGCGGGGGAUAGUCCAGUCUCACCUUGGGGCCUUCGGGCCGGAGGGUGGUGGAGGAGGCCAGCUGGAGGCUUGGGCCGAGCGGGGCUGCUGGGCCGCAGGGUCCAGGAGCGCGGUCAACGCCUGGAGGAGACCAUCGGGCCUGCUGGCUGCUGCUGGGCCUCAUGGGGGCGCGCGUCCCACAGACGAAGGCGGUGUGGAGCUGGGCCGGCGGGACGGGGCCGGCGUGGGCGAGCGAGGCGACGCGGCCGAGGAGCGGGGCUCCUCAUCGUCCUCCCGACGCUGCUCGUGCUCGAGCGCUGCAGGGGCGGCGGCGGCUGGCUCUGCACGCGCCGGUGGCCGAGGUGGCGCGGGAACCCGGGCAGACGCCGGCGCCGGCGCGGAUCUGGCGUGUCCAGGCGGAGGCAGGCCAUCGGGCGGCUUCCUUCAGGCUCGGAGCGGCGGAGAUGGUAGGCGCAACGCCGACAGAGCAAGAUGGCGGCGGCGGUCACCGACGGCGUGGAGGCGGGGCAUCGGGGAAGGUCCGGUCGCGAACUUUGACGAGCUCCGACGGCUCCUGGUUCGGCGGGGAGCUGCGGGAUGGCCGGCGACUGCGGGCGCGAGGCGCGGGGAGCUCGGGGCAGGAGGCAUAACGGGCGGCGGCGGCGGCCGGAUGGGCUUCGGGCGGGCCACGCGCGGGCUCGGGCGGGCCUUGCGGCUGGGGGNNNNNNNNNNNNNNNNNNNNNNNNNNNNNNNNNNNNNNNNNNNNNNNNNNNNNNNNNNNNNNNNNNNNNNNNNNNNNNNNNNNNNNNNNNNNNNNNNNNNUGUUCCGACAUUUGAAAAAAUAUUCCGGAAUUUGAAAAAAUAUUCUGGAAUUUGUAAAAAUGUUCUGGUUUUAAAAUUUGUUCUCAAAAUUAACAAUUUGUUCGUGCUUUAAAAAUUUGUUCGCACUUUCAAGUUUGUUUAGUUUUUUUUCCAAAAUUGUUCUCCUUUUCAGAAUUUUGUUUUCACGAUUAGAAAAUGUGCAUGCUUUAAACAGUUGUCCCGUUUCCAAAUUUGUUCAUGUUUUUUCAAAAUUGUUCUCGGUUUUAAAAUUUGUUCUCAAAAUUCAAAAAAUGUUCGUGCUUUAAAAAUUUGAUCUCGCUUUCAAAUUUGUUCGGAGUUUUUAAAAAUCUUGUUCUCAAGAUUCAAAAAAUGUUCGUGAUAUACAAAAUUGUUUGCGCUUCCAAAUUUGUUCAUGUGUUUUUAGAAUUGUUCUCCUAUUUCAUUGCAUUUUCACAAAAUUGUUUGUAAUUCCAACAAAUGUUCUCCUAUUUUAUUUUUCCCUUUUCCCAUAAAAAUAUUGAUCGUUCUCAAAUAAUAUUCUUGUUUCAUACAUUCAUGUUGGCAAUUUUAGGAAAAGGUUCGAAUCUGCAGCGGCUUAUGGUUCGUGUUGUUAAAUUUCACAGCUUUGUUAUGUUGGUUAACAUUCACGCAUGUAACCUUCCACCUCUGGUAGUCAAUCGAGAUGGUUAACCAUGGCAUACUCCGACCUAGAGGUCCCGUGUACGAUUCCUUUGCUCGCUCAUUUUCCUUUUUGCGUUUUUCCAUCCCUACAGCAAAUGGGCCGGCCCAGGAAAGCUCGCUCUAUGCGAAACCGCCGCUAGUCGCCGCAAAAUGCGGCGUAUAGGAGCUCCCCUCCUCUUGGGCUUAGCGAACGCAGUGCUCACGCGCCUCCGCUCGUGGGCCAGCCCAACCAGCAGGCGUCCUCGGUUCACAGUUGACCGUUGCCAGCGGGAGCUCCUAGUCGCCGGGAGCUGCGGCAACCAGUCAGGGCUUCGCACAGGGUGACUCCCGACUAGGCCGGCCCAGUACGCGCGCGACAACUGUAACUUCUUUUUUCCUUUUCUGCUUAUUUCUUUUUUUUGGUUGUUUUUCUUCCUAUUUUCCUUUUUUUCCUUCUUUAUCGAAACGAAUAAAUGUUGAAUUACUUAAAUCAUUUUUUGAAAGCAUGAACAUUUUUUAAAACAGGGAACAAAUAUGAAAACACGAACAAUUUUCUAAAGGAUGAACAUUUUUUGAAUCUUGAGAAAAAAAAAUUAAAAUCCUGAAAAAAUUUGGGAACACGAACAAAUUUUAAAGCACGAACAUGUUUUCAAUUUUACGAACAAAAUUUUGAAAUGGAGAACAAUUUUGAAAACCCUGAACAAAUUUGGAAGCGUGAACAAGUUUUUAAAAGCACAUUUUUUUUAAAACAUUAAGUUUUUUUUUAAAAUGAGAACGAUUUUGAAAAAUCCUGAACAAAUUCAUAAACGUGAACAUUUUGCAAAUUUUGAGAACAAAUUUCGAAAAAUAAGAAAUUUUUUUGAAUAUCAUUUUGAAAAAUCCAGAACAUUUUUGAAUUUCCAGAACAUUUUUUGAAAAUCCAGAACAUUUUUGUAAAAAAACAAUUUGAAGAACAAGUUUUGAAAAUCCUAAAGAUUUUUCAAAAAUACAGAACAUUUUUUGAAAAAAAGCAGAAACAUUUUCUGAAUUUGAAGAAUAUUUUUGAAAACCACAUUUUCUGAAUUUUAAGAAUAUUUUUUGAAAACCUAGUUGAUUUUUUUGUAAAUACAGAACAUUUUUCUAAAAAAUACAUUUUUAGAAUUUGAAGAACAAUUUUUUAAAAUCCCAAACAUUUUUUGAAAAUCCAGAACAUUUUUUAAACAGAAACAGAAAAAAGAAUAAAAAAAAUAAUAAAAAAAGAAAAACCGGUUCAUGAAACCUUCUAGAAAGUUCCCAAAGCCGGAAAAACCCGGCUAGGAAAGUCUUGAAGAUUCCCCAAACCGGGAUCCCCCCAACCGGUAAUGGCUCAUCCUAGAUCGCGUCGCUCCCUCUUCAUCCUAUGCGAAGCAACGACAUCUUGACGCAAUGUGCGUCCUAUAGGAUUUUCCGUUGCGAGCCGCGAGCCUUAUCAUCACCACUAACUGACCACUAGCACGGUAGCAGCGGCGGGGAUUACACAUCCUCCUGCAAGCUAGUCGGAGUCCACCAAAAUUCCUCACGUCCGAUGGGGGUUCUUUAACGGACAAGAGCCUUAUGGGGUAGGAGUACCAACUGAGUGUUCCUACUCCUAUAGAGGGAGUCAUCGACAGAAGGGAGAAGGAGGUAGUAUGUCACACCCCACAAGGUGAUGUAUGACAUGUUAGGUCCACCUGCUGUCAAGGUGGACUCUAUAGUAGGUGUUGAGUGUGUGUGUGUGUGGGGGGGGGUGUUAGAGCGUCUCCAACAGUCGCGCACAGGCACGACACACAACAGAAUUUUUACAACGCGCGCAACAAAAUAAUUCGUUCAAAAAUAGUUUAAUUAUUUUUGCAACUGAAACAAAUAAUUAAACUUCAAUACAACAAAUAGUUUAUGACCAAUAUAACAAAUGUUUAGCACAACAAACAUACAACAUCAUGUGUUUUGUUGCCCAUUCCAUGCCCACCACUCCUCAACUAAAUUUCUGAAGAUCAUCAUUCAUUUCGGCACGUGAUGCGGCUCUCGAGAAGGGUUGUGCGAUGCAGCUCGGGAGUUAUGCUACACCAAAGAUCAUUUGCAAUGUCUCGUUAGCAUGAUGACACUUAUAUGUUAAGACUAGUAACUAAUGACCAUUCUAAUAAAACUCACCAUUCCCAACGAAGUAAUGACUAGCAUUAGUGGAGGGGUCUCACCAGUCUUCUCGCACAUAGACUGCACAUUUGGUUUUGAUGAGUCAGUCAUAUUAGUUAGUAAUGAAACAAACAUUACAUGCAUGAUUGGGCUAAUAUGGAGAAGAAACUUACCACGAGGAGCUCGUACAUGGCCUCGUGAGCCGCCUCAUUCCGUGCCCUCUCCUCCUCCAACAACCUAGUCGUCCUCUCCUCCAUGAGUUAUUCCUUCUCCGCCGCCACCCGGUCCCUCUCCCCCAGAAGCGCCUCGGUUGUCGCUCUCUCUUUCUAAAGAGCAACGUGCAACACCACUCCUCGUUAGCAUUGUAAUCAUCGAUGUCCGCACACACAAUGUAAUAGAGGAAAGAUAUCCGAGUUCGCAUAACUAACCUUGAUGGCAAGAUCGAUUGGCCGUGGACGAGUCCUUAUCUCAGGGCAGGAGCUCGUUUGGCGCGCCUUGAACUCCGGGAGAGUGAGAGGACAACGUAUCAGUCCAUCUCCAAUGUCUAUCGAGUCAUGGGGCCUCCUACCACCAGCUGUCAUCGCCAGCUCUGGAUCAAUAGGAUGCUGGCUCGGGUUAUAGUCACCCCCUUUCCUCGCCUUCGCCUCCUUGUUGUACAUCACGAGCUUGUGGUGGGAGGAGAUGUUGGUGAACUUUUCAGGAUGAUCCAGGUCAGACUUAGAGAAUGCCUUGUCCUUCUUGUACGAGGCAGUAUGGGACAUGGCAUAGAGGUCAUACACCUCUGGCACCUUCGUGCUAUUGUGUCGCGCCUAAAAGAGAAGAACAAAGUAUUAGUAAAGGGCUCAAGCUAGCAUGAAGAAUGAAUUGCAUGAAUCAUGAAGCAAACCACAUACCCAGUUUCGUUCGAACUGAUAUAAGUUAGCGUUGCCUUGAUGGUGUGGCACACCAACCAUUUGGUCACGCCCGUCCUUGGAAUUAUUAUAGAAGGUUCGCCAAUGGUUUGUGCACCACUCAUCCACCAACGCCUCCCAACAAUCCAUCUUAUCCGUGCACCAUCUCGGGGCACCUAAGUAGGUAAAGAUAAAUUUGAGCGCUACGCUUACGAAUCAAAUCAAAGAAACUAUGUAUAAGGCCUUAAGAGUAGGUAAUUACCUUCAUGUACUGAUCCUUCUUCACAAACUUUUCGCGGCACAACGGCUUGUCCUUCUUAAUACCACCCGUGGCGUAGUAGUCUCGAAUAGCCCGCGACCGAGCCUCGUGCCGUAAGUUCUGUAAUAGGCGCUUGCACUCAGUAUCGAAAACCUUUGCCGUAGCUUCCUCAUAUCCCUCCUCACACGUGUAGAAGGUCCGUAAUCAAACGAGACAACACUGAUUAGUACAAUAACUAGAUAUUGUUGAUUUUUAAUUGUGUAAAGGAGAAAUUAUCCAAAAGCUUAUGAUCACCAUCUCGACCCUCGUGUGGCACAAGACACCAUCGAUCAUCUCCUCCAGCGGGGCCGGGACAGCCAAGUACUGCUCCUAGCUCAAUCCUAGUUGUGGAAGCUGACCCUCACCGGGCAACGUGACAAACUCCGGGAAAUUUUGCCGGCAAAGAACAUUAAGGACGGUAUUAGGCUUGCGGAGUCCAUUGCCGUGUCGCGAACCCCAUGCAGUAUGAGAAUGCCAACGCAUUAGAUAUUUGAAGAAACGUGAAGGCAACAUGUACAAAAAGAGUAAAUGCACUUACUUCCCUCCCUCAGGCGUAAUCACCGACCUCUCCUCGCGGGUCUCCGGCAGGGGCGGGAGCUGUGUACCACCACGCUGGUACACGGUGACCCCCUCAACCACCUCGCCCUCACUAUUAGUAGACUGAUCCCCGCCACCAUCAGCAUGGCCACUUGGAUCCCCACCACCAUCACCAUGGCCACUCGGAUCUAGCCAGGUACCCCAUCCAGACGUCUCCUGGGACGCAACCCGAUCCCGGCCCUGGGCCGUAGUCUCAUCGGCGAAAGCCUCUGGGACUGGAUUCUCGUGGGCCAAAGUCUCGUCGACCGGAGGCUCGUGGUCCGGAGUCCGUGUAGCCUCCACCCGAGACGGGUCCACCCUAAUAGUCCUGUUCCCGAGUGAAUGAGCUAGGGGUGGCGGCGAGGAAGGUGUAGCAAUGUUUCUACCACUCCAGCGGCCACAUCCUUUACCUCUCUUCUUACCACCCUGAGCUCCUCUCUCGGUGGGCAACGAAACCGACGAAGAAGCGCCCGCCAGUGUACCCAUACUGUCUAUCAACGCUCUCCGGAGAGAUAGUGGUGGAAUCUAAGUACCCCUCCCGUGGGCCGCCGACGAAGAAGCCCGGUGGAAAGAUCUUCUCUAACUUGUAGAGUAACUCCGGCGCCAACUUUUCCAUGCCAGACAGCAUGCCAAACCAUAGUUCUUUCGCACAACGAACACGGAAGAAAUAACUCAGCUAUGCGUGUACUAGCAAUUCAUCCUCAUGGAUAAAGUCAUGCAACAUCACCGGCAUUACCCACUCAAGCCAUAUGUGCCAAUCAUGACUUUUGAGACCAAUAUUUUUAGUUUUUCAAGACUCGCUCCUCUCUUUAGAUUCGUCGCAUACCAAUCGGGGAACAUCAAGUGCAUUUUCACCCACAAGAUAAUUUCCCUCAUAGCUCCCCUUCCAAGAUUGAACCAGGCCUUUGGUUUCGUUCAGUUUUGCUUUCCUUUUGGUUGUCGCAUGUUUUGUAACGGUCUAUCAAAUAGAGUGUGUUGAUCGACUCUGUCCUUAGGAUUAUUCUUUGAAUUUCCUUCUAUGCCGAAAAAUGUACCAAAAAGGGCCUCCCCGAUAUUCUUUUCAGUGUGCAUCAUGUCAAUGUUGUGUGGAAGAAGGAGGUCUUUGAAGUAAGACAGAUCCCACAAGCAUGACUUGUGAGUCCAUAUGUGUUCCGAAUUAUACCCCUUGAAAUAUCGUGGAUUCUCUCGAUCAGUCUUAGAGAGUUUAACUGAUCUAGGAUCUGUUGGCCUAUCAACACAGGUGGUGCAAUGUAUUUGACAACUCUACCUUUGAUGAAGUUCUGUUUGUCUUUUUUAAACUGAUGGCUAGGAUCCAGGAGCUGUCUAUGCAAGUCGAAGCAAGAAUACUUGCGACCCACCUCCAGCCAAUGAAAGUGAAGAGCCGCCUUGCAUGUGGGGGCACAGGAACCUUCCAUGCACACACCAACCAACGAAUAGCGCAUACGCCGACAAUUCAUGCAUCGAGUACAUGUACCAGACAUGCAUUUUGAAGCUCUCUUUUCUAGCGGCAUCAUAUCUCUUGAACCCAUUAGCCCAAGCUUCUUACAAUUCAUCCUUAAGAGGCUGCAUGUACACAUUCAUAUUCUUCCCGGAUAGUUGGGCCCUGGAAUUAUCAACGCCAGGAAAAUGUUAUUUCUUUGCAUAAUCUGUCCGGGGGGGGGGUGUCGAGUGAAAUGACAAAUACAAGCCAACAACUAUAUUGGGUUGCUGUCAUACCGAACAUAUUGAACCCAUCCGUGGCGACGCAGACUCGAGGAUGCCUUGGAUUUGCUGCUUGAUCCUCAUGUAAUGCAUCGAAGUUCUUCCAUAAAAAAGCAUCUGAUGUGUGUACCAACAUCUGAUUCCCAUCCGCAUCUAGUUCAGUUCUUUUGCCCAAUUUGUGCUAUGUCAUCUGUCUGGCCAUCUCUUCGACCAUGAAAAGACGUUGAAGUCUUGGUAUGAUUGGCAUAUACAAAAUAACAUUAACGGGGAUCUUGGUUUGCUUCUUCUCCCCAUACCGUUGUCUACCAUAAUGUACCUUGAAGAGGUGCAAAUGGGACAAUAGUUCAAGUCUGCGUACUCAAGCCUAAAUAAGGCACAUCCUUUUCACAGGCAUCUAUCUUCUCAUAGGGCAUAUUAAGUACACAGAGGAUUUUGUCCGACUGGUAUAGGUUUGCAUGCAUUAAUGGCCUUUGGGUAGAAAGCGUUCAAAUAGUGUCAUCAUGGUGUCGCAACAUUCUUUUCCCAAGUUGAACUUAGUCUUCAGAGCAAUUACUUGUGCAAUGGCAUCCAGCUAACAAAGCUUAGUGUGAUCGUAGAGAGGACGUUUUGAAGACUCCAACAUUUCAUUGAAGGCCUUUGCAGAUUCCUCCAUCUCAUCGUCUGAAUCUCGAGCAUCAUCAAAGUCUUGCACCAUGUCGUCGAUCCCAAUACCAUGCUCGUCGGUGCGACGACGAACCACCCCAGCUUUGGGACCUUGGGCAGACUCGCCAUGAAAUGUCCACACCGUAUAAUCAGGCGUAAAACCCCACUUCUGCACGUGCUUACCCAUUUCACCCACUUUCCUCUUUGAAAAGUUGCCGCACUUAUGACAGGGGCACCCGAUUUUUCUGUGGACGUUUGCAAAUACGGCUUUCACAAACCCCUUGGUUUUUGUUAACCAUUAAUUGCCAUGUCUUCCUGACUAGUGUGACCGGUGUACAUCCACGCACAAUCACUCAUCUUGCCUACCUACUAAAAACACAAGAAAUAUAUAUUCAUCCGUUAAUCAAGUUUAUCAAUUUUAUUACGUCCAUGCAACCCUACAUGCUAAUAGGUAAAGAUAGGUCCUAAUCCCACUCGAGUAUGUGUAGAUUGGGUUCAUUUUCCCAUACUCUGCUCCGGAUCCGAUGCAAAAUUUUGGCAGCACCUCCAUAUUGUUCUCCUCAUACACGUCUCAACAACAAGCCGAGAGAAUGUGUACCCGAAGAACAACGGAUGUUGCUGAUAAAAUUUUGCCUUAGACCGAAGUAGAGCACGGAAAAAGAAACCCAAUUUACACGUACUCGGGUUGUCCAUGGAUGACAUGGACAAUUCAAAAUGAUGACAAUUAUAAAUAUGAAAAGACAUGCAUAUUUAUAGAUGCCACCCUUUCAAACGGGAGACAUCUAGGUUAUGCGACUUGAUAUGAGAAUAAAAUCUAGUGGCAUCGGCACGACAACGAGAACAAUGCAAAUAGGGGAAGGGGAAGAUAUGGCAGUUGAGGUCACCCCUAGAUGGCCAUAGAGAAGGUAGUGAAAUGAUGAUGGAAAUGACAACGGGACCGACGGAGAUCCCUGCACAUGAAAAACAUUUGCACAACCAACAUAAGCACCACAAGAAACAAAUCUACAAGAUGUUGCAUCAUUAACUGCAUUUUUAGUCAUUAACUGCAUUUUUAGCCAUUUAAUGGAUAUAAUUCAAAUUUAAACUAUGAAUGAAUGAAAUAGUGUGCAAAAAUGAUUUGAAAAAUCAUAUUUAGGGCAUUGAGUAUAUGUGUGUGCAUCAUACAAGAAAUAAAUAUAGAAUAUAAAUAUCUAUGUGACAAUAAUCAAUCGUGAAUAUGAAGUUUAUUGGUAUUUUAAUUCUAGAGAAUAUAAAUGAUGUCUAAUAAAUACGAAGCUUCUCAUAGUGUCAAGAUAUGACUUCACUAUACUUUGGUAAAAAAUUGAGAAGGUUUUCACAAUUUUUCUCAUGAUAUAAGGGCAAAAAUCAAAUGGCAAGAAAGCACACGUAUGUGUACUAAAUUCUUAUUGGUGAACAGAUUGAAGCGUUGGAUCGAUGGCAUGGCAUGAACCUAUUCGUCCACACUUCACAUCCAAGAAAAAUAUCUAGCAUUAUCUAUUCACCACAUGCUCUACCACAUCCAUACAUAUAUCUUGUUAGCAUCAAUCCAACCUCUUGUAGAACCACAAACAUGACACACACUUCUUUCAUGCCAUGGCUGGCGAGGCGGACGACGCCUGCUCCACCCUCCAACUAGGAGCAGUACACGGUGGGGCGGGAGUGCUCGACGUCGGGCAACCGUGUGUGAAGCGGGUGCCGUGGACGCCACUCGUCGUCGGGCGUAGACCGAGCACACGCACGAAGGAGCCGUCCAACUCCAGGAUCUCUGUUUGUGGCACAACUUCCUUAACAGUUUAUGCAUCCCGGAAGGCAACAUCACGAAGGCGUAGUUCGUGGCCAUGUAAACUACCUUCACGUGCGUCUCUUUUCAAGAAUUCAUCCACCAGGUUAGCUGCUAGCUAGCUUGUCGGAUACUACUAUUUAAUCUUGUUCGUGGCCAUGUCUAAGCCUGAUGUCUCUAGCCAUCUAAUCGAUUUUUGAUUCUUCCCAUCUAUCGAGAUUCCCCAAGAUAUCAAACUAAUCACACAGUCUCUCUUGUCAAGUCAUGAACUUUCUCGUGCAAUACUUUUUGAGAAUUGUUUUAUGCAUAACUAGUGAAAGAACUAAUUUCAAGUAGGAUACCUAAGUAUGUAAUAUAAAAAUUCAUAAAAAUAGAAGUAUAAUUUGAAAAAAUCAUUUUUUUUCAUGGUAGAUAAUUUAGUCCGUGAGUACGCUCCAAAUUUCAGCUCAUUUGGACAUAUGAGUAGCCGUCAGCAAAAAAACAAAUUGGGUCGGAAUAGUACAUGAACACUAAAUUUUACAUAGCCCAAAUUUUUCUUUUUUGCCGAGGGAUACUCAGAUAUCGAAAUGAUCUGAAAUUUGAAGUGCACCUCACACACCAAAUUGUCUAUCAUGCACAACAAAUUUGAAUUUUUCUAGUAUUUGUUUUGAUUUUUAUGUGUUGAAGGUGUAGAUGAGCCUGGGCAUCGAAUCAUUGUUGUGUGUAAUGAUGUGAUUUUUUUACCUUGUCACUCUUUUCUCUUGAUUUUUAGGAUAAGAUAUAAUAAGAAAUAUGAGAAGAUUUGGCAGUUGAUGUCAUUGAUGAACAAGAAAGUAAUGAAGCUUUACGACGUAAUUAGAUGUUAUUGCUAGUUGUAUGUGUUAGCUGUUGUGUGACGUGAGAUAGUAUGUUUGUACUUUUAUAUGUUAUAUGACAAAGCUUGAAAAUAAAUCAUAUAAUGGAUUUUGAAUGUGCAUUUUUACGUUAUGUUUGUUUGUGAAAAUGUGAUUAUAGUAAAUUGAUUAAUGUCUAUCUGAAUUAAUGAUUAAUUAACACGUCGUUAAGAUCACAUGUUGCACACAAUUCUUUGGAUCCAAUGGUGUGUGACGACAUUUACAUCACAUAUAUUUUUUUAGUCAUGUGCAAUGUCUCACGCAUUACGUAUAAUUUUCAUGAAAUAACGAUGUGUGAUGCUAAUCCAAAUUGCACACAGUUUUUGUGUUUAAUUGUGUGGGAAGUACACCCAAUCACAAAUAGUUUUGAUAGCGUGUGCGAUGGACCCCUCUCCCUAUCGCACACAUAGGCAAGGUGAUGGUUUAAAACUGCUUGGAAUGUUUGAAAGGGGUUAAAAACUGUUUGCAUAGGACGUCGUUGCACCAGUGACGUGCCAUGUUGCAAGGCAGGAGGAUGCACUUCCAUAGAGUUCAUAGGUUCCCCCUCCAUGAUGAUUUCCUCAGUUCCCUCUCGUUCAAACUCCACAUGUAGCAGCCAAGCCUCGUCCUCAAUGUUGUUGGAGGAGGACCACAAAUAGCUUCCACACCUUCAAAAAACUAUCAGAAAACAGCCUGAAACAACAACAAAUGAGAAACUUGUGAUGCGGUGGUCAGAACAUAUGGGAGUAUAUAUAAUGAUUUUUUUCAAGUCAGAAUACUAGCCCAGUAAGAAAAAGAGUCGGGAAGGCGCAUGAGGAUCUCCCAAGACAUCAGGGCGCACCCAGAGGGGGUAGCCGCGCCCUGUUAGCUUGGGACUCCCUCGUGGGUCCCCUUGGAUGGUUUUUAUUUUUGCACUUUUCCUAAUAUUGCAAAAUGAUAGUAAAUAUUUUUAUGGAAUUUUUUGAGUCAGCUUACUGUAUCACAUACCUACUCUAUUUCAGGGUUCUGGAGUGUUCGAGAAAGUCUCUCCUAUGUGUUCUUCGAGUUUCAUCACUUGAAUAAUGUUAGUUUCAGUAUUAAUAGACAUACCUGAGAUAUAAUGUUUAAUUUUUGCCCAUUAACCACUCUUAGAUUUGUGUUUUCAACAUUGUUGAUUUUGAUAGCUCUCGAGGGAUAAACUUCUUCGACGAUAUAAGGUCCUUCCCAUUUAGAGAGAAGCUUACCUAUAAAGAAUCUGAAACGAGAAUUGUCCAAAAGAACUAGGUCUCCUACUUUAAAUUCUCGUUUCUGGAUUCUCUUGUCAUGCCAUCUUGUAACCUUUUCUUUAAACAACUUGGCAUUUUCAUAGGCUUGGGUCCUCCAUUCAUCUAAGGAGCUAAUAUCAAUUAACCUCUUUUCACCGGUAGGCUUGGGUCCUCCAUUCAUCUAAGGAUUCACCAAUAAGCUUUAUGUUCUAGCUCAAGAUGUAAAUGACAUGAUUUUCCAUAGACGAUUUUAUACGAAAACAUUCCGAUAGGAUUUUUAUAAGCAUUUCUAUAAGCCUGUAAUGCAUCAUUAAGUUUCUUAGACCAAUUCUUUCUAGAUCUAUUAAUAGUAUUUUGCAAGAUCAAUUUUAUUUCUUAAUUAGUCAACUCAACUUGACCUCUAGACUGAGGACAAUAGGGCGAUGCAAUUCUAUGGUUAACAUCAUAUUUAUUUAGAAGUUUACGGAAAGCACCAUGAAUAAAAUGUGAACCACCAUCAGUCAUUGAAUAUCUAGGGACUCCAAACCUCGGGAAAAUAACCUUUUAAAGCAUUUUAAUAGAAUUGUUAUGAUCAACACUACUAGUUGGAAUAGCUUCUACCCACUUAGUAACAUAAUAAACAACAACUAAAAUAUGAGUAUACCCAUUAGAGGAAGGAAAAUGUCCCAUAUAAUCAAGGACUUCCAAUUUUUAUGCCCCUCCUUGCUUAGUUCUCCUCAGUUUUGCCCACGCUCUUUGGCAGUCCUCACUUUUCCCCUCCAUUGUGCGGCCCACCCUUACAAAAGCCCAAAUGGGAGUUUGUCGUUGGGUCAAAGCCUUUGACCAUUACUUGGUGCGGUUACUGACGUGUGGGACACCCCUCCCCUGGUAGUGGCAGUGCGGUCAUUUGUGGUGGGUGUCGGUGUCAAAAUCGAUGGAUCUCGGGUAGGGGGGGGGUCCAAACUGUGGAUCUUGGAUCGAUGGAUAACAUGAGACAAAGGAGACGACAUUUACCCAGGUUCGGGCCCUCUUGAUGGAGGUAAAACCCUACAUCAUGCUCUUGUUUAUAUUGAUGGUGGAAUACCAAGUACAUAGUUGAUCUAUCUCGAGAUCGUAUGUUGUGGUCUAAACCCUAGGAAUAAUGAUCUUAACCUAUCCUAUGAACUAAAGCCCUUUGGUUUAUAUAGAUACAAGGGGUACUAGGGUUACACAACAUCGGUUACAUUAAGGAGGAACAUGCCGAUUACUACGUGGCCGUGGGGUGCACGCCAAGUCUUCAGAAGAGUCCGUCUUGGAUACAACAUCUCCUUAUUCAUCCGGAGUCCAAUAACUAUAGUAGGACGACCCAUGAGUCUGACCCAUUAUAUGAUCGGGAGUAUGUGUAGAGGGGGGUGAUUAGACUACUUGACCAAAUUAAAAGCCUACAUUAGCAGGAGAAAUGCUAGCAGUAGCGCUAGUUUUGCCCUUACCAGUAGCGCUUGUGCCAGCGCUACUACAAUCGCGCUACAACUAAUCUAUUAGUAGUAGCGCUGAAAAUAGAAGCGCUACUGGUAUACACAUUAGCAGCAGCACUAAAAUAAAUAAAGCGCUACUGCUAAGCCAACACUACUGUUAAUAUUCCAGCGCUACUGCUAAUAUUCCUGCUUUUAAUAUUUAAUUCACGUCGUAUUUAUGUCCCCCUACGUAUUUGUGCAUGCUCUAUACAAUGGUUUCAUCAUAUCAUAAUAAACAUGCAUAAUUUGCAUCACAUCAUACACAUAAAGUAGUCUCUUCAUUUAUACCAUCAUCAUCAUCAUCAUCAUUAUCCAACACAAAUAUCAUCAAAUCUGGGAAAUAGCGAUACACACGAGUCAUGGCACACCCACAAGUUUCAUCAUCCCUGUCUAAACCAUCACGUAGAAGAGAAGGGCGAUCAACAUGAGCAAGAGCGCGACUAUGUAGUACUUCUUGAGGCACCGAUUUCGCUCCGUCUCUUGCCGUAGCAUCCACCUCAAGUAACUCAUUUCCGUUUCGGCUCUGCUGUCGAACCCUCUGUGGCUAGCCCCCGGGUACCUGUCCACCUGGGCCUGAGCGUCUGUCCAGUGGUCGUACACUCCUGGAACUCGCCCAAUGAAUACGACGUAGCAACCCUUUGCCAUCUCCGAUCUAUGUACUUGCAUUGUAAGUUGAUUAAUUCAAUGAUAUAUAAUAUGAAACAUAAUGUACUUGAGAAACACAAGCAGUAAACAUAUAUAAAUGACGAAGCUCCUCAUACACAAACUAAUUAACUAGAGCGAUGUAUGGUAGUUCAUAUAAGGACUAGUAGUAUUAAUUAUAAUUGAACACAAACAUUGUCAUCGUCAAUCACUAUUCCUCAUUGAAAUUCCAAUCUUCAUAUUCAGUGAUGAAGCACCCGAGCUUCUUGAAAGGAUUCAUGUCCAGACCCUGAGCGACUAGCACAUCUCGGACAGUCUCCCGCCUCAUUGGCCCAUGGUAGAACAUCCCUCCUUGUUCGACGACCUGCUUCAUGAUCACCCGGGCAAGUUCACACUGGAUGUGAUAAAACUCAGCUCGGAUUUGAUGAUCCGGUGUGCUUCCUAUGCUUGUGGCCCAGUUGAGAAUAUCAGCAUCACCGGAAUUAGAUGACAUGCGAAGGCAUUGUCUAUCCCUUCUGAACUCGAUCACGUGAUGCAUGAGGUAGAAUCCAUCAGCCCUACUACCAUUUGGUUGCUGGAUGCACUAGAAGUUGGUCUUAUGGCCGAAAGCCGGCACUUUGUUCCUGUACUUUUUCACCUUGAUAUAUCCACCAGUAAGGCUGUAGGAGAAAAUGGCACCAUUGAGAACAUUCUUUAUGUGCGUGUAAUCCUUCUUCUUGAUGUUCAUCGAUGAGUCCAAGUAUAGAGCAUAGGAGUAUUGAGCGUACAAACAGAUGAGGACGCCCCCCCCGCCGCGCAAAAUAAGCGGAGCUCAAAUUAUCCUCCAUGCUUGCAAAGGAAUGAUCAAAACUUACGAAAGGAUAUCCACGGAUAACUUACAUGGGAUGAUAAGGCAAGAUAAUAAUUUCCUUGUCCUUAUUAGCGAGCAUGAAGUCACUGAUGUACUUGCUCGCAGAGUCCCGGUGCUCUUGGCACUCUGCCAACAAGCUCUCAUGCAUAUAGUACGGGUCUGCGACGCACAUAUAUUCUAUGUUCUCGCGCCUGAUGAUGUAGUUGAGAUGCAGCGCAUACAGGCGGAUGAACGAAAAAUCCAACUUGGUCAGGUGGAACAUGUCGUAGAUGUAGUCAAAUCGCAGGAUGAACUUGUCCACGGGCGAUGUGUCGACGUAUCCACUCGCACCCGGAACCUGAACCGGGUAAAGCUGGUAUCCUGGUUUUUUUUAGCUGAGAAGUUUCUUCUCUGUGGCCAGCACAUCACCAUGAAGUCUCCUUAGAUCAUUGUUCUUUAUGCUCACUACCACUUUCUGAGGUAGGAUCGGGUGGCCGGCGACAUGGAAACGCUCCGGACCUUCGACAAGUAUCCUGUCUACCUCCCGGGGUUGCGGCUGGCUGCUUGAAGCAGCUCUGGCACCUUUACAACCUUUCUUUUCCGAUCUCCUCCUUGGCUUCUUGGCGGGUGGCGGUAGUGAGCCNNNNNNNNNNNNNNNNNNNNNNNNNNNNNNNNNNNNNNNNNNNNNNNNNNNNNNNNNNNNNNNNNNNNNNNNNNNNNNNNNNNNNNNNNNNNNNNNNNNNNNNNNNNNNNAGCGUCUUCGGGCUAAUUAUCAGUGGACGGCCCCUGUGUUAUUCUUGCUGGGUAGAGGCGAUAUCUGGAAGCAUCUCCUGCAAGGAUUGCAUGAAGAGAGACUUUUUGCAAUCAGUCGUCGGACGUUCCGGCUCUGGCAAAUCAGGCAUCAUCAAGUCAUCUGCACGCUCAUAGUCUGAGUCAUAUUGCUAAGCAUCGUCACAGCCGGUAUUGAUAUACUGGUUAGGGUCCUCAUCCUCCUCCUCCUCCAUGACAUCAUCAACAUUUGCUUCUUCGAUGGGGGCGACGUCAUCUCGCACUAAUGGAGGCUCUCCCUCACCGCGUCAUCCGCUAUCUCCCCCCACGCCAGGUGCAGGUAAUUGGGUAGGUGGGGUGGUGUUCAUACCUUGUUGAUGAGUUGUCGUUGGUGUGCUACCGGGCGCCUUGACACGAAGGUGAGUCUUCGGCCAAGGCAAGAACCAACUCUUGCAUGCGCCAAUCAAUUGAGGGGUCUCGUCAUCACCGGCUGGUGCCGGAAGAGACAAAUCCUCGAAGCCCGCUUUGACACUGGCCACACAAACUUUGAAGACGCCAUGGGGCAUAUGCUUGUUGUGGAGCAUGCAGUCCUUCGGCUUUGUUUACGUUGCCUUUCCCACGUCGACCUUCUGGUCGUUGAUAUCAUACAGUAGGGUGCACGGGGUUUCGUCGGCCUACAAAGACAUGACUGCGAUGUCAGACAUCCGAAAGGCAACUGAAACGAAAGACUAUAUAGAUAUGCUUAUGACUAGUGUAUGACGCGUAGUUACUGUGAUGGCGUCGAGCUCAGCCAAAGAAGAAGCCCCGCCGAGCACACCAGAGACAGAUGACGGGCUCCUAUGAACCAGAGCGAGACCAGCUACGAGAGCAUUUGUGGUUGCGUGAGCAGGUGCUGGUGGUGCGAUGUUCGCCAUAUUGCUCCCGACAAAGCUGAGUAGUGGAAAGUCCUCUGCCCAUGCUUGUGGAUUCCUCCUCACAUACUCAAAAACUGUCAGAACCAAUCGGCCCAAGGAAGCUGCCACACGUGCAUUGACCUUAUCGUCGACUACCUUAGUCAACUCUUCUUUGGUCUGAUCGACCGCCCGUGCGACCUUGGUAUCAUGAACUCCCUCGGCCUAUCGUGGUAGCAUUUCUUCCACGAGGUGCCAUCUCUUCUUUCUUUCCUCCGGCCUAUCGUGGUAGCAUUUCUUCCACGAGGUGCCAUCUCCGACGCCGUGCACACGUCCACCCGACGGAGGUUUGUCCACUGAGACAUUUUUCAGUAUGUUCAUGGCCCGGUUGAACGGGUUGUCCCACUUGGGCCUCGCCGAAGACUGAGACGACUCGUCGCUUUCGGCUGCCUUUUGGUGCUACUCUUUCUGCAGAAGGAACGUGGAUGGUUUACAAAUGUGACAAAACUAGUUGUCAAAUUAAUUAGAAGCUAAUUAAUAUAAUUAAGGUGGUAAUACAACAAUUACCAGUAGUCUCAUGAACUCCCUCGUGCUCGGGUCCGUGUAAAAGAUCUUCUUGACGGGGUCCCACUUGUGCCUGGCCCUGAUCCAGUCAUGCUCCAGCGGGUCGGUGAACUCCGCCAAGGGGUCUGGAAUUCCGUGACUUUCACGUUCGGCGUCCUCCUUGGCUCAUGUGCUCCUCUUCCUCUCGUAACCACGGCUUCCGAGGCGGUGGGCAGGCGUGUUCCUGGCUUGGAGCCCCUUCAUUUUCUCCGACUUUUCCUGGGCUUCUUUAGGGUUUAGGGUUUAGGGUUCAUUUCUCCGACAAAAUGCAUGCAUAUAAAAAUUUGGCAUGACCUUGCCUAAAAAUAGGACAUAUCGAGUUUACUCGCAAUUCAUCGAAACGGAAAUAAAUCGACAUUUCAGCAAAACAUAAGCAACUCACGGGUCAUGUCACUCACACAAUAUCCCUUCAUAUCGCAAACACACAUAUUCCCAUUAUUGAAAUGCACAAGUUUUUACUCACCUAUAUAUAUCUCGAGAGAGAUUGUGCAUGGCUAAAUAAUGGAGAGGUAAAAAUGGUGGAGAAGUAAAUUAGAGAGAGGAAAGGAUAAAGGUGGGGAUAGGGCAAGGGGGGGAGGGGGAGAGGGGGUGUGUGUGGGUGAAAUGAGGGCAACAAUGGUGGAGGAAAGGAGAAAGGAGGGGAUAGGGAAAGGGGGGGGGAAGNNNNNNNNNNNNNNNNNNNNNNNNNNNNNNNNNNNNNNNNNNNNNNNNNNNNNNNNNNNNNNNNNNNNNNNNNNNNNNNNNNNNNNNNNNNNNNNNNNNNAGUUGAUACGUCCAUUUUGCAUCAUGCUUUCAUGUUGAUAUUUAUUGCUUUUUGGGUUGUUAUAUUACUUGUGGUACCAUAUUUAUGCCUUUUCUCUCUUAUUUUGCAAGGUUUAUUUGAAGAGGGAGAAUUCAGGUAGCUGGAAUUCUGGACUGGAAAAGGAGCAAAUCCUAGUCCACUAUUCUACAUAUCUCCAAAUGCCCUGAAAAGUUACGUGGAUUUUUUCUGGAUUAUAUAAAAAAUAUUGGGCGAAAGAACUACCGGAGGGGGGCCACCAGGGCGCAGGGCAAGCUUGUGGGCUGCCUGAAGGCCCACUAGCUCCCCUCUUUUGCUAUAUGAAGCAUCCUGGUCCACAAAAAAUCAAUCGGGAGCUUUUUCGUGGUUUCACCGACGCCACGAGGCGUAACUUGAGCAGAUCCAAUCUAGAGCUCCGGCAGGACGAUCCUGUCGGGGAAACUUCCCUCCCGGAGGGGGGAAUCGUCGCCAUCGUCAUCACCAACACUCCUCUCGUCGGAAGGGAGGCAUCUUCAUCAACAUCUUCAUCAGCACCAUCUCCUCUCCAAUCCCUAGUUCAUCUCUUGUAACCAAUCUUCGUCUCGCGACUCCGAUUGGUACUUGUGAGGUUGCUAGUAGUGUUGAUUACUCUUUGUAGUUGAUGCUAGUUGGAUUACUUGGUGGAAGAGUUUAUGUUCAGAUCCUUGAUGCUAUUCAUUACACAUCUGAUCAUGAUUAUUAUUAUGUUUUGUGAGUAGUUACUUUUGUUCCUGAGGGCAUGGGAUAAGUCAUGUUAAUAAUAGUCAUGUGAAUUUGAUAUUCGUUCGGUAUUUUGAUAUGUUGUAUGUUGUUUUUCCUCUAGUGGUGUUAUGUGAACGUCGACUACAUAACACUUCACCAUAUUUGGGCCUAGAGGAAGGCAUUGGGAAGUAGUAAGUAGAUGAUGGGUUGCUGGAGUGACAGAAGCUUAAACCCCAAUCUAUGUGUUGCUUCGUGAGGGGUUGAUUUGGAUCCACUAGUUUAAUGCUAUGGUUAGGCUUUGUCUUAAUUCUUCUUUUGUAGUUGCGGAUGCUUGCGAGAGAGGUUAAUCAUAAGUGGGAUGAUUGUCCAAGUAAGGGUAGUACCCAAGCGCCGGUCCACCCACAUAUCAAACUAUCAAAGUAACGAACGUGAAUCAUAUGAACAUGACGAAACUAGCAUGACAGAAAUUCCCGUGUGUCCUCGGGAGCGUUUUUCCUCCUAUAAGACUUUGUUGAGGCUUGUCCCUUGCUACAAAAGGGAUUGGGCCACUUGCUGCACCAUUGCUACUACUUGUUACUUGUUACUCUUUGCUUGCUACGUUUCACCUUGCUACACAAUCACUUGUUACCGCUACUUUCAAUGCUUGCAGUUAUUACCUUGCUGAAAUCCGCUUAUCAGAGCCUUCUGCUCCUCGUUGGGUUCGACACUCUUACUUAUUGAAAGGACUACGAUUGGUCCCCUAUACUUGUGGGUCAUCACAGGUCUGCUCCAAAGUCCAAGUCCACUGCUCCCAAGACCAAAAAUCCAGUAGCUCCUAAACCCAAAAGGACUACUAGGGAUAUACCUGCAGUAGAGAAGAACAAAGGCUCUGCAUCCAGACAUGCUACUGUAGAGGAGGAAGAAGAUCUUUCUGUUUUGAGAAAGUUGAGAGCUCACCUGCCAGAUAAUGAUGAUACUCAUCCAGUGGUAAAGGACAUGAAGAAGAGAAGGGAUCAAGGUCUGAGAUUGUGGAGAGCAGCAUAUCCCUAUGCUGUUAGGAGAAGAAUGAUUGUUGAUGGUCGCUUUCAUACCAAGGAGCAACAAAAUUUCUAUGAGACUGUGCUUUUGAACAAGAGUCCUGCAAUGAGUGAUAUGAGAUAUGUAGACUAGGACUACAUCAAGGAACAUGAGGACUACGUCCCUCAUGUGAGGGAGAAUUUCACGGCUAUUGAUAUUGAAGACUUUUCGGAAGGAAGAUGACUACCUGGAAUGAUGAGAUGAUCAUGCAAUUCUACCCCACUGCACGUUUUUAUCCUGAUGGUAGAAUUGUUUGGAUGACUGAAGUUCACAUAUAUGAGUCAGCAUUUGAGGAGUGGGCUGAAAUCAUUGGUGCCCCACAAGCCCAAGAGGGUGUGUUGGAUGUGUACUCUGAAUCCAAAAUGAACCGUAAUUAUAUGGCUAACGUGUACAAUUCAGUGCCCCAGCAAUACGUGAAGACACCCAAGUUUGGCUCUAUCUAUCUUUUGCAAGCUGGGAUACCUACCACAAAGAACAUUAUGAGGUACACCCUAAUGCCCAAAUCAGGAGAUGAUAAAAUAAACAGAGGGUAUUCCAUCAACAUAUUGCACCACAUUGACACCCAAACAAGGAUUGGAGUGAUGGAUCUGAUAGUUGAGACUGCCACGAAGACAACCGCAGAUCAAAAGAGAUCUUGUGGAUAUGCUCCAUAAAUUCAGAUGCUCAUCAAUGCCAAGACUGGGAUGCAUAUCUACUUGAUCGUCCUCACAUGCCACUUUAGCCAGAGUUCGAAGACAAUGAAGUAGUGAUGGACCCAAGCCAUCCUAGUUCAGCUACAGCUCGUGCAGACGCAGAGGCAACAACAGAGGCAGAGGCAGCCAGAGCAGCUCGAGUACCAGAGCUAAGGACCACAGAGGAGCAUAUGUCUUUUCUUGUCAGCACCAUCCAAGGGAAGGAGAAGAAUAUCUAUGAAAUCUUGUUGAACCAUAAAAGUCUUGAGAGGAUCCUGGAGACAAAAUUCCAUAACCUCGAUGUUAAAGUGACAGAGUUUUUUUUCGAACCGGGAUCCUCCCCUUUCCAUUAUAUCAUAACGGAAAUACAAUGUCUUUUGGACCAGAACCAUAGAAAGAAGGGAAAGGAAAGAAGCGAGCUCGUGACAAUACCAGGAAACCCACCAUCUACGCGUGUCAUCAGGAACGUAGACUGUGGGGCGAAAACCUAGUAUCAUCAAAAGCCACGCAAAGCAAACUAGCCUACCAACUUAAAAGUACCACUAGAACAUCCCCAUACAACAUAUCGCCAACCCGGCUCGAAAGUGCAAAAGCGAAAUGACCAAAUUGAGAUCACACAUAGAUAUAGCUAUUCUGGUUGCCACCAGCCCAUUUAGCAACGCCAUCAACUCUCCUUCCAGCUUCACCUGUAUCACCACUUCUCCCAACCUUCUUCUUCAUCAGCUUCUUCAGUAGCUUCCGGCAUCAGAGGCCCGCACAGCAACAACAUCUGAGAUGCAUUUUCUUUCAGCAUUUCAGCACCUUUUUUGACCACCUCCAUCAUCGCAGGCUAGUGUAAGCCUGCCCAGUAUUUAAGAAAUGCACAAGCUGUAAAAACAAUCUCAAAAGGGGUAUUGAUCCAUUUCCUCUCGAAUGUGGCACGAUUCCGGGCCAACCACAUUGCCCAGCAGAUCGCAGCUAAGCCAACGGUAUAAGCAUCACAAAAGCCAUGUAAAAAAGCAUACAUCCACGCAUAAAACUUCCAUAUAGAGUUUGGAACAUAACUAGUUCCAAACAUAGCCCCCACAGUUCUCCAAACUACCCUGGCUACUGGACACAAAAAAGUAAGUGUUGUGCCGAUUCUGGUUGUUCACAGAAUGAACAUUUAGGACCCCCUGCCAUUGUCGUUUCUUCAUGUUGUCUCUAGUAAGAAUAUAAUCCUAGCAAAGUUGCCACAAGAAGAUUUGUAUCUUUAGAGGGAUCUUAGCCCCCAAAUCCAUUUAUAACAAGAUACAGCAAGGUUUUUUUCAACCACCUGUACAUAGAUUUGGUUGAGUAUUCUAUGGAGUUGUCCAACUUCCAGUAUAUCUCAUCAUCCUUAUCUUUAUCAAUCUUGUUCAACACGUACCAUUUCAUCUCAUUCCACUUUUGAAGCAGUUCACUGGACAAUCUUCUUCUAAAUGAAGAAAGAUGGUUCAUAUUAUUCAUCUUGUCCACAAUACAUUCCUUAUCCAUACAAAUUUCAAAUAAUUCAGGGUAUUUGUCUUUUAAAAGGAAGUUAUCCCCUAGGUCAUCUAGCCAAAGGCUAGCUAUAUUUCCUUUAUUCAGCUGGAUCCCUCUACCAGCCAUAUAGUGAUCUUUGACUUUUAAUAUUGCUUUCCAACAUGGGGAGUCAUUAGCUUUCUGUUUGACCCUAGCCACUGAGGAUUUUUUAAGAUAUUUAGCUUUCACAAUAUCCUUCCAUAGUCCUUACUUUUUUUUAAGUUUCCACCACCAUUUUGCCAGCAGGCUAAUAUUUUGUUUCCUCAAAUCCUUUACCCCCAAUCCCCCUUUCAUCUUGGAUCUGCAAACACGAGUCCAUUUCACCAUAUGAUAACAUUUCCUCCCAUUACGAUGCCAAAUUUUUUUUGCUCCUAGGCUUGUCCCAUCUUUCUAGAGUAGUUUUCUUAAUUAAGAACAUGGACAUAUAAUAGGAUGGAAUGUGUGACAGCACGACAUUAACUUUAAUAAGUCUGCCUCCGCUAGACAAGGUUUCGCUGAUCCAGGUUUCCCCAACGCUAGUAAAUUUAUCAUCAACAAACAACCAAUCAUUGCCCUUAAGGCCGGCAUAGCUGACAUGCAUGCCCAAGUAUUUAAUGGGAAAAGAUCCAAUUUCACAGUUAAACAUUUCAGCAUAAUUUCUCAUUGUUUCAUCAUCAGCACCAACUGAAAAAAUCUCACAUUUCAGAAAAUUGAUCUUUAGGCCUGACAUAAUCUCAAACAGAUACAUCAACAGUUUGAUAUUAAGAGCGUUUCUAGGGUUAUCUUAAAAGCAUAAGAUGGUGUCAUCGGCAUAUUGUAAUAUAGCUACCCCAUGUUUCACUAAGUCUGCUGCUAAUUCUGUAAAUAAGCCAUUUUCCUGCGCCUUAAGGACCAUCUUUGUGAGGCAAUCGGCUGCCAAAUUAAACAGGAAGGGACAGAAGGGGUCACCCUGUCUCACCCCUUUGGCACUUUGGAAGUAUUCCCCCACCUCAUCAUUCAACUUCACGCUGAUAGUGCCCCCCACAAAGAUUUUCUUAACCCAAUCUAUCCAUUUGGUGUUAAACUUCCUUUUUCUAUGACAUUCUAAUAGGAAGUCCCAAUUUACUUUGUCAUAAGCUUUUUCAAAAUCGAGUUUGAGCACAAUCCCAGGUUUCUUAUGAGCAUAGGAGUGGUGCAGAAUUUCAUGAAGCGACAUAAUUCCAUCCAUGAUAUCCCUUUUCUUAAUGAAAGCAUUUUGGUGACUACUAAACAUAAUAUCAACAAAAGGUUCCAACCUAAUAGUAAGCACUUUAGUAAUCAGCUUGUAUACACAUCGAAGCAAGCAUAUAGGUCUGAAUUGUUGCAUUUUAUUAGCACCGGCCACCUUGGGAAGCAAAGUUAUAAUACCAUAGUUAAGCCUCUCCACAUCAAGCUUGUUCUCGUAAAACCACUCAAAAAGGAACAUCACAUCCUUAUUUACAAUAUCCCAGCAGUGUUGAAAAAAUUCAAUUGGAAUGUUAUCGGGACCAGGCGCUUCAUUAUGUUUCAUAGAAAACAAAGCAUUUUUAAUCUCCAUGUCUGAAAAGGGUCUCAAGAGAAUAAAAUUCUCAAUAUCACCCAACUUUUCCUUCUCUACCCACAUAUUACUGUCAAUCCCGCACAAGUUUCCAAGAGCCAGUCCAAAGAGCUCUUUGUAAAAAUCACUGGCGUGUUUAAGUAGAUUCUUGUUUCCUUCUAUUACCGUAUCUCCAUAAUUAAGCGAAAGAAUUGUAUUCCUCCUCCUUCUACCAUUCACCGUCCUGUGGAAGUACUCAACAUUUCUAUCACCCUUCAACAACCAAUUUUCAUGAGAUUUUUGCAACCAAGCUACCUCCUUUUCUAAUAAGAGGUUAUUCAACUCAACUAGAAGUUCAAGCUUUUUACAGUAAAGCGCAGGGCUCAAGGUAUCUGUUUCUUGCAACUACUCAAGGUAUCCCGGUUCCUCUCUCAGCCACUUUCUUCUCUUUCUGUCCUUACCAAAGUUAUCUGAGCCCCAACCUUUGAAAUAUUUCUUAAAUCUUUUCAACUUAAUGUUCAUAAUGUCAAUAGGAUUGUCAGAUUGCACAUGUUUCAUCCAAACUUUGGCCACAAGAGGCAGAAAAAACAGGUUUAUGUAACCAGUUUAGAUCAAAUUUAAAAUCUCUUUUACCAUUAAGAAUAGGCACAUUAUCAUCAGUAUUAAGGAUCAAGGGACAGUGAUCCAAGAUCUCUCUCACAAUCUUCUUGACAAAGGUAAAAGGGAAAACACUCCCAAGAUUUGGAAAUGAGAAUUCUAUCCAAUUUUUCUAAGGUUGGUUCCCGCUGAUUAUUAGACCAAGUAUACAUGCCACCACUCAUAUCUACCUCUUGCAAGGAAAGAGGAUUGAUAAUGGAAUUGAAAAGACCCGAGGAAUGACCCAACUUGACUUUCUUAUUCUUCUCAUUAGUAAAUAUAAGGAUAUUAAAGUCACCUCCUACAAUAUAAGGGCAUGAUAUAUCUCCACGCAUCGCUGCAAGUUCUGUAAGGAAUUCAAUCUUAAAUUCUUCGUGCGCAGAUCCAUAAACCACCAGAAUACACCAGUUCAUUUUCAAGGUUUUGUCCCACAACUCAAGUUUCAUAACAUACUUACCCACAGUACAAUUCACCAAAUCAAAGAAAUUAUUCCUAUAUCCACAUAAGAUACCUCCCGACUUCCCUUCCGAUGGAAUCCAAUUCCAACAAAAAACAUCCCCAGGAUCAAAUUUCCUCAAGAAUUUAGAGGAAAAAUAUUUCUUCAUAAUUUCCUGAAUCCCAACAAAAUCAAGUUUAUACUGUCUAAUCAGAUCAGACAAAUAUGUCACCAUGCCUCUAUUCCCAAUCCCCCUACAAUUCCAAAAUAGACUAGUCAUUUUUUCUUAUUUUUUGGAGAUUGAGCUUUGUUGCCAGGUUUGCCAGGAGCCAUGGCCUUACCUGCAACUCUACUCAACUUCUAAUUUUGAAUUCUAGUCAGAGGUUUAGAUAUCAUGACAUUCACUUUCUUUCUUUAUUUUUUCCUGGAUCUAACAACUGUAAAAUCAUCAUCAUCCAAGGUCCCCUCCUCCACCCAAGUUGUGUUCAAGGGAGAUGAUUCUCCAGCAGCAUUGGUGAUAAACAACAUUUUAUCUUGCUGCUCUUCGUUUUUAUCUAUAUUUUUUGCAAUAUUAGUCCUAGAUAUUUCAAAUUCUCUAAUAGUACCUAUAGUAGCAAAGUUAUCAUCAGGGAUAUUCACACGCAUUUGAGUAGCAGUAGAAAUAAUCUCUAAAUUUGAUAAAACUUCAAAGUAGUUAUGAGGAGACACUUCCUUACCUUGCAAAUUUCUCUUUUUAGUCAUCUUCUCAGCCCUGAUGCCCACAUGCUCCAUAUUGAUCCCCGCGGUCCUUUUACUGAACCUAGUUUGUACUUCCUCCACAGCAGGUGGUGUAGGAAUCACCUCUACAUUCUCAUUAGAUGUACCAGGAGAUUGCACAGAGUAAGUAUGAACUUUUUGCUGACAGGAAUAGUCACUAGGGUCCAUUUCAGUCACCACAGGUUCCCCCACACAUGCUUCCAAGUAAGAUGAAAAAACUUUGCCAGAAACAGUACUCGGAACAAUUUGCAUUGAGUUCACCACAAAUUUAUCAUAGGAAACAGUAGCAGGGUACACAUUUUCCUCCCCCCUUAGCCUGAUUUUUUUCUGCUUCCUCAGCCAUAGUAUCAAUGAGCAGCUCAUUGACCACUUCCUCACUCUCAUCCUCAGAUUGAACCUCUUCACUGUCAUUUUGUGUUUUUUCUUCCUCCACCACUUCCUCUAAUGGUGCCAUAUUCAUAUUUUUCACAUUUCUUCCCCCAGCCAUCCCCAGAGGAUCCAAAGACUCCCCCAUAGUAGAUGAGGAGGCAAUAUGACCUUCUGGAUGCUUAUCAUCAUUAAACCUAGCCCUUUUUGGUGAGGUACCCCCAUCAGUCUCUUGCUGCACAUUUAUUUUCUCCUGGGGUGGACUUUUCACAAGGAUCUUAUCAACAGAAAAGAAGAAGUCAUAGAAGUGCCCUCCUAACACUCCCUCUGCAGAAGCAGGGAUAUCCUCUGCAUCUCUGCAUCCCAGCUUAAUUCUCACAGAUUCAGGUAUAUUAAUCGUCGUCUUAUCAAUCUCCAACGUGACCCCAACCAGAGAUCCCACAUACGCAAUAUUCUUCUCAUGUCUUUUAUCUAGAGGUAUAUUGCUAACGUUUACCCAAGCAACAUUAAGAACACCCUUGGCACCCACAGAUUCAGACCACUUCCUCAGGUUAAUAACUGCACCACAACUUUUUAUGUUCAUGCUCUCAGCAAAGCAGGCCUUGUCCACAUCUCUGGGAGAAGGGAACCUCAUCACAAAUGUAUUUGGCCCAAUGGAUCUAGCCAAGCAUCUCGAAUUAGUAUUAAUGUAAGCAUUAAAAAAAAUCCUCUAACUGCCUUGCAGAUGCAUGCCCUUCUACAACCGAUAUCACAAUGAACCUAUUCCUAUCAGUGUUCUGGUUUGGUGUGCCAUGAUCAUGAUUAUAGAAGAAUCCCUUCCCCACAGCCUGAAAUCCACACAUCGGAGCCACAUAAUCCCAAGGGAGCACAAUAUUGCAAAUCGACACCAAAUGACCAUGAUUCCCACAUCUACCACAAAUAGCACGCGGACAUCAAACAAGCAAAUGUCCAGAUUCCUUGCAUGUGAUGCAAACCUGAGCGCCUCCCACUAGUGGGGAAGCAUUCCUCUUGCCGGGAGUAGGAUGACGACGCUCUUGAGCUUGAUGCAGGAUUUGUUGCUGAUGAGGGUCUUGUUGACGACCUCCCGCAGCACCUCCAGCUACGGUCUGGUUGAUGUUGUCGCCCCACUUCUCCGAUCCGCGGCCACCACCUUGCGUCUCCAUGGCCGCCGCUUCCCAUCUCGCCUUGCCGGACGGCCCCUGUCGUGGAUCCACGUUGGAAGAGUUCUAACCGCCGUCGUCGAUGUCUUGCAUCCACACCAUGUUGUGGCCGCCUCCACCCCUGCCGCGGUCACGGCCUCCGUCGCGACCAAAUCGACCACCACCACCACCGCACCCGAAGCGCCCCUCGCUGCCACCAUCCCCGCGGAAUCCACGGUUGCCCAUCUCCCGCCCCGCCAUGGACUGAGUCCGCGGUGGCGAGGCAACAACUUGCGUGAAGUAUCUACUAUCUCCUCCUACUUUCCCUCCCACCAACUGAAGGAAGAUGAAACCCUAGGUGGCAAAACCCUAGUCCCCCCCCCAGAAGUGGUGAAAGACGGAGGCGAGAUCUGGAAUGGGGGAAACGAGGGGUGCGGACGAGGCUAUCUCCGGAACCCUAGCCUCACGCCCUGUAGCUAGCGGGCCCUCGUGGGUCAGGGCCGAGGCACCCCCAGGUCCAGCCGCAUGCAACCCGUGCCUAGGCCCGAGAACACCCGUUUCGGUCGAACGCUGCGGCACACGGCUACGUAGCGGCACAUGCACGCUUCCGACGGUCACCUCCUCCUGCGUGCUGGCUCGUGGCGUCGUCGGUGGCGAGGGUCGGCGCCGGGAACCCGCGUGCGGCGAGGGAGAGGAGAGAGACGUGAUAAAAUCCAUCUAGACAGAGUUGGCUACCAUUGUUGACCACGUGAAACAUGAAGUUGAUGUAGUGCACAGACCUCGCUCCAGUAGUGAUGAUGAUGAUGAUUCGUCUCUUCCCACAACUACUCAGUUCAAGACCUAGAGCAGAUCUACACCUAUGCCAGUUCUGGGAGCCAAACCAUCUUCACCGGCUCAAGCUUCAACACCUUCAGCUCCUUCAACUCCACCAGCUCAUGCACCUCCAAUGUCAACACAUCCACCUUAGAGGAUAUCCGUUGAAUCCUUUGUCGACGCUCUUCUAUCAACUCCAUCAACUGCUACCGGAGGAGAUCGUGCCUAGAGAGACGCGUGGUUCUAGACUUUUGAACUUUUUUGGCUUGUUGCCAAAGGGGGGAAGUGUAUAGAUCAUUAGGACUUUGAGUGAGAGAGAGUGUUUCUUUUUAUCACUCUCUUGGUUUUUCAAAAACAUUUGGUCCUUUGGAUGUCUCAAACAACUUUGGGUUUGAUCAUACGCUUUGAUUGUUUAUGCUACUACUUAUCUUUGAGCUAUCUACAUUAUGAUCAUUCACUUAAUUGUUUGGUGUUUUGUGCAUUACUAUCAAUUCAUAUCAUUUAUGCGCACCACCAAGUUGUAUGUGACAUGGAAGAGUAACCCAUGAUCCCAAUCCAUUGUGCAUUUGCAUUCAAAGCAAAUUUAAAAUAAUGCACAAAUUUAGGGGGAACUCUUGUUUUUCACAUACUUCUCAAAGCGACGAUGAUAAUCAUUGAUUAUACCUUUUGUCGAAGCUUUGAUCUAUAUGUUGUCAUCGAUUAGCAAAAGGGGGAGAUUGAAAGCACAAUUGCUCCCUAAGGUGGUUUUGGUAAUUAAUAACAACAUAUGUAUCAUUGAAAUAAUGAUUCUAUCCAUGUAUAUUUCACAAAAGUUCAAAGAUGCCUUGGCUAAAGGAUUGUGAGGAGAAACCCCUUGAUGGAAGGAAAGGAAUAGGAUUGUCCAAGCUUCAAGCAAGAAGACUCUACAUUUUAUAUUUGUGAGAAGUCACAUUUGAGUCCAUAGGAAAGCCAAUACUAUUAAAAGGGGAUGUUGUCUCUAUGAUGAAUUGGUUACUCAAGUGCUUAGAGAUAGCCACAAAAAAUACUGAGGCAUUCUCCCGCAAAAGUUAUUUGUCCAAAGCCUACACAUCAAAAUCUGUGUCACCAACACUCUCCACUUGGCCCUACUGAAUUUUCCACCAGAUAGAACCUUUGACAAACCCUAGAAUCUCGAUACCACCAACUUCCAUUUUGGUGCCACCGAAAAUAGUGACCAACCUUCUGUUAAUCGAUUUUAAGAAUCGAAAUUUCUGAGUUUUGAAAUUGGUCUCACCGAGUUAGGAAACUACCCUAAGUCGCUAUAUCGGUACCACCAAGAUUUCUAUAUCGGUCUCACCAAGAAUUCGAAAGUUGCCACAUUUUGUGCAAAUCGGUGCCACCGAUAUUUACUUAGGUUUCACCGAGUUGGGAAAUAAUGUUGUAACGGUUGGAUUUUUGGGGAUCCCUAUAUAUACCCCUCCACCACCUCUAACUCGUAGAGUAAGCACUCAUAACACACUUACACUUGCCAUAUCCAUAUUUCUGAGAGAGAUCCACCUACUCAUAUGUUGAGAUCAAGAUAUUCCAAUCCAUCCAUUUGAAACUUGAUUUCUAGCCUCCCUAAGUUGCUUUCCACAAGAUUAAUCUAUCCUACCCAUUCCAAAUCUGUGAGAGAGUGAUUGAAUGUCGAGGAGACUAUCUCUUGAAGCACAAGAGCAAGGAGAUCAUCGUUCUACCGCAUCUAUUACCUUUUGGAGCGUGGUGCCUCCUAGAUUGGUUAGGUGUUGCUUGGGAGCCUCCUAGUUUGUGUUGUGGAGUUGAACCAAGAAGAUCGUAAGGGCCAGGAGAUCGCCUACUUCAUGAAGAUCUACCCUGAGUAAAGCUAGUCCUACGUGAACGUAAGCCAUGGUGGAAUAGACAAGGCCGCUACUUCUUGGACCCUGCUACGGCAACAGACAACAGCGCCAGAAAUUGGCACGUUGACGGAGACUUGGCUUGCGCUGGUUUUUCCCUUGAAGAGGAAAGGGUGAUGCAGCAUAGGAGCAGUAAGUAUUUCCUUCAGUUUGAGAACCAAGGUAUCAAUCCAGUAGGAGAAUCGCGUCAAAUCCAGAGUACCUGCGCAAACACAAAAGAGCUUGCACCCAACGCUAUAAAGGGGUUGUCAAUCCCUUCAAGAUUGAUUGCAAAGUGAGAUCUGAAGGCGGAAAGUGCAACGAAUUAAAAGUGUAAGGCUGAAAAUAUGAUGUGAAGUAGACCCGGGGGCCAUAGUGUUCACUAGAGGCUUCUCUCAAAAUAGCAAAUAUUAUGGUGGGUGAACAAAUUACUGUCGAGCAAUUGAUAGAACCGCGCAAAGUNNNNNNNNNNUGAUAUCUAAGGCAAUGAUCAUACAUAUAGGCAUCACGCCCGAGACAAGUAGACUGAUACUUUCUGCAUCUACUACUAUUACUCCACACAUCGACCGCUAUCCAGCAUGAAUCUAGUGUAUUGAGUUCAUGACGAACAGAGUAACGCCUUAAGCAAGAUGACAUGAUGUAGAGGGAUAAACUCAAACCAAUGAUGAAAACCCCAUCUUUUAUCCUUGAUGGCAACAACAUGAUGCGUGCCUCGCUACCCCUUCUGUCACUGGGUGAGGUCACCGCAUGGUAUGAACCCAAAACCAAGCACUUCUCCCAUUGCAAGAAUCAUAGAUNNNNNNNNNNUACACUUGAUGGCAACAACACGAUGCGUGCCUCGCUACUCCUUCUAUCACCGGGUGAGGUCACCGCACGGUAUGAACCCAAAACCAAGCACUUCUCCCAUUGCAAGAAUCAUAGAUCAAGCUGGCCAAACAAAACCCACAACUCGAAGAGAAUUACAAGGAUAUGAAAUCAUGCAUAUAAGAGAUCAGAAGAAACUCAAAUAAGACUCAUAGAUAAUCUGAUCAUAAAUCCACAAUUCAUCGGAUCUCGACAAACACACCGCAAAAGAANNNNNNNNNNUUCAUAGAUAAUGUAGUCAUAAAUCCACAAUUCAUCGGAUCUCGACAAACACACCGCAAAAGAAGAUUACAUCGGAUAGAUCUCCAUGAAGAUCAUGGAGAGCUUUGUAUUGAAUAUCCAAGAGAGAGAAGAAGCCAUCUAGCUACUAGCUAUGGACCCGAACGUCUAUGGUGAACUACUCACGCAUCAUCGGAGAGGUCAUGGUGUUGAUGAAGAAGCCCUCCGUAUCUGAAUCCCCCCUCCGGCAGGGCACCAGAACGUGCCCCAUAUGGGAUCUUGCGGAGACAAAAGCUUGCGGUGGCGGAAAAGUAUUUUCGUGGCUCCCUUGAUUUUUUUUGGGAUUUUAGGGAAUAUAUAGGCGAAGGAGCUAGGGCAGAGGAGGCCCAGGGAGCCCACAAGCCUGGGAGGCGCCCCCCCCCCCCCUUGNNNNNNNNNNGACCCUCUGCCUUGGUUCUCAAGUCUCCCGAUCGUCUUCUGUUUCAGAAAAAAUCUUUUUGGAUGUUUUAUUCCGUUUGGACUCCGUUUAAAAUCCUCCUAUGAAAAGGGUCAAAAACACGGAAAAAACAGGAGCUGGCACUUGGCACUGAGUUAAUAGGUUAGUCCCAAAAAAUAUAUAAAAGGCAUACGAAACAUCCAAAGUUUGACAAGAUAAUAGCAUCAAACCAUCAAAAAUUAUAGAUAAGUUGGAGACGUAUCAGACCCCUUGUGGGUGGAUCCCUCCAUGGACUCUCGCAGUCAUUACCCUCCGUGAGUUGAAGUCUCCACUAACAUGGACGUACGAUAGCACCACCUAUCAGAACCAUGCCAAAGACCGUCAUGCCAACCUUUGUGUUUGAUCUUCCUUCCCUACUCUAUUUACAUAUGCUUGUCUUUACUUUUCGAUGCAAUACUCAUAGACAUGCAUGUGUAGGGUGUGCUUGACUUGCUACAAUUGCUAAAAUAUGCCAACCACUAAAAUUGGGAAAAGGCUAGCACUAGUAGGAAAAACCUUAUAGGUAGGAGCCUAGUAGUAGCGCUGGAAAAUAGCACGCGCUGCUGCUACUUAGCAGUAGCGCUGGAAAUAGGACGUGCUACUGCUAACUACCAUAGUAGUAGCGUUGGUUACAGUUCCAGCGCUACUGCUAAACGGGGCCCAACGAGGCCACCCACAGUAUCUGUAGUAGUAGCGCUGGACUGUAAAAAGCGCUACUGCUAAGUUCCAUAGCAGUAGCGCUUCCUUGGAACCAGCACUACUGCUCAAAGGGGCCCAACGAGGCCAUCGACAGCAGCUGUAGUAGCAGCGCUGGUUGGGGAAAAGUGCUACUACUAAGUGCAAUAGUAGUAGCGCUCCUCUGGAACCAGCGCUACUGCUACACGUGGUUGUGGGCAGCUUUUCACCCACACACACACACCCUCUCCCCUUCCUCCCCCUUUGCCCUCCUUUCUCCUUUCCUCCUGCAUUGUUACUUCUCCACCACUCUUGCCCUUCUUCUCUCUUCCUUCUACCUAUCACCCACACACACACCCUCUCCCCCUUCCUCCCCCCAUUUGCCCUAUCCUCUCCUUUCUCCUUUCCUCCACCAUUGUUGCCCUCAUUUAACCCACACACACCCCCUCUCCCCCUUCCCCCCCCCUUUCCCUAUCCCCUCCUUUCUCCUUUCCUCNNNNNNNNNNCGGAGACAGAAGCUUGCGCCGGCAGAAAAGUAUUUUCGUGCUUUCUUGAUUUUUUCUGGGAUUUUAGGGAAUAUAUAGGCGAAGGAGCUAGGGCAGAUGAGGCCCAGGGAGCCCACAAGCCUGGGAGGCGCGGGCCCCCCUGGCCGCGCCAUAAGAGCUUGUGGGGUCCCUGGUGACCCUCUGCCUCGGUUCUCAAGUUUCCCGAUCGUCUUCUGUUUCGGAAAAAAUCUUUUCGGAAGUUUUAUUCCGUUUGGACUCCGUUUAAAAUCCUCCUUUGAAAAGGGUCAAAAACACGGAAUAAACAGGAACUGGCACUUGGCACUGAGUUAAUAGGUUAGUCCCAAAAAAGAUAUAAAAGGCAUACAAAACAUCCAAAGUUUGACAAGAUAAUAGCAUGAAACCAUAAAAAAUUAUAGAUAUGUUGGAGACGUAUCAAGCAUCCCCAAGCUUAACUCCUGCUCGUCCUCGAGUAGGGAAGUGAUAAAGACUGAAUUUUUUAUGUGGAAUGCUACCAAGCAUAGUUGCCUUUGUAACUUCUUUCAUGUGACAUGAAUGUUCAGAUCCGUAAGAUUCAAAACAAUAGUUUGCUAUUGACAUGAAAACAAUAAUACUUCAAGCAAACUAGCAAGGUAAUCAUGAACUUUCGAAAUAACAAGGCCAAAGAAAGUUAUCCCUACAAAAAUCAUAUAGUCUGGCUAUGCUCCAUCAUCCCCCACACAGCUAAUUUAAAUCAUGCACAACCCCGGUAUUGGCCAAGUAAUUGUUUUCGCACUCUUACUUUCUCAAACCUUUUACAACUAUCAUGCAAUACAUGAGCGUGAGUCAUGGAUAUAGCACUAUAGGUGGAAUAGAGUGUGGUGGUGGUUGUGAGACAAAAAAGGAGGAGAUGGUCACACUGACUCGGGGUAUUAAAGGGUUAUGGAAAUGCCCAUUAAUAGAUAUCAAUGUGAAUGAGUAGGGAUUGCCAUACAAAGGAUGCACUAGAGCUAUAAGUAUGUGAAAGCUCAAAAGGAGAACUAGUGGAUGUGCAUCCAACUUGCUUGCUCAUGAAGACCUAGGGCAAUUUGAGGAAGCCCAUCAUUGGAAUAUACAAGCCAAGUUAUAUAAUAAAGAUUUCCACUAGUAUAUGGUGGUGACGAAACGAGAGGCUCUCAAUCAUGAAGAACAUGGUGCUUUUAUGAAGCACAAGUGUGGAAAAAGAUAGUAGCAUUGUCCCUUCUCUCUUUUUCUCUCUUUUUUUUGUUUGGGCUCUUUGGCCUCUUUUUAUUUUUUUUGGUGGGCAUCUUUGGCCUCUUUUUUUAUUAUUUACUCACAUGGGACAAUGCUCUAAUAAUGAUGAUCAUCACACUUUUAUUUACUCACAACUCAAUACUUAGAGCAAUGGUGACUCUAUAUGAAAUGCCUCCGAUAGUGUACCGGGAUGUGCAACGAUCUAACUUGGCGUAUGACGUUGAAACAUCUCGCUAGCUAUCUUACGAUCAUGCAAUGGCAAUAUGAGAGUGACGGCACAAGUCAUGAGACGGAACGGUGGGAGUUGCACGGCAAUAUAUCUUGGAAUGGCUAUGAAAAUGCCAUAGUAGGUAGGUAUGCUGGCUGUUUUGAGGAAGGCAUGUGGUGGGUUUGUGCACCGGCGGCAAUUGCGUGGUACUAGAGAGGCUGGCAAUGGUGGAAGGUGAAAGUGCAUCUAUACCAUGGACUCACAUUAGUCAUGAAGAACUCACACUUGUUGUGAAAGUUUUUAUUAGUAAUCGAAACAAAGUGCUAAACGCAUACUCCUAGGGGAAGGGUUGGUAGGUGUUAACCAUCGCGCAAUCCCGACCGCAACACAAAGGAUGACAAUCAAUAGAUCAAUUAUGCUCCGACUUCGUAACAUAGCGGUUCACCAUACGUGCAUGUUACGGGAAUCACUAACUUCAACACAAGUAUUUCUAGAUUCACAACACCCUUCUAACAUAACUCUUAAUAUUACCAAAUCCACGUCUCAAAACUAAUUGAGAGGAAUCAAACUUCUCUUUCUACUCAAUGCACAUGAAGAUGGAGGUUUUUGUAUCCCCUUUGGGUACCUAUCACGUUUUGGACUACUUUCAUAGCACAAGCCAACUACCAAGUUACGCACCGCCGUGCUCUAAAAGAUCUAAGUGAAGCACAUAGAGCAAAAUUAUCUAGCUCAAAAGAAAUAAGUGAAGCACAAUGAGCAUUCUAGCAAAAUCACGAUGAGUGCAUGUCUCUCUCAAAAGGUGUGCAGCAAGGAUGAUUGUGACACAACAAAAAGAAAAGACUCCUACGAUACAAGACGCUCCAAGCAAAACACAUAUCAUGUGGUGAAUAAAAAUAUAGCUCCAAGUAAUGUUACCGAUGGAUUGAAGACGAAAGAGGGGAUGCCUUCCCGGGGCAUCCCCAAUCUUAGGCUUUUUGAUGUCCUUGAAUUUGGCUUUGGAUGUAUUGGGUAUCCCCAAGCUUGAGCUCUUUCCACUCUUUAUCCCUUUGUCCAUGAGAACAUCACCGAAAACUUGAAAACUUCACAACACAAAACUUAAACAGAAACUCGUGAUAUCAUUAGCACAAGAAAACAAACUACCACCUCCUUUGGUACUGUAGCAAUAUUGAUUUCUAUUUAUAUUGGUGUUAGAUUACUGUAUUCUCACUUUUCCAUGGCUAGUACCCCCAGAUACUAUCCAUAGUUUCAUCAAAACAAGCAACCAACUCAACAAAAACAGAAUCUGUCAAAAACAGACCAGUCUGCAGCAAUCUGUAUACUUCGUAUACUUAUGGUACCUGCAAAAUUCUGAACAAUUACGACUGCCUGGGUAAAAGGCAUAUCAACCAGCAUAAAAAAGAAUCAACUCAAAAUCGCUUUCUGAAUAAAAUGAAAAAUAAUAUCGUGAGCCAAAAGUUUCUGUCUUUUUCCAGCAAGAUCAAACAACCAUCACCAAGACUAGUCAUAAAGGUUUUGCUUGGCUCAAACACAAAAGACACUAUCAAUACAGAAAUAUGAUGGUGUGGACGCAACAAAAUAGAAAGAAGAAGGUAAAUUCAUUGGGUUGCCUCCCAACAAGCGCUAUUGUUUAACGCCCUUAGCUAGGCAUAAAGCGAUAGAAUCACGUAUCGUCGUCUUUGGUGCUGAAACCAUAAGUAGCGUGAUCACUCAUCAUCUUAAGGUCUUCAUCUUUCUUACUAGAUGAUUCACCACUAUUUUUAGGAACAAAAAUGGACUUGGUGGCCUUAUUGUGGGCAAAGUUUGGAGUAUUCUGCACAGCGGCAAAAGCGGAACCCAAGUUGGUUAUAACAUCCUCUAGUUUGCCAAUCCUAGCGGAAUCAUGACCUAGUUUUUCGUUAACUGGGGGUUCCUUCUCCUUUAAAUUUUUAAAAACCAUUCCCACCUUGGAUCCAUACUGAGUGGUUUGAUUGUGGAUCUUUUUAUCCAAAUUCUCAAUGAGUUCGAUCGUAGCAACUUUAUUUUCAAUGACGUCCAGCCUACGCAUCACAUGUUCCAGAGUUAAGGUAGUUCCAUUAACCAUGAGUGGGGGUGAGCCUACCAAAUUUAUUACAGCUCCGUCCGCAUACGAUGGUGUCAAGAAUAUACCUACUCCAAGGAGAAAUACCCACAUAAAAACUACGAAGCAGGACGGUAGUAGAUUGCUUACGAGUAGAUCUACUCUGAGCAUUGCAAAUCCUAUACCAAGCGUCCUUUAAGUUUUCUUCCUCAUUUUGCUUGAAAUUGAGAAGUUCGUUCUCGGGAGUAUCAUUCGAAGUCUAUCCAUGAGGACAGGUAGACUAUCCCACACAAGCGAACAGGAAGCAAUCGAGAGAAAAGGGCGAACGAAAAAGGCAAACGAACAAAAGGGCAAAUGAAGAAAAAGGCAAAUAUUUUUGUAAAUUUUUGUUUUUAAGAAGUGGGGGAGAGGAAAACGAGAGGCAAAAAAGGUAAAUGCAAGAGAUGAGUUCGCGACACUUACUUGGAUGAGUUCUUGACUUGAUCCUCCCCGGCAACAGUGCCAGAAAUUCUUCUGCUACGGCAACACACAACAGCGCCAGAAAUUGGCACGUUGAUGGAGACUUGGCUUGCGUUGGUUUGUCCCUUGAAAAGGAAAGGGUGAUGCAGCACAGGAGCAGUAAGUAUUUCCCUCAGUUUGAGAACCAAGUUAUCAAUCCAGUAGGAGAAUCGCGUCAAGUCCAGAGUACCUGCGCAAACACAAAAGAGCUUGCACCCAACACUAUAAAGGGGUUGUCAAUCCCUUCAAGAUUGAUUGCAAAGUGAGAUCNNNNNNNNNNGUAAAAGUGUAAGGCUGAAAAUAUGAUGUGAAGUAGACCCGGGGCCAUAGUGUUCACUAGAGGCUUCUCUCAAAAUAGCAAAUAUUACGGUGGGUGAACAAAUUACUGUCGAGCAAUUGAUAGAACCGCGCAAAGUCAUGACGAUAUCUAAGGCAAUGAUCAUACAUAUAGGCAUCACGUCCGCGACAGGUAGACCGAUACUUUCUGCAUCUACUACUAUUACUCCACACAUCGACCGCUAUCCNNNNNNNNNNNNNNNNNNNNNNNNNNNNNNNNNNNNNNNNNNNNNNNNNNNNNNNNNNNNNNNNNNNNNNNNNNNNNNNNNNNNNNNNNNNNNNNNNNNNUGUUUGUUUGUGUGAAUUGUCAUGCCGUGACUUGCAUGUUAUCAGCUGCUCAUGCAUCAUUUAUGUUGUGCAUCGUGUGGUGAAUAUCGUGUGUUGAUUCUUGUUUUCGGUUUCCUCCGUCUCGAUAGAGUUCCGCAAGCGUGUCAGAUGUGAGGACCCGUUCGACUACGUCGGUUCGUCUGCUUCACGUAGUCAUUCUUCUUCCAAGCGGGAUCUCGGACAAGAUGACCAUUUCCCAGAUACCAUUACUAUCAUUGCCAUGCUAGUUUUAUCGCUUCUAUCGAUUAUGUCUCGUUGUUUACCACAUGUUAAAUAUCAGCCUCUCAACAAUGCCAUGUUAACCUUCAAUCUGUUCGACCUAGCAAACCACUGAUUGGCUAUGUUACUGCUUGCUUAACCUUGUGUUAGCGUUGCUAGUUGCAGGUGCAGUUGCUUCCAUGUGAAAGCAUGGGUUCCUUGUUAUAUCAUCAUAUUAAAUGCUAUUUAAUUUAAUGCACCUAUAUACUUGGUAAAAGGUGGAAGGCUCGGCAUUUCUAGCCUGGUGUUUUCUUCCACCUUUGCCCCCUUAGUUUCGGCUACCGGUGUUAUGUUCCAUAUUUGAGCGCUCCUAACACGAUCGGGGUUGUUAUGGGGACCCCCUUGAUANNNNNNNNNNCGUUUUAGAUUAAAGCUGGUCUGGCAAGGCCCAACAUUGGUACUACAUUUGCCUAAUAACCUAAUAAUAAUGCAUAGGGACCCGCCGGCACCCGCAGACUAUUUUAAUCAACCCCCGGGCCAGUGCUCCUCAUGAGUGUUGGUCCAAACANNNNNNNNNNAGUUUUAGAUUAAAGCUGGUCUGGCAAGGCCCAACUUUGGUACUACAUUUGCCUAAUCACCUAAUAAAAUUGCAUAGGGACUUUCCGGACCCCGAGGAUAAUUUAAUCAACCCCCGGGCCAGUGCUCCUCAUGAGUGUUGGUCCAAACUGGACAGACUGCGGGGCCACCACGGGGCAACUCGAGGUUUGGUACCUGUAGGCUUUUCCAUUCGUCGUGUCCUGAGAACGAGAUACGUGGCUCCUAUCGGGAUCGUCGACACGUCGGGCGGCCUUGCUGGAUUAGUUUNNNNNNNNNNGAGCAGCUUAUUAACGCUACCGGGGGCAACCCGGCGUUUGGCGUGGUAACCAUCGCUCAUCCGUCGUGUCCUGAGAAUGAGGUAUGCGACUCCUAUCGGGAUCGUCGACACGUCGGGCGGCCUUGCUGGAUUAGUUUUACCUUUGACGAGAUAUCUUGUGCAUCGGGAUUCCGGUGAUGCUUUGGGUAAUCUCAGAGUUGAGGUUUUCCACUAAGGAAUCCGAUGAGAUCGCGAGCUUCGUGAUUGAGGAUUUCUAUGCGGCUUGUGGUAAUUUGUGAUGGACUAGUUGGAGCACCCCUGUAGGGUUAAAAUUUUCGAAAAGUCGUGCCCGCGGUUACGUGGCAACGUGGAAACUUUGUUUAACACUAGUUCUAGAUAACUUGAAGUUAAUUAAUUAAAAUAUGCCAACUGUGUGCGUAACCGUGACUGUCUCUUUCGUGAGUUCCUUCUCCGAUCGAGGACAUGGUGGGGUUAUGUCUGACGUAGGUAGGUGUUCAGGAUCAUUCAUUUGAUCAACCGUAGUUCACGUCCGCUAUGCGUAGAUCUUCCCCCUCUGAUUUCUUGUACUCGUAAGUUUAGCCACCAAAUAUAUGUUUAGCCACUGCUGCAACCUCACCACUUAACCAUGCCUCACCUAAUAAGUUUUCCUAGUCUUGAUACCUUUGGAAAUGAGAUUACUGAGUUCCCUGUGGCUCACAGAUUACUACAACACCAGUUGCAGGUACAGGUAAAGGUUACUUGACGCGAGCGCGUUGAUUGUUCAUUUGGAGUUGCUUCUUCUUCUUCAUCAUCGAUCUNNNNNNNNNNNNNNNNNNNNNNNNNNNNNNNNNNNNNNNNNNNNNNNNNNNNNNNNNNNNNNNNNNNNNNNNNNNNNNNNNNNNNNNNNNNNNNNNNNNNCUUUUGCCGCGCCCCACAAUUUUUUACGAAUCGGACGCGUUUGCAGGAUCUGGUCUGACAGUAUUUUUCAUCCCGAUUCGUAUUUUAACGAUUAUUUUACGGAUCGGGGCAUUAUAGGGGGUGUGCUAGAGAUGUUCUUAGGCCCCGGAACUUCGGACUCUAGACUGCUGCUGCUGCUGGGCGGGGAGUAGAAGGGGAAGGAUCGAAGGCAAAAUCACACCAAGCCAUGCUUCUCUUUGCACAGAAGGACAUAAUUAUGCGUACAGAUUCCUCCACCAAGAUCUGUGCCAUCCAACUCCAAUCCUAGGGUUGACGUUGUGUUUUUCUGUUUAUUUUUUGGAAAAGUCUAUCCCUUAACCGGCAGAUCGAGCGGAGGACAUCCGCCACCUCCUUCGUUCGAUACGUGAGCAUGUGUCAGGCGUUCCUCGCAGAACAGCUCGCGCAGUCGGCUGACUUUUCAACGGGUCGGCGGCAUCUGUCCUACGACGACGAGCGGCAUGGACCCGAGCACACAGAAGAUUCUGAGUAACUGGUUGGUCGCGCGGUGACCAGGGGAGCAGUGGCUCGCCGGCGAGCAGCUCCGCCAUGACGCAACCGAGCGACCAGGCAUCCACGAGCUCCUCCAAGUAGCGGAUGUUUAGUAAACUUCCUAGCAGGCCCCAAUAUUUUUUGGCCAAAAAGGCCCAUUUUCUAUCCUAGUCGCUCCCGCAUAUUCCCCACCCCCCUUCCUCUUCCGUCGCGGCGAAGACGACGGCGACAGUUAGCCGGCCGGCCAGACAUGCUCGGUCUCAGAGCCACCAGGGCCGCGCGCCUCCCGUGCCCCUACCCCUCUCCGUGCUCCGCCGCCCAGGCGGCCUCCCUUUCCGGUCCCGCGCGCCGCGGCCCGCCCCUCGCCGUCGCCAGCCNNNNN